UUCACUUCUUGUUCCUAUCAUGUACGAGCAGACGAUCAUGCCACCAAAGAGAAAAAUGAGGUGAUGGAGUAUGCAAGAGGUACAUAUUCAAAAAUUACGGUGAUCAGCAUCCUGACCCCCACAGGAAAUGUUGCCAAAUAGUAAGAGAAUCGAGAAACAUCCAUGCUAUAUGCCAGAAAUUCACUCACGCGGAUUUGCAUAAGAUCAGUCUAGCCAAGUGGGCUCAUGUUACAUAUUGGUGCGGCAACGGAUUGCACCCAGGGACUAAUUGCGCAGGUGUGUUAAUAUGACUAUAUAUAUUACUAGCAUUUUGAUAUAGUUUCCUCGCUUAUCUAAAUGAAAUUAAUUACUUACGAGGAACUCAAUCUCAUAUGUAGGUUUCAUCGUUCCAGAUUAUAGUGCGCCACCACCUCCAGAACACUCAGCAUAAGGCUGUUUCCUUUUUUUUAGCAUGAUAUUUAGUUGUCCAUCGACAUACAUGGCCUCAAUAGAUGACUUUCACUUCUCAUUUAAUGGAAUGCUGAAUUAAAUCAAAAGUCUCGAAAACAAACAUAGCUUGUUCUAUUCAUAAUACUCACUAUAAUAAACACUAAUCAAAAUUAUGUGUUUGUCGGGUGUCAUAGUCUUUGCCAAGAUCUAUUUUAUGGGAUAUCAGCAGACCACCUAUUUGAUGAGAACCACACUCGGUAAAAGCAAGCACUUGAUAGAGUGUUUUGUUUGCCGAGAGUUGUGACAAAAAUACUCAGCAACCCCAAAACACUCGGCCAGUGCAACUUUUGAUGAGAGCUCGCAACAUAGAACUCAGCAACUCGGAGCCAUGGGGCAAAUAUCCAGUGAUACCGUCCAUGAGAUGAUACCAUGCUAUAGAACCAUGUGUUGCGUCAUAUCUGCAUGGAAUGGACAGGAUCGAUUCGCUAAUCUAUUUACAUAUGCUCCCUUGUAACGUUUGCGUUUUGCCCCCUGAAAGCAGUGUGUCCUUGAAAAAUUACAACAGUCUCCACAUCUGUCCUCCAGACCCCUGGUUCUCAGUUUCUCACACAACAAAUACUUUGAAACUAAACUGGGAAGACAUGGCACAUUUCAUUCGUUCUUACAAAAAAAUCACUGGAAUAGAAGCACUUCAAAACAUUUGGUUGAAGUUGUACCAAUCUAUGAAUAAUUUCUGACAAUUUUAAUAUAGUUCACAAAUGUUGUGGCAUUGAUGUAUACAGCCAAAACAUUUCGUAAAAUUAUCCAGUAUUUCCUCCGUCCCAAAAUAAGUGUCUCAACUUUGUAUUAACUUUAGUACAAAGCAUUGUCCAACCUAGAAAUAAAAUGGAGGGUGUGCACACUUUAAAAAAAUUGAAGUCUAUUUCAGUUAACUUGCAUGGGCCUUAAAAAUAAGCUAAUUUUUACAUGGUGAAAAAAAAUGUUUUCCAAAAAUCUAGGUGUGCCAUGGCACAUCCCUGGGUAUGCCACUGGUACAAAGUUGUAAUAAACUUGAGACACUUAUUUUGGGACAGAAGGAGUAUAAAAAAGUACCAUUUUGAAAUAAAUUCUGAUCAACAUCCACCCAGCUUCUCCACUUCUAUCCACUUCCAUCCAUCCACUACUAUUAAACGAUGAAGCAAGAACUUUCUUAUACGCACCCCAUAAUUAGCCCCCACAAUACCACACCAUCCGAUUAGCACCACACGAUUAGUCCCACAAAUCUCAAUCUAACGACCAUCAUUAAUUUAAUAAGGGGUGGUGUGGACUUAGCAAUUUUUAAUGACUGACCGUACUCCACCAGCAGAGGAGUAUUCCAACUACCAGUCCCGUGUUUCCCUACAAUCAUGCGAUCUGAUUGCAAACUAAGGAAACUCAAUCAAAUCGGCUCCCUCGCCCUUGACCUCGACUUUUGUCUUCCUUGCAUCACCACCGCGCCGGACGCUACCCACCAACAUCGUCGCCUCGCUGCACGAUCGCCAUCGCCGAUUGUUGCCGCUCACAACGUGGAAUCCGUCAUCAACGUAGUGGGCGCCCAGCAGCCUGCCCUCGCAGCGUCGAAUCUGUCAUCGAUGUAGCGGGCGCCCAAGAGCCUACCCUCGCAGCGUGGCAUCCGUCCGUGAGAUCACCCGCGCGGCCGUGCCCAUCCUGCACGUCCCCUGAACCAGCCGACAACACACAGCUGUAAUUCUUCCUGGCACAUCUUCAGGUUCAACUUUUUCCUUUGACCAGUUGCAGCAUUACUCAGGAUUAGAAUUUUGAUAAUAGAGUUCUAAAAAUAUAAACAGUUGGAAAACAGAAUGCUAUAAGUCGUUCGUUUUACAUCUCUAAUUAAUGGUUUUCUGUGGAAAUGGUUAGUGUACAAGGACUAAGAGCUAUACAUAUGUAGAGUUCAUGUUGCACAAUCAGACCGCCCUAUCUCUUUUACCGUGACAAAUCAGCUAUGCUGCUACAGAUCAGUAAAGGAAAUUAGCUAAACUUGCGUACAGACCUCUUAGCUCCAUCAGAUCAGGCUAAAACCUCUCGUGUGAGGGGUCACUUAGGAACCAACUAGAACUUGUAGAGCUCGCCCUUCUUGAGUACAGAGACCAUGGUGAGGAUGGAGACUGGUGAACGAGUGAUAAGGCACCAGCGGAGCGGCCAGUAGAAAUAGCAUGGCAGUAUCACAUCAUCAUUUUUUCCAGCAAUCUUCCGAUUCUUUAGGACACUCACCCUACUAGAAAUAGAUAGUUAUCAAUAUACAGAAGAGACACACCCCCAAACUGAAAGAUUAAACAACAGUGAGAAUGAACCAGACCGUAACAAAAUCCAAAUUACGUUGAAACAGAAUUUUUUUAAUCAAAUAUUUGUAACAUAAGCUAAUCAUGUUUAGUAAAGAUUUUUUUUAAUCAAAUAUCUGUAACAUGGCCACAUGAAGGAGAAAUUGGAAUUUUGGAAGUAAAUACUUCUAUUAGUACUUAAGAUGAUCCGUUUUGUCUAAUUCACGUCUAGAAGUGUUUGAACCUUGGCUCAUAUGACAUAUUCUUGACAUAUCUGCACACUGCAUGAUCUGAACCUCGUAUUACAAACUCAAUCAGUUGAGAUUCCAUGGAAGGAACAUUUGAAGUAGAAAUGGAUGGAAAGAAUAUAAGAUCAAAGAAAAAUAAACCAUAAAGGAUAAUAACCUUCACACCAGCAGCACUGCAUAAUUGUACAGCGUCCGGCACUCCUAGGCGACAAGGAUCUACAUCAAAUAAAGAACUCUUUACUGAAGGGUGAAAAGCUGCAUGCAGCCAUCAGAAGAUAACUAUAAGACAAAACUAAACAGAAAAUGUGCCUAACUAGAUUCAGACAUAAAGAGAUCUAAACAGAAAGCAGUUGGUUAACAAAGAUAGAAUACAUGACGAACAAGUGAUGCAAAUAAAGCUGACAAACUAGCAUGGCUAAAUACUAUUAUGAAUAGACACGUCCUAAUUUUUUUGUUCAUUUCCAUCAUCUCUCAAUCCUCUAUGUAUUGUUUAUGCAAAACUUGGUGUUACUUCUUCGAACCAUGCAACUAGCAAGAUGGAAAUGUACUAUUUACUCCAUGUUUUCUUUUCAUUCGUGACGGAGACUUCUAAAAUUAGCCAAAAAUGAGGACAGAAUAUGCAGAGACACGGGCUGACUUGGACGGCCACGCACCAGAUACAGACUGAAUUUAUUUUCACAUGAUCCUAAAUUGUCAUUGCAUGAUCCUAAGCAGGAAACCAAAUUGCAGGAUCGAUGGGCGACGUCGUAGGAAUGGAAGGUAGGCUGAGUUGAGCACCGUAGAUAGAUCUCUUACACGGGAAUCCCAAGAAUAACUGCAUCAGACGGGAUCGAAGCCCCCUUUCCACCGGCUUCGCGAGGAUAUUUUUUUUGUAAAAGAGUGUUUCCCCUCUGAUUUCCAUUAGAGAAACCAAGUCGAAGUGCAGAGCUAGUAGUCUGAUACAAACCAAACAGCAAAACAACUCGAAAUAGGAGAGGGCCUAGCCACCCAGCGGCAACUCUCCCUACACAAACUAAAGACAGACCAACUAAGAGGGCAUCACAUAAGUUUAUUACAUUCCAUCCAAAAGAGAGAAGGCUAAAAACUCAUGAAAAGCAAAAUGGCAAGAUCCGAAGAAGUAGAAGCGUCUGCUCCCCGAAGCAUCACAUUUGUAGCCUUGGUACUCCGAAGCGCCACCCCUGCGAAGCUUUGUAGAUUUCACUUGCCGACUGUUUGAUGAGUCUUGCCCCCAGCAUCAUCGUUCUUUUCCCUAGGUCCUUUUCCCCUAGGUCCUUUUUCUGCAAAACAGCCCAGGCAGCGAUCCAGUUGCACAUUCUUUUGACGAUCCCAAUCGGGUCAUUUAUGAUUUUCCUGACAAAUACAAUAUCACUCCUACUAUUCCAAAUUGCCCAUAGUAAAGCAGAGGUAUCAGUCAAAACCAUUUUCUUAUCAUUUUUGUUGAAUUUAUUUAACCAACUUCCAAAGCAAUCAUUCAGAUCUUUUGUAAUAAGUUUAAGGUCAAAAGCACACCCAACCAGGUUCCAAAUGAGUCUAGCAACAGAACAAGAGAAGAAUAGGUGAUCUAUAUUCUCAUCUUCCCCACACAGCACACAGUGUUUGUCUCCUUUACAACCCCUUUCCAGUAAAUUAUCUAUGGUCAGAGUACUUUCUUUAUUCAGGAGCCAAAGAAAAAACUUAAUUUUUGCAGGCACUUUCACCUGUUGGGGAACAUAGUAAUUUCAAAAAUUUCCUACGUACACGCAAGAUCAUGGUGAUGCAUAGCACCGAGAGGGGAGAGUGCGUUCACGUACCGUCGUAGACCGAAAGCGGAAGCGUUAGCACAACGCGGUUGAUGUAGUCGUACGUCUUCACGAUCCGACCGAUCAAGUACCGAAUGCACGUUACCUCUGAGUUCUGCACACAUUCAACUCGAUGACGUCCCUCGAACUCCGAUCCAGCCGAGUGUUGAGGGAGUGUUUCGUCAGCAUGGCGGCGUGGUGACGAUGAUGAUGUUCUACCGACGCAGGGCUUCGCCUAAGCACUGCUACGAUAUGAUCGAGGUGGAUUAUGGUGGAGGGGGGCACCGCACACGGCUAAGAGAUCAAGAGAUCAAUUGUUGCCUCUAUGGGGUGCCCCCUGGCCACGUAUAUAAAGAAGUGGAGGAGGGGAGGGGCCGGCCCUCUUUAUGGUGCACCCUAGGGGAGUCCUACUCCCACCGGGAGUAGGAUUCCCCCUUUCCUAGUAGAACUAGGAGCCCUUCCAAGUAGUAGGAGUAGGAGAGAAGGAAAGGGAAAAGAGAAGAGAAGGAAGGAGGGGGUGCAGCCCUUCCCCCUAGUCCAAUUCGGACUAGUCCUUGGGGGGGCGCACGGCCUGCCUCUCUCUCUUUCCCCUAAAGCCCAAUAAGGCCCAUACACUCCCCGGCGAAUUCCCGUAACUCCCCGGUACUCCGAUAAAUACCCGAAUUACUCGGAACCUUUCCGAUGUCCGAAUAUAGUCGUCCAAUAUAUUGAUCUUUACGUCUCGACCAUUUCGAGACUCCUCGUCAUGUCCCCGAUCUGAUACGGGACUCCAAACUACCUUCGGUACAUCAAAACACAUAAACUCAUAAUAUAACCGUCAUCGAACUUUAAGCGUGCGAACCCUACGGGUUCGAGAACUAUGUAGACAUGACCGAGACACGUCUCCGGUCAAUAACCAAUAGUGGAACCUAGAUGCUCAUAUUGGCUCCUACAUAUUCUACGAAGAUCUUUAUCGGUCAAACCGCAUAACAACAUACGGUGUUCCCUUUGUCAUCGGUAUGUUACUUGCCCGAGAUUCGAUCGUCGGUAUCUCAAUACCUAGUUUAAUAUCGUUACCGGCAAGUCUCUUUACUCGUUCCGUAAUACAUCAUCCCGCAACUAACUCAUUAGUUGCAAUGCUUGCAAGGCUUAAGUGAUGUGUAUUACCGUGUGGGCCCAGAGAUACCUCUCCGACAAUCGGACUGACAAAUCCUAAUCUCGAAAUACGCUAACCCAACAAGUACCUUCGGAGACACAUGUAGAGCACCUUUAUAAUCACCCAGUUACGUUGUGACGUUUGGUGGCACACAAAGUGUUCCUCCGGUAAACGGGAGUUGCAUAAUCUCAUAGUCAUAGGAACAUGUAUAAGUCAUGAAGAAAGCAAUAGCAACAAACUAAAUGAUCAAGUGCUAAGCUAACAGAAUGGGUCAAGUCAAUCACAUCAUUCUCCUAAUGAUGUGAUCGCAUUAAUCAAAUGACAACUCAUGUCUAUGGUUAGGAAACAUAACCAUCUUUGAUCAACGAGCUAGUCAAGUAGAGGCAUACUAGUGACACUCUAUUUGUCUAUAUAUUCACACAUGUAUUAUGUUUCCGGUUAAUACAAUUAUAGCAUGAAUAAUAAACAUUUAUCAUGAUAUAAGGAAAUAAAUAAUAACUUUAUUAUUGCCUCUAGGGCAUAUUUCCUUCAGUGUCCCACUUGCACUAGGGUCAAUAAUCUAGUUCACAUCGCCAUGUGAUUUAAUACUAAUAGUUCACAUCACCAUGUGAUUAACACCCAUAGUUCACAUCGACAUGUGACCAACACCCAAAGGGUUUACUAGAGUCAAUAAUCUAGUUCACAUCGCUAUGUGAUUAACACCCAAAGAGUACUAAGGUGUGAUCAUGUUUUGCUUGUGAGAGAAGUUUAGUCAACGGGUCUGCCACAUUCAGAUCCGUAAGUAUUUUGCAAAUUUCUAUGUCAACAAUGCUCUACACAGAGCUAAUCUAGCUAAUUGCUCCCACUUUCAAUAUGCAUCUAGAUUGAGAUUUAGAGUCAUCUGGAUUAGUGUCAAAAUUUGCAUCGACGUAACCCUUUACGACGAACCUUUUUGUCACCUCCAUAAUCGAGAAACAUAUCCUUAUUUCAUUAAGGAUAAUUUUGACCACUGUCCAGUGAUCUACUCCUAGAUCACUAUUAUACUCCCUUGCCAGAAACAGUGUAGGGUAUAUGAUACGUCUCCGUAGUAUCUACUUUUGCAAACACUUUUGCCCUUGUUUUGGACUCUAACUUGUAUGAUUUGAAUGGAACUAACCCGGACUGACGCUGUUUUCAGCAGAAUUGCCAUGAUGUUGUUUUAUGUGCAGAAAACAAAUAUUCUCGGAAUGACCUAAAACUCCACGAAACAUCUUAGAAAAAAUAAUAAAAAAUCCUCGCCAAAGAUGAAGACCAGGGGGCCCACACCAUGUUCAUGAGGGUGGGGGGCGCGCCCCCCCUAGGGCGCGCCCCCUAACUCGUGGGCCCCCUGGAUGCCCUCCGACGCCAACUCCAACUCUAUAUAUUUGCUUUCGGAAAGAAAAAAAUAGGGAAAAGAAAUCAUCGCGUUUUACGAUACGGAGCCACCGCCAAGCCCUAAAACCUCUCUGGAGGGCUGAUCUGGAGUCCGUUCGAGGCUCCGGAGAGGGGGAUUCAUCGUCGUCGUCAUCAUCAACCAUCCUCUAUCACCAAUUUCAUGAUGCUCACCGCCGUGCGUGAGUAAUUCCAUCGUAGGCUUGCUGGACGGUGAUGGGUUGGAUGAGAUUUAUCAUGUAAUUGAGUUAGUUUUGUUAGGGUUUGAUCCCUAGUAUCCAUUAUGUUCUGAGAUUGAUGUUGCUAUGACUUUGCUAUGCUUAAUGCUUGUCACUAGGGCCCGAGUGCCAUGAUUUCAGAUCUGAACCUAUUAUGUUUUCAUGAAUAUAUGUGAGUUCUUGAUCCUAUCUUGCAAGUCUAUAGUCAGCUACUAUGUGUUAUGAUCCGGCAACCCUGAAGUGACAAUAAUCGGGACCACUCCCGAUGAUGACCAUAGUUUGAGGAGUUCAUGUAUUCACUAUGUGCUAAUGCUUUGUUCUGGUUCUCUAUUAAAAGGAGGCCUUAAUAUCCCUUAGUUUCCAAUAGGACCCCGCUGCCACGGGAGGGUAGGACAAAAGAUGUCAUGCAAGUUCUUUUCCAUAAGCACGUAUGACUAUAUAUGGAAUACAUGCCUACAUUACAUUGAUGAAUUGGAGCUAGUUCUGUGACACCCUAUGUUAUGACUGUUACAUGAUGAACCGCAUCCGGCAUAAUUAUCCAUCACUGAUCCGGUGCCUACGAGUUUUCCAUAUACUGGUUUACGCUUAUUUACUUUCCCGCUACUACUGUUACAAUCACUACAAGAUACCAAAAAAAUUACUUUUGCUGUCUUUACUUUUGUUGCCGCUACCACCACUAUCAUAUUACUUUGCUACUAAACACUUUGCUGCAGAUACUAAGUUUCCAGGUGCGGUUGAAUUGAAAACUCAGCUGCUAAUACUUGAGAAUAUUCUUUGGCUCCCCUUGUGUCAAAUCAAUAAAUUUGGGUUGAAUACUCUACCCUCGAAAGCUGUUGCGAUCCCCUAUACUUGUGGGUUAUCAAGACUAAUUUCUGGCACCGUUGCCGGGGAGCAUAGCUCUAUUCUUUGAGUCACUUGGGAUUUAUAUCUGCUUAUCACUAUGAAGAACUUAAGAGAUCCAAAAACCAAGAUCUAUCCCUCAACUACCAGGGGAGGUAAGGAACUGCCAUCUAGCUCUGCACUUGAUUCACCUUCUGUUAUGAGUAAGUUUGCGACACCUAGACCUGCUUCUGCUAUUCGUUUUGAUAUGUCGCAUGUUAUUGAUGAUGCCACUUCUGCUAUGCAUGAUACUUAUGAUGAAACUGCUUCUAUGUCUGAUACUACUGUGCCCCUUGGUAAAUUUCUUGAUGAACAAAUUGCUAGGGCUAGAGAAAAAGAAAUUAUUGAAUCUGAAUAUGAUGGUGAUAGUGAUGAUGAAAAUAUGUCUGUUAUUCCUGAGGGUUAACUUUUUGAUAUGGAAUCUUCUACCGCUGUUUUAGCUUGCAAAGAUAGAUAUGAGGUUAAGAGGUUAUUAGUUAAAUGGAACAAAGAAUCACUUAGAGAUAAAAUGAAACCCGACCCUGCUUUUGCUACUUCACCUAUUUGUGUUCCUGAUAAGGACUAUGAAUUCUCUGUUGAUCCUGAUGUAAUUACUUUGGUUGAAUCUGAUCCGUUUUAUGGCUAUGAAUCUAAAACUGUUGUGGCACAUCUUACUAAGUUAAAUGAUAUAGCUGCCCUGUUUACUAAUGAUGAGAGAUUGCAUUACUUUUAUAUACUCAAAAUAUUUCCGUUCUCAUUAAAGGGUGAUGCUAAGAUAUGGUUUAAUUCUCUUGAUCCUGGUUGUGUGCGUAGUCCCCAGGAUAUGAUUUAUUACUUCUCUGCUAAAUAUUUCCCUGCUCAUAAGAAACAAGCUGCUUUGAGGGAAAUAUACAACUUUGUGCAAAUUAAAGAAGAGAGUCUCCCACAAGCUUGGGGGAGGCUCCUCAAGUUACUUAAUGCUUUGUCUGAUCAUCCUCUUAAGAAACCCGAAAUACUUGAUAUCUUUUAUAAUGGACUAACCGAUGCUUCCAGAGAUUACCUGGAUAGUUGUGCUAGUUCUCUUUUCAGGGAAAGAACACCGGAUGAAGCUGAAAUCCUAUUGAAUAAUAUGUUGACAAAUGAAAAUAAUUGGGCACCUCCUGAGCCACCUCCUGAGCCAGCUCCUGCUCUAAUUACUGAGCCUAUUCUUAAACCAACUCAGAAGAAGAGAGGUGUUUUAUUCCUCAGUCCCGAAGAUAUGCAAGAGGCAAAGAAAUCUAUGAAAGAAAAAGGUAUUAAAGGUGAAGAUGUUAAGAAUUUACCUCCUAUUGAAGAAAUACAUGGUCUUAAUAUACCGCCUGUUGAAGAAACAUAUGAUCUCAAUUCUUUAUUUAUUGAAGAACCUCCUGAUCCCGAUAUUCCGACACAGGUAGUAAAGGUAAAUUCUCUCUAUAGAUAUGAUAAAGCUGAAGUUCCUCCUACUAAAAUUGCUAGUCAGUGCUUGGAUGAGUUUGAUAACUUUAUGUUUAAGCAAGACAACUUCAAUGCUUAUUUUGGUAGACAAUUAAAAGAAAAUGCUUAUAUGAUUAGACGCUUGGGUGAUUAUAUGGCUAAUAUUAAAGGUGAACUUAAACUUGUUAGCAAACAUGCUUCUAUGGUUACCACUCAAGUAGAACAAGUACUUAAGGCUCAAAAAGAAGUGCUUGAUGAAAUGAAUAGCAACAAAAAAGAUUAUGCUGUUAGAGUGGCUACUAGAACUAGUAGAAUGACUCAGGAACCUUUGUAUCCUGAAGGCCACCCUAAGAGAAUCGAGCAAGAUUCUCAAAGAAAUAAUACUGAUGUUCCUAGUUCUUCUAAAAAGAAGAAGAAGAAAAAUGAUAGAACUGUGCAAACUUCUAGUGAACCUAUUGCUGAACCACCCGAUAAUCCAAAUGAUAUUUCUAUGUCCGAUGCUGAAACACAAUCUGGUAAUGAACAUGAACCUAAUGAAAAUAUUAAUGAUGAUGUUCAUGAUGAUGCUCAACCUAGUAAUGAUAAUGAUGUAGAAAUUGAACCUGCUGUUGAUCUUGAUAACCCACAAUCAAAGAAUCAACGUUAUGAUAAAAGAGACUUUGUUGCUAGGAAACAUGGUAAAGAAAGGGAACCUUGGGUUCAGAAACCCAUGCCUUUUCCUCCGAAACCAUCCAAGAAAAAGGAUGAUGAGGAUUUUGAGCAUUUUGCUGAAAUGAUUAGGCCUAUCUUUUUGUGUAUGCGAUUAACUGAUGUGCUUAAAACAAAUCCUUAUGCUAAAUAUAUGAAGGAUAUCAUUACUAAUAAAAGAAAGAUACCGGAAGCUGAGAUUUCCACCAUGCUUGCUAAUUAUACUUUUAAGGGAGGAAUACCAAAGAAACUUGGAGAUCUUGGAGUACCUACUAUACCUUGAUCCAUUAAAAGAAAUUAUAUUAAAACUACUUUAUGUGAUCUUGGAGCCGGUGUUAGUGCUAUGCCUCUCUCUUUAUAUCAUAGACUUGACUUGAAUAAGCUGACACCUACCGAAAUAUCUUUGCAAAUGGCUGAUAAAUCAACUGCUAUACCUGUCGGUAUCUGUGAGGAUGUGCCUGUUGUGGUUGCAAACGUUACUAUUUUAACGGACUUUAUUAUUCUUGAUAUUCCCGAGGAUGAUAGUAUGUCUAUUAUUCUUGGAAGACCUUUUCUUAAUACUGCAGGGGCUGUUAUUGAUUGCAACAAAGGCAAUGCCACUUUUCAUGUUAAUGGUAAUGAGCAUACACUUUCCGAGGAAACAACCUCAAGUUCAUAGUAUCAACUCCAUUGGAAAAAUUCCAUCGAUUAUAAUUGGAGGUUUUGAAUUUCCUCUUCCUACAGUCGAAAAGAAAUAUGAUAUACUUAUUAUAGGGGAUGUGCAUAUCCCCGUUGAGGUAACCUAGUGUUAUUCGAAAUUUCUCUGGUUUCAUUUGUUAACAAGACUUGAUAAACCUUGUUAGUGGAUUCUUUUUGAUGAGCAUGAGAUGGAUGAAACUAGAAGCACAACCUUCUGUACCCUCUCUAUAUUUUCUGUUAAUUAGUAGAAAUAAAGUAAAAAUAGUAUUUUUCUGUCUGUUUCCUGACUUAUCUGUGCAAUAUAAAAAUAUCCCGAAAAUAAAAUUCCUCAUAAUUGCAUGCCAAUUUAAUAUGAUUUUUUGGGAAUAUUUGAGGAUUUACUGUGCAAAAAUUACCGCGGGAGGAGCUGCCACCUGGCCACGAGGGUGGUGGGCGCGCCCCCCUCUAGGGUGCGCGCCCCUGCGUCAUGGGCCCACGGUGGCCCUCCUCCACUUAUCUCAGCACCCAUCUUCUUCCUCUGUCUCACACAAACCCGAAAAACCAACUCAAGCACGAGUUCUAGCCACUUUUGCUGUGAUUUUCGAUCUCCUUGCUCAAAGCACCUCUCGCGAAACUGCUUGGGGAGAUUGUUCCUUGGUAUGUGACUCCUCCAUUAGUCCAAUUAGUUUCUGUUCUAGUGCUUUAUUCUUUGCAAAUUUGUGCUGCAUAGGUGACCAUGUUCUUGAGCUUGCAUGUCAAAUUUAUAUGGUUCCAGGUAGUUUUGAUGCAUGAUAUAGGCCCUAGGCACUUGUAGGAGUAGUUGCUAUCAAUAUUAUUGAGUUUGGUUUACUUUUAUUUUGAAGUUACUAAAAAAUUCAGAAUUUUUCAGUGAAAAACAAUAUGCUUAGGAAGAUGUUCCAAGGUGGUUCUUCCAAGAAGCAAGGACCCAGGAUUGCUAUGCGCGAUGCUGACGAGGAUCCACCAAGAGACGCUCCAGUACGGCCUUGCGAAUGGCUGUUGGAAAACUUUAUGGACCUUGCCGGAAUUAAAGAAGAACGAAAGGCAUAUUUGCGCAAUGCCGGUCUUGAGGAUUUUGAGGCUAACAAAUGCCCCCAGUAUCAUGAUCUCACAAGUUCAUUUGUGAGGAGGUUUGAGUAUUCAUCUUCGCGUAAUUCUCGUGCAGUCAUGUUUGAUCCCUAUGACAAAUCUUAUACCAUGGACUUAGAGGAAUUUACUUCUGCUUGCAAACUUCCAUCAUGGGGUAGUGUCAGGGACCCCGCUAAAUCUGAAUUUAGAAACUUUCUUGCUAGUAUAACUAUGGGGGAAUCUAGAGAUAUAACGCAGGCUACCAUAGGGAGCAUUCACUUUCCUGCUAUACAUUAUUUUGCUCUCUUCAUCGGUAGAUGUAUAAAUGCUAAGGAUGAAGCAUGUCACAUGUGUGUCCCUGAUCUUAGCAUUCUUAGGAGUGCUGUGUUAGGAGACCAAUCUUAUCAUAUGGGAGGCAUUGUACCUUGUAGGUUGCAUCAUAAUAGACAUAAUGGAGAUUUCUUUGGAGGAAUUUAUGCAACCCGCUUAGCUCAUUUUCUUGAGAUAGACAUUCGUGAGGGUGAUACGGAGUUGCCUCCUACAUAUUUAGAUUAUAACUCUAUGGCUUCGCACCAGUUUGUCGAGAGGCCUGAAUCACCUCUCUUAUAUCGUUUAAUUUUUGAUAAACGACGUGUUUUCCUUAUUACUCUCCCUGCUCCUGCCUUCUUUGAUUCACAGACAAAAAAAGAUAUGUUAUUACCAGAGAGGAGGCAGAAGAGUACGAGAGGAGAGCGGAGGCAUCUCGACUCCACAUUGCAGCUUAGCAGGCGAUAACCGCUGCACAUUAGUACGAUCCCAACUAUUCCUCGUCAUAGUACGACCCCAACAGCUACACCUAUGGGUAUCCGCCAGGCUAUCUCUGGCAAUAGACCAACUUAGGCCAAAAGCCUAAGCUUGGGGGAGUACGUAUUUCUCACCGACAUUACAUUUAUGUUCAGACACACUCAUUACUAGAUGUCGGUGCUCAUACUCUUUCACUGUAAUAUCCAUGCUAGUUUAUUUUCUUUUUCCCGCUUUCUUCUUGUGUGUUUGUUAAACCUUAAGAAAAACCAAAAAAAUUAGUAGUAGUUUAUUUUUCUGCUAUAGUAGUAACAAUUAAAAACAAAACCCAAAAAUAUUUCCCGUUCUUCUUUUUGCUUGUUGGGAGCUUUCCCGUAGAAAUAUUUUUAUUUCUUUUCUUUUCUUUGGGGGUCAGUAGGAGAAGACCUUAAUUAAAUUGUUGAAGUGGCUCUUAUAUGCAUUAUUGUUGAUUUAACCAAGAGCCCAUAUUGCCUUGUCUUCUCCUGUUUAUUGAAUGCUCGGAGAUUCCAACUUACUCCAAUGCACGUACACUCUUAUUAUUAUUCACACCGUUCGGUCGUGCAAGUGAAAGGCAAUUAUGAUGAUAUAUGAUGGAAUGACUGAGAUGAGAAAAGCUGGUAUGAACUCGACCUCUUUUGUUUUUGUAAAUAUGAUGAGUCCCUCGUUCUCGAUUCAGCUUGUUAUGAAUAAACAUGUUUGCAAUGACAAUUAGAGAUCAUAGUUGCUUGUGCCAUGCUUGAUUAACUAUGAGAUAUAAUGAUUUACCUUGUGUGCCAACAUGCUAUUGAGGUGGUUAUGAUGUGGUAUGAUGGGGUGGUAUCCUCCUUUGAAUGAUUUAAGUGACUUGACUUGGCACAUGUUCACGCAUGUAGUUGAAACAAAUCAACAUAGCCUUCACGAUAUUUAUGUUCAUGGUAGAUUAUAUCCUACUCAUGCUUGCAUCAAAUGUUUAUUAAUUUUAAUGCAUGUACAUGGCUGUUGUCGCUCUCUAGUUGGUCGCUUCCCAGUCUUUUGCUAGCCUUCACCUGUACUAAGAAGGAAUAGUGCUUGUGCAUCCAAUCCCUUAAACCUCAAAGUUAUUCCAGAUGAGUCCUAUUGGGGAUAUUACUGCUGGGCAUAAACCGGCCUAUCUGGGUCGGGUCAACUUCAUUAGUAGUUCCAGAGUGAUAAAGCCCAAGAAGGCAGAUGAGGGCCUAAGGCCCGUAGCCGGUUCAAGACUUGUAGCUAUAAACCGGGAUUUUUAUAUAAACUUGUAUUGUAAGUUAGGAAUAAGGAGAGACCAACCCAGAAUACGAAUAUCGACCGGUGUUGGGACUCUGUGAACCGACGGGUGUCACCCGUGUAUAUAAGGGGACGACCCGGCGGCGGUUCAGAGAUAGACAACAACUCGAGACAUAGGCAAAGCUUGUUUGGUACCUAGUCAUCAAAACCCCAUCAAUUCCAUCACAACUAGACGUAGGCUUUUACCUUCAUCGAAGGGGCCGAACUAGUAUAAACUCUCUUGCGUCCCUGUGUCCGCUUUAACCCCUUCAAGCUAACCCGUCGCGAUGGCUCCACGACUAAGUCCUUUCUCUAGGACAUCUGCCGUGACAAAGCCACGACAGUUGGCGCCCACCGUGGGGCUAUCGCACGAUGGUUUCCGGUUCUUGGAGGGCCGCUUUGAAGGACUCGAGGGCUACGCUGUAGGUCGGAUGACUAAGAGUCAUCGCGGCAAAUUCUACAUCGACGAUGCAGGCUGGGGCCCCGAGGCCGGCUCAGUUGAGUACGGGUACCGGGUCCCCUUUGGUGGCAUUCACGUUUUCAUUGGCAAGAUCAGUGAACCGGGCCCUAAGCCGGACAUCUGCACCGAACUCGUCGAGACGGCUCAGCGUGCGUGAUCCGCCCGGGUUAAACCGGCCAUGAAGCGUGCCUUCGUGGGAGUCAUCCAUGGAGGAAGUAAUGAGGAUGGAUUGGAAUCUCGCGGCGAUACCGUCAUUUGUUCCGAUGACGAGUCAUCGACCGGAGAAACCGAAUCUCUUUAUCAGCUACAAGACGGCCGGAUUGGGGGCUGUUCCGAUGGCGACAAUGUUCCGGACCCCUCUGAUCUGCCCAACCGGGUUGGAAUAUUCAUGACUGGCACACAAGCAGCGCUUCAUUCUUCGACCGCUGCGGCAACAACCUCCGGUUCAGUAGCAGCGACGGCUGCCGGGGCAGGAGGCCCUGUGCGCCCGCCGGCUCAAGUUCUAUCAGAGCUGUUUGAUGCAUUGGCUGUGCUUAUGGCGGAGGCUAAUCCGGCGGAUCGGGGCGUUCACAACGCCGAGAUUGCAAAAGUGAAGGAAUAGAUCACCCAGGCCAAGGCAGAUCUGGCAGCUGAGGACACCAGGAUGGCCAUGGAGCGGGCCGCUUUAGACGCACAAGCCUACAGGCUCAGGUUGGACCAGAGUGCGUCGCGGGAAGUCAUGAGGAGGAGGUACCGAUCCCGUUUGCCUCCGGUUUUUGAGGCCAGAGACCUUUUCAACACUCCAGGAGUAGGAACCGGCAAUCCGCUGGAGGGAAACCGGGCGGAAGCUCCCGGGACUGGUGCACUGGUUCAGCCUCGUCAGAUGGACCCGCCUCGUCAAAACACCGUUAUACCUUAGGCUGUUUUAACACCUCCGGGUCACUACUCCAACCCGAUGGACAAUCUCAUUGCCGCUGCUGCACGGCUGGAGGCCAUUCCAAUUGAAGGUGAUUCGCCGCAGGCAAUAGAGACGCGACGGGUCAAGGAACUUCUGAGGACAGCUUUGGUCCAACAUGAAGCAUAUUCGUACAGUCGUGAAUGGAUCCACUCGACCCCCCGUCCAAGCUGGAGCUAUAGCAGACAUAUGGAUGAACCGACAGUGUCGAGUAACGAACGACGUGGAGCACCCCAUGGCAACAACCCGAUGGGUGGUGCUGAUAACGCUCAGGAAGUGGUGAACCGGGCCCGAGCGUGCAGGUAGGCCGAGUUAGCCACACAUCAUCAGGCUCGGCAGCUCACGCCGGUUCGUCCAACCAUCUCGAUCGAACCUGGUGUUACUUCUAGUUCUUUGGGGGUGCCUUGCCUUAUCCCCGCUUUACGCAAUGUGUGCCUGCCCAAGGAUUUCAAGGGCCCGCGCAAGGUACCAAAUUACACGGCGGAUCAGCCUCCAGAGACAUGGGUGGAGAGCUAUGAGAUGGCCAUGGAGAUGCUUGAUGUGUAUGACGUGGCGUGUGCGAAAUACUUCACCAUGAUGCUUGAAGGAACGGCCCGUACUUGGUUAAAAAGCUUGCCGGCUAAUUCAAUCAGUUCAUGGGCCCAAUUACGAGCCCGGUUUAUCAGCAAUUUCAAGGAUACAUGUAAACAGCCUAUGUCGAUAGUGGACUUAGCUGCAUGCGUCCAGGAGGAAGGAGAAUCAACGACUCAUUGGGUGCGCCGGGUUUCACAAGUGUUACACUCAUCAGACCGCAUCAACGCUGACACCACAGUGUUAACCCUAGAAGGCAACUGCCGGUUUGGGCCCCUGAAGCUAAAGUUGGGACGGAUGAAGCGUCAUUGCAUUGACAUGGGGACCCUCAUGGCCGCUUUGGUGAAAUAUGCUGAUUCUGAUAGUACCAAGGAUCCCGAAUCUGAUGAUGACAAGACAGGGAAGGGAAAGAGGAACAUCAACUCCAAAGGUCAGCAGCAUCACUGGGCAGGCAAUGGUGGUGGAGGCAAGCGUAAAGUGGAUGGUAACAUGGACUUUGUGGCUAAUACCAACGUGCAGGACAAUGGGCAGCGACGCAAGGGUAAACCGAAAAAUCGUAAUGGGGCACCCAACCCUAACCCAGACCGCCUAAACUAUCUGCUAAGCCAGCCCUGUCCAAGACAUGGGACGAAGGAGGCGCCAGCAAACCACCUUUGGAAGGAUUGCUUUAUUAUGCAGGAGUUCAAGAAUUCUAAUAAUUUCCGGUAUGAUCAUGAAUCUAGCGGUGGCUCAAGAUCCUGGCCGGGUUAUGGUGGAGGAAGUUCCGAUUCAGGAUUUAAUGGUAAUCCGGGCGGACAUAAUGGUCAAAAUAGUCAGAACAACCAGGAUGGUUACAACCAACAGCAGCAACAGUCAGGUUACCAGAGCAACCCAAAGCAGUUGAGUAGUGGGCAGUACCAUGUCUUCACCACUAGCUUGGACAAGCGAGACCGGAAGGUUCAGAGGCGGGCGGUCAACUCUGUUGAACCGGCCAUACCCCGUUAUCUACAUUGGUCUGAACAGCCAAUCAUAUGGAGCAGAGAGGAUCACCCUCCCCAGGUCGAUAAUUCGGGUCAGUUGGCUCUGGUGGUGGCGCCUCAGGUGGGAGGUUACAAGUUCACCAAGGUGCUCAUGGAUGGAGGUAGCAGCAUUAAUAUCUUGUACUAUGAGACCUUCCGUCGUAUGGGACUGACAGAUAAAAAUCUUAAACCGUCUAAUACGGUGUUCCACGGUGUAGUACCUGGCAGAUCAGCAUAUCCUGUUGGUAAGAUAGAUCUGGAAGUGGCCUUUGGGGAUGAUCAUGAUUCCAGGUCGGAGACAUUGAUGUUUGAAGUGGUGAAAAUCCAAAGUCCAUAUCAUGCCCUAUUUGGGCGACCGGCCUACGCCAAGUUUAUGGCACGGCCCUGUUAUGUGUAUUUGCAGCUCAAGAUGCCGGGUCACAAGGGGACAAUAACGGUUCACGGAAGCCGCAAAAUCGCUUUGGAGUGCGAGGAAGGUGAUGCGGCCUAUGCAGAGUCGGUUUGUGCCACCGAGGAGCUAAAGUAUUAUAAGGACAAUGUUGAUCCGGCGGACAUGACUCCAUUAAAGAAGCCAACUACGAAGCAUGAUCCGGCCCUGAAGUUCAAAUCGGCAGCAGAAACUAAGCUUGUUGACUUUGUACCUGGCGAUUCGUCCAAGCAGUUUAGCAUCAGUGCUAAUUUGGAUCCGAAAUAGGAAAGCACGCUCAUCGAGUUCAUCCAUGAGAAUCGGGACAUUUUUGCAUGGAAGCCCUCUGACAUGCCAGGUGUACCGAGGCAACUCGCUGAGCACACCCUUAAUGUGGAUCCUAAAUACAAACCGGUGAAACAGUUCCUUCGCCGGUUUAAUGAAGAAAGACGCAAGGCAAUUGGAGAAGAGGUAGCCAGGCUCUUAGCAGCUGGUUUUAUUGUUGAAGUUUUUCACCCUGAGUGGCUUGCCAAUCCGGUGCUGGUCCUUAAGAAAAACGACACCUGGCGUAUGUGUGUGGAUUACACAGAUCUUAAUAAAGCUUGUCCAGCAGAUCCUUUUGCCCUCCCCCGUAUUGAUCAAAUUAUUGAUGCUACGACGGGUUGUGAGCGUUUAAGUUUUUUGGAUGCAUAUUCUGGCUAUCAUCAGAUCAAAAUGGCAGUUAAGGACCAGGAGAAAACGGCAUUCAUAACUCCCUUUGGAGCCUUCUGCUAUGUGUCUAUGCCCUUUGGGCUCAAGAGUGCCCAGGCAACUUAUCAAUGUUGUGUGCAAAAUUGUCUACACAAACAGAUUGGCCGUAAUGUACACGCCUACGUGGAUGAUAUCGUGGUUAAAUCCAGGGAGAAGGAGACUCUGAUUGGUGAUUUAAAGGAAACUUUUGAUAACCUGAGGACAUACAAGAUGAUGCUUAAUCCGGACAAAUGCGUCUUUGGUGUACCGGCGGGCAAGUUAUUAGGCUUCCUGGUGUCCAAUAGGGGAAUUGAGGCUAAUCCGGAGAAGAUCACAGCCAUCACCUCCCUGGCUAAACCGAAGUAUAUCAAUGAUGUUCAACGCCUGGCAGGCCGGAUUGCCGCGUUAAGCCGGUUUAUCAGUCGUCUUGGUGAGAAGGCAAUCCCUUUGUAUCAGAUGUUGAAGAAGACGGAUCAGUUUGUCUGGAGUUCUGCUGCUGAUGAAGCAUUUGAGGACUUAAAGCGGCAAUUGGCCAAUCCGCCUGUGCUCGCCGCUCCCAUUGACAAGGAGCCGUUACUGCUAUAUGUUGCUGCUAAUGCUCGGGCGGUCAGCAUGGCUACUGUGGUGGAGCGAAAGGAGGCAGGUAAGGAGCAUCCGGUUCAACGUCCGGUCUAUUAUAUCAGCGAGGUGCUCAUUGAAUCCAAGCAAAGGUAUCCGCAUUGGCAGAAGCUGGUGUAUGGAGUUUUUAUGGCAAGCCGGAAGCUUAAACAAUACUUCCAAGGGCAUCCAAUUAUGGUGGUCAGUUCUGCUCCUUUGGGGGAUAUCAUCCAGAACCGGGAAGCAACUGGCCGGAUUGCCAAGUGGGCUAUAGAGCUUGGGCCGCACAAUUUCAAGUAUGUGCCUCGGACGGCGAUUAAGUCUAAAGCACUAGUUGAUUUUAUCAAUGAUUGGACGGAAAUGCAAGCACCUGAAGAAAAGCCGGAUCACACAUAUUGGACCAUCCAUUUUGACGGAUCCAGGCAAUUGGAAGGUUCGGGGGCUGGAGUCGUAUUAACUUCCCCACAAGGUGAUAAGUUUUGUUAUGUUCUCCGCUUAAUGUUCCCUUGUACUAACAAUGCAGCUGAGUAUGAAGCCUUCCUCCAUGGUCUCCGGAUGGCUAAGGAGAUGAAUCUAGGUCGAGUUAAAUGCUUCGGUGACUCGGACCUCGUGGCUCAGCAAGUGUCUGGCACUUGGGACUCCAAGGAUCCACUCAUGGCAGCAUAUCGUCGUGAGGUGGAUAUUGUUGCAGGUCAUUUCAAAGGCUAUCAGGUGGACCACGUGGACUGGCGGAAAAAUGAAGCGGCGGACGCUUUAAGCCGGCUGGGCUCUCAGCGCAAACCGGUUCCGCCCAAUGUUUUUCUGGAUGUGCUGCACAACCCGUCGGUCAAGAUCCCUGGUGAAGCGGAUUUGGCUAUUCCUGAUCCGGAAGCUCAAUUGGUGACAGCUCUUCAUGUUAUUCCGGAUUGGACGCUUCCCUACCUGGCGUACAAGAACCGGGGCGAGUUACCAGAGGAUGAGACUCUGGCCAGACAGAUAAUCCGGCGAUCCAUGUCCAUGACUAUUAUCAACGGCGAGUUGCAUCAUUGCAGUGUGUCAGGAGCAUUUCAAUGCUGUGUGUCUCCUAAAGAAGGCCGUGAAAUUUUGCGUGAGAUCCACGCAGGAGAUUGUGGUCACCACGCCGGUUCAAAAUCUCUGGUGGCUAAAGCGUUUCGCCAUGGCUUCUAUUGGUUACCUGCUCAUGCUGAUGCAGAGGAUCUAGUCAGACGAUGUGAUGGUUUCCAAAAGUUCUCAAGACGUGCUCAUGUACCAGCUCAAGAAUUGAGAAUGAUUCCAAUUACUUGGCCAUUUGCGACUUGGGGGCUGGAUAUGGUUGGGCCUUUCAAAAGGUCCAAAGAUAAGAAGACCCACCUCCUGGUGGCGGUUGACAAGUUUACAAAGUGGGUGGAGGCAGAACCUGUUAGCAAGUGUGAUGCGGCCACGGCGGUUCAGUUCAUUAAAAAAGUGAUUUUCCGGUUUGGCUUUCCACACAGUAUCAUCACAGAUAAUGGUACCAAUUUGUCCAAAGGUGCCAUGAAGGAGUUCCGCGAACGGGAGCACAUCUGGCUCGACGUUUCAUCAGUGGCACACCCACAGUCCAAUGGUCAAGCAGAAAGAGCUAAUCAAGAGAUCUUGAGAGGCAUCAAGCCCCGGCUCAUAGUUCCUUUGCAGAGAACGCCGGGUUGUUGGGUAGAAGAAUUACCAUCUGCGUUAUGGAGCAUCAAUACAACACCCAAUAGGUCAACAGGAUACACACCGUUCUUCAUGGUUUAUGGAGCAGAGGCGGUUCUCCCCAGUGAUAUCCGUCAUGAUUCACCUCGUGUGAUGGCUUAUAUUGAAGCGGACAACGAGACAGCAUGGCAAGAUGCUUUGGACCGGUUGGAUGAAGAGCGUGACAUAGCAGCCGCCCGAUCGGCGAUUAACCAACAGGAUCUCCGUCGUUAUCACAGUGACCAAGUCAGAACCAGAACCUUCCAGGAAGGAGAUUUGGUGCUUCGGCUCAUCCAAGAUCAGACUGAUAUGCAUAAGUUAUCCCCACCUUGGGAGGGGCCUUUCGUGGUCAACAAGAAUCUGCACAAAGGCUCAUACUAUCUGAUCGAUAUUCGAGAGCAUAAGGACUCACGUACAUCAGAGGAGGAGACCAACAGGCCGUGGAACAUAGCUCAUCUUCGGCCUUAUUAUACCUGAGUCAUUGGUUCUACUUAUGUACAUAUUACAACGAUGUAUAUAUUAUGAUUAAAUAUAAUAAAUCAGAAUCUCAGCUAAAGCGGGGAAUCUGUUCUUUUACAUCAUGUGUGGUUACACGGAGUUGUUCUAAAGUGGCCUCCGGUUUACCCCUUGAGUUCGCUUUUUAAAAGCAUCAUGUCAUAUCACUUGGAGGUUUGGUCGUGUCCGAACCAAUACCAUACCUCUUGAUAGGUGAGAGCCACCAGAUCACUUGGGGACUUGGUCACGUCUGAACCAGUCAUGCCUCUUGAUCGGCCUAAGGCCACAGAAUCACUUGGGGGCUUGGUCGAACCUGCACCAUUGCCAUGCCACUUGGUCGGCAUAAAUGCCACGGUUUCAUUUGGGGACAUGGCUGACUAGAACCAUAGUUACACCUAACGGGAGUUUGGUCGUGUUCGGCCAUGGUAACGCCAUUUGAUCAGCUCAAAUAAACCUUUUUUGCAAACGGUUUUGUCAUUGCUUUUGCUUCGCACUUUUCUUUGCAAGAUAAUUUUUUCUUUUUUAUUGCGCUUUUUUAAACCGACAAAGUUUUCAACCAAUCAAUUGACGGAACACAGUUCACAUCAAUCCGGAGACUAUUUGCCCAGUUUGAUCCUUGUUGUUAACAUCCUCUUAUGGAGUAACACGGUGUUUAUUAUAACCCGACACGAUUUACAUGAUAAACCAGCAUCAUAUAUAUACAGGAGCUGUUAUCUCCUCCAACAGUGUGGGUUUGCAAAACUCCGCUUCAAGAUUGGCCAAGCCAACUUCAUGCUCAACGAUGGCAGGUAUUAUGUAUCUCAAAAAUUUGGUCAUAUACUUCAAAUUUUUUGGAUGUUUUGACUUCAUAUAUGCAGACAUCAUAUUCCGCCUGACGGUACAACCGCGGUGGCACUUGAGGAGUUUCUUAUUGCAGAAAGUGCUUUGGAAAGUUCAUCACCACAGGAAGAACAAAUUAUGCACGAAGGCAUAUCAACAUCAAAAGUAUCAGCUAGCCUAUUACAAGGCAACACGGUGCCCAUAAUAAUAUCAUUGUUUUUUCGCAAAGGAGAGGCAGUUUUAAAACCGGCUUCCGGUUCAAGCUUGGUCACCAGCCUGGCCUGAUGGUUGUGGGUCAUCCUACGCCGCUUCAGCCUCCGUUUCUCUACCCAGUGGCUGGAAAUCAAUAGUUGUCCAGUCGAUUCCGAUUAAUGCUUGAAAAAUAGCUUCAUCAUGGAUCAGCAAUGACGGGUCAAUAUCGGGAACGUAAGUAUGCUUACGGAUUGGAGGGAUCAGAUUUUCCGAUUCAUGGAUUGGUGCUGCUAUUCGCUUGUUCUGAUUGUCAUAUUGGGCUAUAUAAUGAGACAAGUCUGCUUCUUCAGCCAAUUGACAAGCUAGCAGACGUACCUCCCGGUUUAUUGCUCGCAGAUCCGCUUCACCAAACUCUGACCCAUCUUCCUUCAAGCUGGGAUAGCCCUGAGCCGCUUCAAUAGGAUCAAAAUCCGGCACCCAGGCUUUUGCCCGGAUUAAGGCAUUGAUCGCACCGGUUCGAGUAGCAGAUUUCUUCAGCUCUUCAACCCGGGCAGGAAGCACCGACAGUUUCAUCAGAGUGUCUUGAAUCAAAGUGGGCGCCGGUUUGUUAUGGGAUGCGGUACAAAUGAUCCGCUGGGCACCAGUAUACAAUUGUUCAACCAAUGUAGAGGCGGCUUUCAGUUUCUUCCGUACAUCUGACCCCAAGUGACCAAUGCGUGUCCCUGAAAUACCAUAAAGGGUUAAUAAACCGGCAACUCUGUAAGAAGGCAGAGCCAAUUCAGAAGUCAAACUGGCUUCCCAAAGAUAGCAGUAGUCAUGGCAUGCACGUGCCGCUUUAUGCUGGUCAGUUCAUCCGCCACUGGUUUUAGUGCAGCCUCGGCAUCCUUUGUUCGUUUGAUUAAAGCGGACUUUUCAGUGGCCCAAUCCGCCCGCUUCUUCUUGAAGCUCUCCUUAAGCUGUUCCAUGGCGCUUAAAGUGUUGGCUAAUUCCUCUUUUGCUUUGGAGGUUUCAGCUUGUUGGGUUUUCAGAUUUUCUUGGAGAUCAGCGACUUGGCUUUCUUUCCUCUUCAGCUCCGCCUGCAUGCAGACAGUUAUAUGCUUCAACAAAACGGUACAAGGAUUGAAGUACCAACCACAUAACAAGUUAUGCACUUAGCACUUGGGGGCUAAUGCAUAUUCAAUCUUCAUCUUUCAAUUGCUUACAGAGUCCCAAGAUCAAUACAAGUAUUCAACUUGGCACUUGGGGGCUAAUGGCUCUUUUCUCGUAUAUAUAUUCUGAUGCGGCAAUCUCAAUUAAUUAAAGUACCGGCUUAACUACGCUAAGUUGAACCGGCCCUUGGGGGCUACAUCGACAAAUUUCAAAGUAUUAAGAUUUAUAUUAGUAAGUCCCGGUUUCAAAGAAGAUUACAAACCGGCCCUUGGGGGCUAGGAGAGUCAGCAAGUAUUGAAGCAUACAAGCAGGAAAGAGCAUAUGGAAGUUACCUCGUAUUUAUCCUUCAUCAUAUUAACCAGACUGGCUUCAUAGUCACGGCUGGUAUACAGCCGGUUCAGGUAGCCGGAAUGGAUAUCUUGCGCGUUCAGAGCAGCGUAAGUUGCCAGAUCAGCAUUCCACUUGCCUUUACCAAAGGCAACAAAUUCUUCCUUGGCAGAAUGUUUGGACAAAGCAACAUGAUUGCUUGGCUCGGUAUGGCCAGUGCCAGUAAUGACAACCUCAUCCUCCUGAGUAUCGCCGGUUUGCACUGGGGCUGUUGGCUUGUCAGUAGGUUUUGCUGGACCGGUGGAUCUCUCAAUCCGGAUGGAGCCUGUGGGCUGAUUGACAAGACCUGAGGCAUCAGUAGGUCUCUCUUCAGCAAUAAGAUCGUCGUCUUGCUGCGGUGGAUCAUUGGGUAUAUCCUCAGGAAUAGCCGCUUCAAGAUCGGGUGUUUUGCCUGGCUCAAGAACGACAUCUUCUUCGGCCGCUUUGUCCAGGCGGGCUUUCUUGCUUGGCCUAGGUUUGGCCCUGAAAAGAAUAACAAAAUCAAAUACAGCAUAUGUUCUAAGGCGAUGUGCUGCAAAUAUCAUAAUAAGUAUAGCUUACCCAAGCACCGUUUUGAGCGGUGGCAGCUGAGUAGCCGAUGACUCGCCAUAAGAUGAGUGGGAAGUAACCUGGUAAUCGGAGUCAGAUGGAUUAAGAGGUUGACAAAAGCAGCCCGCUUUAGGACAAUCACUAACAAGCCAAUUAGAGACCUCUGAACGGCGUUUCCGAACCGGACUGUUCGGUAAAUCGGCGGAGGUAACUACCUGGCCGCUGUGCCGGGUUGUGCGACGAGCUUCGUGCUGUUGGGUCUUCAUAAGAAAUUUGGGAUCCAAAUAAGCAAGAGGAUGAGAAAAUUUAACUUUCCGGUUUGCCUGACGGUUUUUAGCGAAGGCAAAGGUUCUGAAUCGGAAGAGACAAUAAUUAACUCUGCAACAUCAGCGUGGCUGGCUUCGGCAUCAUCCUGAGAAAUAUCACCAUCAAUAAGACGCAUGAAAAAUAAGCCAAGUGAGUCAAGCUCUACCUCAAGGUCCGAAUUAUCCACGUCAUCAUCAGGGGCCGGAUUAGAAGAUGCAGUAGUUCUUUUCCUGUGGGCAGUCUCCUUUACAGCUUUAGUCUUUUGCCGAGUUGCUCUUUCCGGUUUGUCUGGUUUUUCUGGUUUCUCCUGCGGCAAUUUCUUGCCCCAAAACGGAUCAUUGCCCUGGUUACACAGACACUGAUAUUAAACAAUGACCAGAUAUAUCAAUAACAGAUUCAGCAAAAGGAAAAAUCAAGGCCUUAUAGCUGGCGGUUUGUUGGUGGCACAGAAGGGAAGCAGGCCGUUUUUAGCACAGAUAUGUUCCGGUUCAUUCAGCAUCUUAUUCACAGCCUCUGUGAUUUCUUCAUCGGUGAGCUGGAUUUUGGAAUGUCGCAGUGGGUCAUCAACACUGCCGGUAUACUCGCACAUCAAACCGGAGCGCUGACUAAGGGGCAGUAUGCUCCAUGAUAUCCAACAGCGAGCGAGAUCAACCCCUGUUAAACCGUUGGCCAUAAAGGCUCUGAGCUUCAACAGUUGAGGAGCAUAUUUGCUUCUCUCCUGGGCAGUCAAUCUUUGCGGAAAAGGGUGUGUAUUGCUGAGCCGCUCCGGACGAAAACCAGGCAAGGGAUUCUCACCAGCAGGGGAGGUGUCUUUGCAAUAGAACCAUGUAUGAUUCCACUCUUUGGGGUGGUUGUGUAGUUUGGCGUGAGGGUAUGCUACCUCUUUCCUUUUCUGGAUCGCCACGCCACCCAACUCCGUAUUGGAGCCGUCAGUAAACUCAGUACGGCGGUUUAGAUGGAAAAGGUCUCUGAACAAUUCCACUAUGGGCUCCUCUUGAAAGAACGCCUCACAGAGCACUUGGAAGUGACACAUAUUUGUAACAGAAUUGGGGCCAGUGUCUUGUGGAUGGAGUUGGAAAUCGGCCAAAACAUCCCGGUAAAAUUUAGAACCGGGCGGCUUAAAGCCCCGAGCUAAGUGAUCUACGAAAACAACAACCUCUCCUUAUGGAGGAGUGGGAAGGAAUUCUUUGCCAGGAGCCCUCCAAUGGAUGGUAUCUUUGCUGCCUAAAGCACCGAUCAGGACUAGAUCGUCCAGCUGAGCCUUUGUGACGCGAGAAGGAACCCAAUUGCACUCAUAUACUUGCUUGGCCAUGAUGGAAUCUACAAGGUAGAAGAUCCCGGUUCAAAAAUGCAUUUGAUAAAGGUGCAUUGGUAUGUGCAAUGUUAAACCGGAGACAGAUCUAUCUGAACCAGAGUUUUAUGAAGCAACAACAUCUGGCGGUUCAACAAGGGGACUAAUGGUAUAUACCGGUUUGGCAAUUUUUUUCUACAAGGUUAAACCGCCUGGUUCAAACAUUGAAGGAGAUGAGUAAGUUUAUAGAAACAGAUUUCGUAAGAUUUCUCUACAGCGAUGGAUCUGAAGCAAGUUCAGAAAAAAGAUAAAUAUUCCGAGGUCCAAAAGGAGCAGUACCGAAUCAAUGAGCAAGACGUACAUACAGAUCUAUGGUUUUGAGAUGUGUAAGUGAAGGCGAAGGGUAAACAGCUACCAUUGCAUAGAAUAAAGAUUUGCGGAGUCAUCUAAAGAUCUAUCGUAUGAGCAAGAGGCAGACGAUGAACACUGAAGAACUGUGAAACCCUAGGUUAGAUCUGCGGGGGGAAGGAUAGAAGAUUUACCGGAGCUGAGGGAGACGCGGAAGGUUGCCGCGCUGCUCUGGUGCGCCCAGGUUGAUGCAGUGGCCAAGGUUGAGGCAGAGGUCAACGGCGGCGGUGGAGCUCCGAGGCUGGCGACGCGAGGAAGACGAAGAAGAAAGGCACGAAGGGGAGGAAAGAAAUGACCCUUCGGUCCUAUUUAUAAGGCGAAAGAACAUGUGUCAGGCGCGACAAUCAAGGGGCCAUGAAACGGAGCUGUCGCCUCGAUUUCCGCAGAUCUAUUAAACAAAGAAGCAUAAUGGAUAGCUUCGUUAUGACAGGUGACGUCACUCCGGUUUACAGAAAUCAGAGAAGAUGACAUCAUGGCGGUUUACCAAUUUAUGAGAAGGUGUUGAAGAUGAAGCUUUUGUUAAAGGAUUGACAUGAACCCGUUCAAAUCAAUCAGGGGCCUAAUGUAGGGGAUAUUACUGCUGGGCGUAAACCGGCCUAUCUGGGCCGGGUCAACUUCAUCAGUAGUUCCAGAGUGAUAAAGCCCAAGAAGGCAGAUGAGGGCCUAAGGCCCGUAACCGGUUCAAGACUUGUAGCUAUAAACCGGGAUUUGUAUAUAAACUUGUAUUGUAAGUUAGGAAUAAGGAGAGACCAACCUGGAAUACGAAUAUCGACCGGUGUUGGGACUCUGUGAACUGAUGGGUGUCACCCGUGUAUAUAAGGGGACGACCCGGCGGCGGUUCAGAGAUAGACAACAACUCGAGACAUAGGCGAAGCUUGUUUGCUCCCUAGUCAUCGAAACCCCAUCAAUUCCAUCACAACUAGACAUAGGCUUUUACCUUCAUCGAAGGGGCCGAACUAGUAUAAACUCUCUUGCGUCCCUGUGUCCUCUUUAACCCCUUCAAGCUAACCCAUCGCGAUGGCUCCACGACUAAGUCCUUUCUCUAGGACAUCUGCCGUGACAAAGCCACGACAAGUCCACUAUACCUUCCUAUAUGCGGUAUCUACCUGCCCUUCCAAGUAAAUUUGUAUGUGCCAAACUCUAAACCUUCAAAUAAACAUUCUGUUUUGUAUGCUCGAAUAGCUCAUGUAUCAACCAAGGAUGUCCUUAUCUUCCAUGUUAGGCGGGUUAUUCUCAAGAGGAGUGGACUCCGCUCCUCACUCACGAGAAAAUGGCUGGUCACCGGGAUGCCCAGUCCCAUGCUUUAUGCAAACUAAAUCAAAAUUAAUUGCAAACAAAACUCCCCCUGGGACCCGAUGUAAGUUGGAGGCACUCGUUGUUUCGAGCAAGCCAUGGAUUGAUGCUUGUUGGUGGAGGGGGAGUAUAAACUUUACCAUUCUGUUUGGGAACCGCCUAUAAUGUGUUUACCAUGGAAGAUAUCGCCAUCUCUUAGUUGUUACGUUGACAAUGAAAGUAUACCGCUCAAAAUACAAUUUAUCUCUAUUGCAAAACCGAGCUCUGGCACCUCUACAAAUCCCUACUUCCCUCUGCGAAGGGCCUAUCCAUUUACUUUUAUGUUGAGUCAUCACCCUCUUAUUAAAAAGCACUAGCUGGAGAGCACAACUGUCAUUUGCAUUCAUCACUGUUAAUUUAUAUUGGGUAUGACUAUGAUUGGAUCUCUUUUACCAUGAAUUACAAUGUCUAGUCAAUCCUUGAUCUUUAAAGGUGCUCUGCAUUUAUGUUUUGCGGUCUCAGAAAGGGCUAGCGAGAUACCAUCUUGUUAUAUCAUAUUAUGAUUGUUUUGAGAAAGUGUUGUCAUCCAAGAUUUCUUAUUAUGACUUGCUAGUUGAUUAUGCUAUUGAUAUUAGUAAUUAUGAGACCUGAGAAUUAUUGCAAAUGUGGUUAGUUAUGAUCUAUGCUGAAAACUUGAAUACUGGCUUGACAUAGUUACAACAACAAGAGGAAACAGAGUUUGUAAAAGUUUUUCUUUCUUUCUUUCAGUUUGUCAACUGAAUUGCUUGAGGACAAGCAAGGGUUUAAGCUUGGGGGAGUUGAUACGUCUCUGUUGUAUCUACUUUUCCAAACACUUUUGCCCUUGUUUUGGACUCUAACUUGUAUGAUUUGAAUGGAACUAACCCGGACUGACGCUGUUUUCAGCAGAAUUGCCAUGAUGUUAUUUUAUGUGCAGAAAACAAAUAUUCUCGGAAUGACCUGAAACUCCACGGAACAUCUUAGAAAAAAUAAUAAAAAAUCCUCGCCAAAGAUGAAGACCAAGGGGCCCACACCCUGUUCACGAGGGUGGGGGCGCCCCCCUAGGGCGCGCCCCUACCUCAUGGGCCCCCUGGAUGCCCUCCGAUGCCAACUCCAACUCUAUAUAUUUGCUUUCGGAGAGAAAAAAAUAGGAAAAAAAUCAUCGCGUUUUAUGAUACGGAGCCGCCGCCAAGCCCUAAAACCUCUCGGGAGGGUUGAUCUGGAGUCUGUUCGGGGCUCCGGAGAGGGGGAUUCGUCGCCAUCGUCAUCAUCAACCAUCCUCCAGCACCAAUUUCAUGAUGCUCACCGCCGUGCAUGAGUAAUUCCAUCGUAGGCUUGCUGGACAGUGAUGGGUUGGAUGAGAUUUAUCAUGUAAUCGAGUUAGUUUUGUUCGGGUUUGAUCCCUAGUAUCAAUUAUGUUCAGAUUGAUGUUUCUAUGACUUUGCUAUGCUUAAUGCUUGUCACUAGGGCCCGAGUGCCAUGAUUUCAGAUCUGAACCUAUUAUGUUUUCAUGAAUAUAUGUGAGUUCUUGAUCCUAUCUUGCAAGUCUAUAGUCACCUACUAUGCGUUAUGAUCCGACAACCCCGAAGUGACAAUAAUCGGGACCACUCCCGGUGAUGACCAUAGUUUGAGAGUUCAUGUAUUCACUAUGUGCUAAUGCUUUGUUUCGGUUCUCUAUUAAAAGGAGGCCUUAAUAUCCCUUAGUUUCCAAUAGGACCCCGCUGCCACAGGAGGGUAGGACAAAAGAUGUCAUGCAAGUUCUUUUCCAUAAGCACGUGUGACUAUAUACGGAAUACAUGCCUACAUUACAUUGAUGAAUUGGAGCUAGUUCUGUGUCACCCUAUGUUAUGCCUGUUACAUGAUGAACCGCAUCUGGCAUAAUUAUCCAUCACUGAUCCGGUGCCUACGAGUUUUCCAUAUACUGGUUUACGCUUAUUAACUUUCCCGCUGCUACUGUUACAAUCACUACAAAAUACCAAAAACAUUACUUUUGUUGUCUUUACUUUUGUUGCUGCUACCACCACUAUCAUAUUACUUUGCUACUAAACACUUUGCUAUAGAUACUAAGUUUCCAGGUGUGGUUGAAUUGACAACUCAGCUGCUAAUACUUGAGAAUAUUCUAUGGCUCCCCUUGUGUCGAAUCAAUAAAUAAGGGUUGAAUACUCUACCCUCGAAAGCUGUUGCGAUCCCCUAUACUUGUGGGUUAUCAGUAUACAAUAGAUCUGGUACACAGCAUGGCAUAUUUUAUAGAACCUAUGGCCAAGGCAUAGGGAAUGACUUUCAUUCUCUUUCUAUCUUCUACCAUGACCGGGCUUUGAGUCUUACUCAGUUUCACACCUUGUAACACAUGCAAGAACUCUUUCUUUGACUGUUCCAUUUUGAACUACUUCAAAAUCUUGUCACGGUAUGUACUCAUUGAAAAAUUUAUCAAGCGUCUUGAUCUAUCUCUAUAGAUCUUAUUGCUCAAUAUGUAAGCAGCUUCACCGAGGUCUUUCUUUGAAAAACUCCUUUCAAACACUCCUUUAUGCUUUGCAGAAUAAUUCUACAUUAUAUCCGAUCAACAAUAUGCCAUUCACAUAUACUUAUCAGAAAUGUUGUAGUGCUCCCACUCACUUUCUUGUAAAUACAGGCUUCACCGCAAGUCUAUAUAAAACUAUAUGCUUUGAUCAACUUAUCAAAGCGCAUAUUCCAACUCCGAGAUGCUUGCACCAGUCCAUAGAUGGAUCGCUGGAGCUUGCAUAUUUUGUUAGCACCUUUAGGAUUGACAAAACCUUCUGGUUGCAUCUUAUACAACUCUUCUUUAAUAAAUCCAUUACGGAAUGCAGUUUUGUUUAUCCAUUUGCCAGAUUUCAUAAAAUGCGGCAAUUGCUAACAUGAUUCGGACAGACUUAAGCAUAGAUACGAGUGAGAAACUCUCAUCGUAGUCAAUACCUUGAACUUUGUCAAAACCCUUUUCGACAAGUCUAGCUUUGUAGAUAGUAACACUACUAUCAGAGUCCGUCUUCCUCUUGAAGAUCCAUUUAUUUUCUAUGGCUUGCUGAUCAAUGGGCAAGUCAAUCAAAGUCCACACUUUGUUCUCAUACAUGGAUCCCAUCUCAAAUUUCAUGGCCUCAAGCCAUUUUGUGGAAUCUGGGCUCAUCAUCGCUUCCUCAUAGUUCGUAGGUUUGUCAUGGUCAAUUAACAUGACCUCUAGAACAGAAUUAUCGUACCACUCUGGUGUGGAUCUCACUCUGGUUGACCUACGAGGUUCGGUAGUAACUUGAUCUGAAGUUACAUGAUCAUCAUCAUUAGCUUCCUCACUAAUUGGUCUAGGAGUCACAGAAACACAUUUCUGUUAUGAUCUACUUUCCAAUAAGGGAGCAGGUACAGUUACCUCAUCAAGUUCUUCUUUCGUCCCACUCACUUCUUUCGAGAGAAACUCCUUCUCUAGAAAGGAUCCAUUCUCAGCAAUGAAUAUCUUGCCUUCGGAUCUGUGAUAGAAGGUGUACCCAACAUUUUCUUUUGGGUAUCCUAUGAAGACGCACUUCUCCGAUUUGGGUUCGAGCUUAUCAGGUUGAAACUUUUUCACAUAAGCAUUGCAACCUCAAACUUUAAGAAACGACAGCUUAGGUUUCUUGCCAAACCAUAGUUCAUACAGUGUCAUCUCAAUGGAUUUAGAUGGUGCCCUAUUUAACAUGAAUGUAGCUGUCUCUAAUGCAUAACCCCAAAACGAUAGUGGUAAAUCGGUAAGAGACAUCAUAGAUCGCACCAUAUCAAGUAAAGUACAAUUACGAUGUUCAGACACACCAUUACGCUAUGGUGUUCCAGGUGGCGUGAGUUGUGAAACUAUUCCACAUUGUUUCAAAUGAAGACCAAACUCGUAACUCAAAUAUUCUCCUCCACGAUCAGAUCAUAGAAACUUUAUUUGUUUUGUUACAAUGAUUUUCAACUUCACUUUGAAAUUCUUUGAAAUUUUCAAAUGUUUCAGACUUAUGUUUCAUUAAGUAGAUAUACCCAUAUCUGCUCAAAUCAUCUGUGAAGGUUAGAAAAUAACGAUAUCCGCCACGAGCCUCAAUAUUCAUCGGACCACAUACAUCUGUAUGUAUGAUUUCCAACAAAUCUGUUGCUCGCUCCAUAGUACUGGAGAACGGUGUUUUAGUCAUCUUGCCCAUGAGGCACGGUUCGCAAGUACCAAGUGAAUCAUAAUCAAGUGGUUCCAAAAGUCCAUCAGUAUGGAGUUUCUUCAUGCGCUUUACACCAAUAUGACCAAAACGACAGUGCCACAAAUAAGUUGCACUAUCAUUAUUAACUUUGCAUCUUUUGGCUUCAAUAUUAUGAAAAUGUGUAUCACCAUGAUCGAGAUCCAACAAACCAUUUUCAUUGGGUGUAUGACCAUAGAAGGUUUUAUUCAUGUAAACAGAACAACAAUUAUUCUCUAACUUGUAUGAAUAACUGUAUUGCAAUAAACAUGAUCCAAUCAUAUUCAUUGUCAACACAAACACUAAAUAACAUUUAUUUUAGGUGUAACACUAAUCCCGAAAGUAUAGGGAGUGUGCGCUGAUGAUCAUAUCAAUCUUGGAACCAUUUCCAAUACAAAUCGUCACUUCACCCUUAACUAGUCUUUGUUCAUUCUGCAACUCUCGUUUCGAGUUACUAUUCUUAGCAACUGAACUAGUAUCAAAUACUGAGGGGUUGCUAUAAACACUAGUAAAGUACACAUCAAUAACAUGUAUAUCAAAUAUACCUAUGUUCACUUUGCCAUCCUUCUUAUCCGCCAAUUACUUGGGGUAGUUCCGCUUCCAGUGACUAGUCCCUUUGCAGUAGAAGCACUCAAUUUCAGGCUUAGGUCCAGACUUAGGUUUUUUCACUUGAGCAGCAACUUGCUUGGUGUUCUUCUUGAAGUUCCCCUUUUUUCCCUUUGUCCCUUUACUUGAAACUAGUGGUUUUGUUUACCAUCAACACUUGAUGCUUUUCUUGAUUUCUACCUUCGUCGAUUUCAGCAUCACGAAGAGCUUGGGAAUCGUUUCUGUUAUCCCUUGCAUAUUAUAGUUCAUCACAAAGUUCUACUAACUUGGUGAUGGUGAAUAGAGAAUUCUGUCAAUCACUAUUUUAUCUGGAAGAUUAACUCCCACUUGAUUCAAGCGAUUGUAGUACCCAGACAAUCUGAGCACAUUCUCACUGCUUGAGCUAUUCUCCUCCAUCUUUUAGCUAUAGAACUUGUUGGAGACUUCAUAUCUCUCAACUCGGGUAUUUGCUUGAAAUAUUAACUUCAACUCCUGGAACAUCUCAUAUGGUCCAUGACGUUCAAAAUGUCUUUGAAGUCCCGAUUCUAAGCCAUUUAAGCAUGGUGCACUAAACUAUCAAGUAGUCAUCAUAUUGAGCUAGCCAAACGUUCAUAACAUCUGCAUCUGCUCCUGCAAUAGGUUUGUCACCUAGCGGUGCAUCAAGGACAUAAUUCUUCUGUGCAGCAAUGAGGAUAAACCUCAGAUCACGGAUCCAAUCCACAUCAUUGCUACUAACAUCUUUCAACUUAAUUUUCUCUAGGAACAUAUCAAAAAUAAAACAGGGGAGCUAAACGCGAGCUAUUGAUCUACAACAUAGAUAUGCUAAUACUACCAGGACUAAGUUCAUGAUAAGUUAAAGUUCAAUUAAUCAUAUUACUUACGAACUCCCACUUAGAUAGACAUCCCUCUAAUCCUCUAAGUGAUCACGUGAUCCAUAUCAACUAAACCAUGUCCGAUCAUCACAUGAGAUGGAGUAGUUUCAAUGGUGAACAUCACUAUGUUGAUCAUAUGUACUAUAUGAUUCACGCUCGACCUUUUGGUCUCAGUGUUCCGAGACCAUAUCUGUUAUAUGCUAGGGUCGUCAAGUUUAACUUGAGUAUUCCGCGUGUGCAACUGUUUUGCACCCAUUGCAUUUGAACAUAGAGCCUAUCACACCCGAUCAUCACGUGGUGUCUCAGCACGAAGAACUUUUUUUUGAAGGGUAAACAGUAGGAAAGGCUCCUACUGUGUUUUCAUAUAUGUAUAUAUAGACAGGGUGUUACAAGGGUUAGUACAUAUGUAGUUGCCCUAUUUUGCCAUGCUGCCCUUCCAGAGGGGGCAGGUGGUCGAGGCGUGGUGUUAUUAGUUCAAUUCAGAAACAAAAGAAGAAAUAAAAGCAGGAUGACCCCCCCUAGUCCUAUGUUUGAGGAGAUCAAAGUCUUCCUUGAAUCUAUUCAGCCACCCACCGAUAGUUGGUGUAAUCCUCCUGAAAUGUUUGUUGUUUCUUUCUUUCCAGAGACUCCAGGCUGCCACCAGGAAGGUUUCAAAGAAUAAUGGACGUCCCCAGGAGUGUUUAGCCUGUUGAAGUAAUUGUAGGCGGCAGGUGAAGGGUGGCCAGCUGAUCCCAAGUUUACGCCAGCAAGCUUGACUGAAUGUGCAAGUAAAUAUCAUAUGAUCCACAGUUUCUUCGUCAUGAUUGCCGCAGAGCAGGCAGCUGUGGUCGUCACCUAUGUCAAAAUGUCGACGCUUGAGCAUGUCACGUGUGUUUAGACGGUCGACCAUCAGCAGCCAACCGAAGACUUUGAUCCGCAUGAUGCAACGAGAGCGCCAGAGUAAGGAGAAGGCUGGGUGGGCGUUGGUGUCUCGGAAGAAGAAUUUGUAGUAGUCAGCCGGCCGGUAAAUAGAUUUCCCCCAGGUAUAGUACCAAAUAUCAUUAACAGACGCGGACGGAUGGGCGUGCGUUGAGAUCUGCUGGAUGUCUCGAACUUCGUCCAGGGCCUGCGGGGAGAGUGGUAGGUGAAAUGUUUUCGACAAUGCCGUGCUCUCCAAGAAAUCCUUGACAGUCUCGUCCUCGUGCAUGGCGAAGGAGAAUGCAUGGGGGUGAGAAGCCUGCAAAAUAUCUGGCGCCCAGAGAUCUUUCCAAACCAGAACAGUGUCACCCGAUAUGAUUCGGACCUGUGAAAUCCCUCGAAAUAUAGGCGUAAGUUUGAGGAUUUGGCGCCACCAGAAAGAGCCCACAGGGUCAGUGGCGUGAGGAACCUUAUCGGUAUAGUAUGUGUUCCAAAUGAGCUGUACCCAGGGGACAUCAAGCUUGUUGUAAAACUUGUGUAAAAAUUUCAUGAGUAGGGCAUCAUUCUGCACCUUAAUGUUGAUAACCCCAAGGCCGCCAUGUUUUUUGGGUUUGCACACCAUCUCCCACGCGGCAAGGGAGUUGCACUUGUCCCCAUGUUCCGUCUUUUUGGUCCAGAGACAUCUCCUUCUGAUUUUGUCGAGCAUCUCAAUUAACUGGGGCGGAAAUUUGAGAGUGCACAUGGCGUAGAUGAGUAGAGAUGUGACGGUAGCGUUUAGCCACGAGAGUUUGCCCCCGUAGGACAUCAUUGAGAUCGUGGAGGUGAGUCGUCGUUCAGCACUGCAGACUAGGGGCAUCAGAUCAAGGAUGGUCGGUUUAGACGUGCCGAGAGGCAAUCCAAGAUAGGUAAAGGGCAUGGAUCCGACUGAGCAUCCAAAGAAGGUCGCAAGCGCCAAGGCAGCCUCUUGAGUCAUGUUGAUUGGGAUUAGUGUUGACUUGUGGAAAUUAAUUCGGAGGCCGAUGGAAGAAGCAUAGUCCACAAGGAUUUGUUUGAUGACUGCAGCUUGCUGAGGGCAUGCAGGCAUGGCCAAGAUGGUGUCGUCGGCGUAUUGGAUUACUGGGUAGUCUGUUUGGCCGAUGCAGGGAAAGGGCAGUUGGACUUUCCCUUCUCUAAAGGCGUCAUUAAUAGCAGCUUGUAGGAGAUCAGCCGCAAUGACGAAGAUCAAUGGGGAGAGAGGGUCCCCCUGGCGUACACCUGUGCGGCAGUGGAAUUGUCGGCCGCGGACACCAUUCAGUAGAACUGAUGAUCGCCCUGUCGAGAAGAUGCAAUUAAUCCAAGACAGCCACUUGUCGUUAAAUCCCAGGUGUUUCAUGAUGGUGAUCAUGGGAGCGUGUUCGAUUGUAUCAAAGGCUUUAGCGAAAUCCAGUUUCAACAAGAUAAUCUGCUUCUUCGAUGCAUGGCAUUGAUGUAUAUAUUGAAAUGCCCAGGCCAGGCAAUCCUGUAUCGUCCUCCCUUUUAUGAAACCAUAUUGGUUCUUGUGGAUAACCUUUAAGAUCACUCGUUGCAGGCGAUUAGCUAGCAGCUUUGUAAUUAGCUCAAGACAGCAAUUGAGAAGGGUGCUCGGGCAGUAAUCAUUAACAGUCUCUGGUGAGGUGAUCUUAGGAAUCAGUGUGAUGAGGCCAUCAUUUAUACUAGAGAGGUCCAAGUCUCCUUGGUGGAAUGUUUCACAGAGGUUAUAAAAAUCGUGUUUGAUAAUAGGCCAGCAAGCUUUAAGGAAUGCACCACUGAAUCCAUCUGGGCCGGGAGCACGAUCGGCUGGCAUUUAUUUGAUAACAGCAUCAAUCUCCUCAUGGGUAAAAGGCAUAGUCAGGUGGUCAAGGUCAUCCUGGUGCUGCAGAAUAUUAGGCAAGUUAAAUUUCAUUUGUGCAGGCCGCGAAGUACCCAGGCGAUCAGUGUAUGUACGAAACAGGAGUGCUUCUUUUCCAUCGUGACUGUCAAUGAUUGAACCAUCCUCUAUUUUGAAGGUUGCAAUGUUAUUGCGCCGAUACCGUUCUGUGGCAACCGCCUGGAAGAAUUUGGUAUUCUCGUCUCCAAACUUGAUCCAUCGAAUUGUGCAUCAUUUUUUCCAGUAUUGGUUUUGGUAUUUAAGGAGGCGCAAGAGAUGUUUCUUGAUGAUAUUCCGAAAGUUUGCUUCAGGAAUAGAAAGGGCUCUUUUGUUCUCAAGAUCAUCUAGGUGCGCCAAGGACUCGUUGCAAUUAGCAAUGGCUACAGACAAUCGGGAUAGAUUUUUGCUCCAGAUUUUUAGGGCAUGGCGUAAAGCUUUGAAUUUGCGACAGAGAAGGGUCGCAGCGUUUUGCGCUCUCACCGGUCUAUUCCAUACAUCUUGAACAAGAUCCAUGAAGCCAGGAUGCAGGAUCUAGAAAGGUUCAAAUCUAAAGACCUUGCUGCGAGGGAUGCAAGUUUGGAUGGAGAUAAUGCAAGGAACGUGGUCGGAGACAGGCUUACCAAGAGGCUUGACCAUGGUGUUGGGGUAUACGUUGGUCCAGUGCAACGAAGUGAAGAACCAAUCAAGUUGUUCAAGCAGUGGGUCUUGUUGCAUAUUGCUCCAAGUGUACAAUCUACCCUUGAUAGGAAGUUCAAUAAGGCUUUGCUUGCGGAUAAUAUCAUUGAAUGUGCACAUGUCUGAUGGGCACCCCCCUGGCUUAUUUCUAUUAUCAGGCGCACGAAUGUAAUUAAAAUCGCCAACUAGGAGCCAGUCCUGUGAGCUGGGUAUAUCCAGAUUAUAAAGCCAAUUGGUAAACGUAAUACACGCGUCACCCGAACAAGGGCCAUAUAUAUUAGCGAGCGUCCAUGAGUGGGACGAUAACGUGCUAGUAAAAUUAAUGACCAAGGCAAAAUGAGAUGAGAAAACCACAGCGCCAAUAAACAGAGAGCUUUUCCAAAUGGUAAGCAAGCCACCCGAGGCUCCUUGAGAGGGGACAUAGGCAAAUUGAUCAAAUUGUCUAGGGCAACAUGACUUAAUAAACGAUAAAUCAAAAGUGGUUUUCUUUGUCUCUUGGAUGCAAACAACCGAGCAGCCACUGGUUCUAAUGGCGUUAUUCAGUGCAAGCUGUUUAUCGUCAGAGUUGAUGCCGCGUAUGUUCCAACAGAGCACUUCCCAACUACGCAAAAGUGGCAUGAGGAGGAAACGAACUAGGCCCUAGAUGGCCCCGCCUCAUCAGGUAGGUCAACAUUGGCAGUAGAACCUGGGGGAGUGGAUGCAGCAGAAGAUGGGGCAGGUGCAGCCGUGAGGAUAUCUUCAGUCAGUUCAACCGCCGGAACAGCACAUCUGUUAAUACCAACAGACUGCAGGACAUGGACAGGAGUGUGAGGAACAACUUCAGAGUUUGGUUCCAUGGCCGAAGAGGAGGAGCCAAUCGAGGGAACCAGCCUGGGCUUAACCUUGGAGGUGGCGGUGCGGGUUUCAAUCACCUGGUUGACCUUGAAGCCAUUAUAUUUGUUUGAACGAUUGCUUCGGCGUACUUCCACAGUGGAGAUGGGAGCAGGUGCCCGAGCCCGACGACCACGAGUCACAACAGAGGGACUUGCUGGUGCCAUGAUGGAGUUGACAGCAGCAAGGCCAGCGGGCUCGGCAGAGGAGUUGAUCACAGGCGUAGGUAAGCCCUGCAGAGCCCGCUCAUUGGAACUGUCAAGUUCGGAGUUCAGGGGCACAUUGUGAAAAGCAGCCAGCGGGGUAGGUUCAGAGUGCAAAGGGGCAUCCGGAGCAGGCAAAAGAAGCUGAUUGUUCUGUGUAGGAUCUUCAGAUAUAUCUUCCAGUACCACAGAAGACCUUGGAGGAUCUAGCAGCUGAGACAGAGCAAUGCCAUUGACAUCAGAAGAAACUAGCACAGUGACUUGCACAUUUGCAGACUGCAUACCAUAACCUGAACUCCAAGGGCCAAUAGUGGCUAAAGCAGGGCGUAGAGCGUGAAAAAUGAAGUUAUUCGACCGCUGCCUGGGAAUAGGGUCCGAAAGCAGAAGGUUCAACAGCUCUGAUCCAUUAGUCGAAAGGCCAAACUGAAUGCCAUUGUUGUGCAUGUUGACGGUAAUAUUCAGGGUAUCUUGAGUUGCAAGCGGGGCAGGUUCAGUGUUAGGAAACACCAACAGAGCAUGAUCAGAAGGAGCAGAGCUGUCAUCAGAGGAGGAGAAGGUAUCAUUCCAUGCCUCCAUGGGAUUGUCGGAAAUAUUAUCCUCUGGCACAACACCAUGCUGGAAGGUAAGGCCUUGAGCUGCUAGCCAUGCGUGGUAAUUGACAAGGUGCUCAGGGAGGGUGGGCAGAGGAUGAGCCGGAGGAGCUGCCCACUGGCCCCAACCCGCAUUCUCUUGAGGAGGUGCAUUGCCCUGGUUGUCAUUGCCAGCAUUGGGAGCUCCAUUUUGCACAAGCCAGUUAUGCACCUGCUGUUGGUAGAGCUGCUCAGCAGUCAUAUCAGGACCAAAAAAUGGAUGAGGAUUUCCAUCUGCAGGAGGGUCUUCCUCACCAGGGGGGAGUACUUCAGGUAAAAGGCCAUUCCAAUCAUUGCUUCUAAGGAUGGUGAUUUGAACAGUCCAACAAUCCCGUGCACCACCCAGCUGCCAGACCACAAAGCUUUUGGGGAUCAAACGAAGACGAAGAACGCGUGCCUUAAUGAGCAUAAACCUCCUAUCCUGCCGCGGAUUGUACCAACUGACAAGAGAUACAAAACCACCCAGAGCCUUGGUGAUAUAGUAAUCCGUCUGAUAGUCAUAUGGAAAACCGAAAAACAUGAGCCAAACUUCAGGCCCAAAGGAGGUGGUACGACGGUUCAAAGCUUCAUUGUGCGGCACAAAGGUUAUCAGAAGAUCCUCUUCUUCAAGUUCCAGGGGAGUAUUGACCGCAGAAUCACGCAUGAAAGAGUCCGCAAAACCAAAAAUACCAAUGCCAAGAGGGUGAUCGCUUACUUCAGUGGUAAAAAGUUGUGAUUCGUGGAGCAGGCCUUGGAUCAUGUUGCGGAUGGCCGCGCGGCGGUGCAGUGGGACAUACACACUGGCCUCGGCGAUGGCGAGGAAAUCAUGGUUGAGCGGCGAGAUGGGGCCAACAAUCAUGCCGCUGCGGACGACACGGUCCGCCGGACCGGGUUCGACGGCGAAGCCCGGCGGUAGGAAGGGCACCGGAUUGAGAGGGUAGUUCGCCAUGGACUGUGGAGCGGCGGAGGACAACGCUGGUGGUAGCUGGUGAAGUGAUACGAGAGGGCAGAGCUGCGGUGUUGAGGAAGCCGAGGUGGAAGCCGGACCGUGAGGGGUAGAAUGGGUAGAGGGAGAGGAUUUUUCUCGCCACUGCCAUUUCUCGUUGAAAAGCCGUUUAUGACAAGAUCUUUCCACGUGGCCGUAGAAGCCACACACCGUGCAUCGGACGGUUGAUUUGCGUUUGGGCUUAUCACACAUGGUAAGGCAAGGAGCAAUUUGCUCAGGCAGCGGAUGCGUGUUACCAAUUGUGGGUUGCAAAGUUUGGAUCGUUUGGGGCCUAACAAAAUUGAGGCAAUCACUGGCCUUAUGUCCAGGCGAGGAGCAGUUAAUACAAAUCAAUCUAGCCUGGCAAGAAAUCUUAUGGUGUCCCCAUUGAAGACAACGCAAGCACAAAACCGCCCAAUUAGAGGAUAAAUCCAAAAUAUCAGAUUCUGAAUAAUGGGCCUGGGCCAAAUCAGCUUUAUGACGGGCCAAGAGAGUAGCGGGCCAGGUCACAUGUUUGGGCGCAUAUUUGAAUGCUGGCUUGAAAAAACAUUGGGGCAGCGUAGGAUACGGGACAGACAAUGGGCACUUAAAGGCUCCUAAUUUUAUGUAAUUCCCCGGCAAUGAUUCCUCCAAAUGGGCCUGGUUCAAAAAAUGAGCCAUUAAUGCGGCGCGAUCGUUGGGCGAUGGAACCAUGCAAGCAGCUCGUGAGGAAGGAUCAGCAGGAUCCCCCGUAGUAAGAACUGAUGUCGUAAGAUCCUGUGAAUUUUGAUUCAAGCGUGAUGAGGACGCUUCAUGAGCAUUGUUGGAGAACCGCAUCGAAGAAAGCGGAUUCAGACCAAACUUACACAACACCUCCUCAGAGUUAGAAUUCAAGUUAGCUCCCGAAUGCAGGAAUUGUAAAGAUGAUUUAACAGCCAAUGAACGACGAGAAGAUAAAUCCGUGAGCUCAGUGUCAGCGUGCCAACAUGAAUCAUCAAUUGGAGCACUUGCAAAACGGCCAUUGAAAAGGUGGAAAUGACAGACAAAAUCCGGCCAAACACGAUCCCUCAAAUGGUGGAUGAAAUGUCCCACUUUAUUAUUAGCCACCGAAAACCGGAAGGAUUGAGAAUUGAGUUGAAGCACUUUGAAUCCAUUGCUAAGGCCCCCAAUACAGCAUUGUAGUGCAAUGCCAACCGAAUCCACAGUGAGGGGGAAGGAAGCCGAGGAGAAAGAGACCACCAAAAAAAUUCCUUGGAGUCCCGAGAAGGAGAGAAAUGGACCGUGGAGCCAAACCUGCGUCUCACCUGAUCGGCCAAUGCAAGGCCAGGUGCAAAGUCCCAAUGCAAGAGGCCUUCCAUGGAGGAUUACGUUAGAGCUCGCCAUGGAGAACGGUGGGUGCUAGGGGGGCGGAGGUGGGAGAGGAGAGGCUCGCCAUAGCACGAAGAACUUUCACUACGGUGCAUACUCAGGGGAACACUUGUACCUUGAUAAUUAGUGAGAGAUCAUCUUAUGAAGCUACCAUCGAACUAAGCAAAAUAAGAUGUAUAAAAUAUAGACAUCACAUGCAAUCAAAAUAUGUGACAUGAUAUGGCCAUCAUCAUCUUGUGCCUUUGAUCUCCAUCUCCAAAGCAUCGUCAUGAUUUCCAUCGUCACCGGGAUGACACCAUGAUCUCCAUCAUCUUGAUCUAUAUCAAUGUGUCCUCACAUGGUCGUCUCACCAACUAUUGCUCUUGCAACUAUUGCAAUUGCAUAGCGAUAAAGUAAAGCAUUUAUUUGGCGCUUGCAUCUUAUGCAAUAAAGAGACAACCAUAAGGCUUCUGCCAGUUGCCGGUAACUUCAACAAAACAUGAUCAUCUCAUACAACAACUUAUAUCUCAUCACGUCUUGACCAUAUCACAUCACAACAUGCCCUGCAAAAACAAGUUAAACGUCCUCUACUUUGUUGUUGCAAGUUUUACGUGGCUGCUACGGGCUGAGCAAGAACCGUUCUUACCUACGCAUCAAAACCACAACGAUAGUUUGUCAAGUUAGUGUUGUUUUAACCUUCUCAAGGACCGGGCGUAGACACACUCGGUUCAACCAAAGUUGGAGAAAAUGACACCCUUCUAGUCACCUGUGUGCAUAGCAUGGCGGUAAAACCAGUCUCGCGUAAGCGUACGCGUAAUGUCGGUCCGGGCUGCUUCAUCCAACAAUACCGCCGAACCAAAGUGUGACAUGCUGGUAAGCAGUAUGACUUAUAUCGCCCACAACUCAUUUGUGUUCUACUCAUGCAUAUUACAUCAACGCAUAAAACUUGGCUCGGAUGCCACUGUUGGGGAACGUAGUAAUUUCAAAAAUUUCCUACGCACACGCAUGAUCAUGGUAAUGCAUAGCAACGAGAGGGGAGAGUGUGUCCACGUACCAUCGUAGACCAAAAGCGGAAGCGUUAGCACAACGCGGUUGAUGUUGUCGUACGUCUUCACGAUCCGACCGAUCAAGUACCGAACGCACGGCACCUCCGAGUUCUGCACACAUUCAACUCGAUGACGUCCCUCAAACUCCGAUUGUAACAUCCCAAAUUUUCAAUUUGGAAUGUUAUACAUUAGAUCAUCAUGCAUAUCAUAUUUUAUUUGCUUUGGGUUUUGAUCCUAGAAAAUUCUAAGCAACUCAAGGACCCAUGGAGAGAGUUGGGGAUUUCGUUAUUUUCAUAUUUGAGUUUUUCUCAAAUUUUGAGAAUAGGAUCAUUUGGUUUUAUUUAUUUUAUCAUCAAUUAUUUCUAUUACAAAAAUAUGAGAGAGGGAAUAAAAUGACUUUCCCAAAAUAUAGAAAUAUUGAGGAUUUAAUAAAAAAAUCAAAGAGUUUUAUAUCAGAGUUUUUUUGUUGUUUUUAUUUGAAUUAGGAAAAAUGUGCGUUUUUCAAAAUUGCAUUUAGGGCCCAAAUAAAUGUUCACUUUGUCGGGCUUGAUUUUAGAAGCCCGGGAAAAUUUAUUUCGGGAUUUUUGGAGUCCGUUUAGUAUUUCUUUUUAUUUUUCUUCCAAGUGAAAAAAAACGGAACCGACUAUGGGCCGUACUCGGCCAGAACACCGCCUGGCCGGGGCCUUUAUAAGCCGGGGCAAGCCAGCCCGAAGGCCCAGCCACCCCGAAACCCUAGCCGCGCCCAGCCCCAGCNNNNNNNNNNNNNNNNNNNNNNNNNNNNNNNNNNNNNNNNNNNNNNNNNNNNNNNNNNNNNNNNNNNNNNNNNNNNNNNNNNNNNNNNNNNNNNNNNNNNNNNNNNNNNNNNNNNNNNNNNNNNNNNNNNNNNNNNNNNNNNNNNNNNNNNNNNNNNNNNNNNNNNNNNNNNNNNNNNNNNNNNNNNNNNNNNNNNNNNNNNNNNNNNNNNNNNNNNNNNNNNNNNNNNNNNNNNNNNNNNNNNNNNNNNNNNNNNNNNNNNNNNNNNNNNNNNNNNNNNNNNNNNNNNNNNNNNNNNNNNNNNNNNNNNNNNNNNNNNNNNCGCCGCCGCCCCGCCGCCGAUCCGCCGAAGCCGCGCGUCGCCCGAGGUUCACCGCAGCUCGAAAUCCGUGCCGUUUAAAAAAAAUUCCGUUCGUCGUGUUUCUUUUUCGUCGGAUUUUCCGCGGUUAUUUUCUGAUCGCGAUUUCUGAUCCGAUUUUCGUUUUAGUUUUUCUUUUCGCUCGUUUAUCGAAAUCAGGCGAUUCAAGCGCCUGGAGUUUCGUCUCGAAACCCUCUAUCCGAAUAAUCAACUUAAACAAGUUUUUGCUACUGUAAAAUCUGACUUAGGUUCAGAUUACUAGAACAAAGUUGUUUUCUUUCGCCGUUUGACUUUCUUUGCUUCGUUCGAUUUGAUUCUUUUUGCCAACAGGAGUUCUUAAGUUGAACCUUCUGGUUAGAUCUCUUAUUUGAGUUUUACCUGUGCAUUAGAUGAGUACUUAUUGUAUGCUUAUUUGUUUGCCUACGAUAGAGUACCCGGAGUGCGCCGCCUGUUACUUCGAAUCGUUAGGUUUCACGGAUCAUCAGCAAGGCAAGUAACACUUUGAUCAUUCCUUUUCUACAACCCAGUUUUUUUUGCAUUAGAUCAAUCUUCACACAUUGCAUGAUUAGGAUCUAAUUAAACUGUGGGAUGGGAAGUAGAUGAGGUAGUACCUAUUACCUGUUUAUUAUCAAACCUUUGGGAGUUACUUCUACGUUUGCUUAUUAUGCCAUGCUAUGCUAGUAGACGUGGAUUGGGUGAGUGAAAUCCAUGACAGAUGUGAGAUUGAUAAUUAAUGGUUUAUCUAAGGUGGCAACUUAAAUACACAUCUGGGUGGAUUGAGGCACCUUGGUAGUCCAGGACAUGCAUGUUUUCUUUUGGACCGCCACCCAGGCUCAAAGGGAUCAUGAGAUUUUUCAAACUAGAAACUUCCGUGUGCAGCCACAAGCCAUUAUGGGCUCUGGCAUAGUUGAUUAAGUCGUGCGAACUCUUACAGGUAGACUAGCAGAUGUAGGGGAAAGUAGGUGUACCGGUCUAUCCAUUGUAAGGUGCUAGCGCUUCUGAAAGACUGUGUCUCGGUCAUCCGUUUCUCAAACACCAUGUAGUGCGUGAAAUCCAACGGAGGCGAUCGAGUCUUGUGGGGAAAAGUGCGCAAACCUCUGCAGAGUGUAACAAACUAAUCAUGAUUAGCCGUGUCCCCGGUUAUGGACAUCUUGAGUAUCUAGUAUCUGGAUUAUCAUGUGAAUCUCAACAUGUUACUCCAAAAUUAAUGUUGUUGGGUUAAUGAUGAUGCUUAAUUGGGAUUGAGAAUGCUGUCAACCAUUCUCAAUGUUUAACAACCACCAUGAUAGUAAUUAAAUUUAUUCCUUUUGAAGUAGGGAAAAAUUGGCUUUAGGAAAAACUGUAACCAUAGAGCUUUCCACCAGCCAAAUAUGCAUAUAGUAUAGUUGUUGCAUUCCAUUCCUCUCUAUGUGUUACCUUGCCAGCAUAUUCCAUGUGCUGACCCGUUUUCGGGCUGCAACGUUAAUGUCGCAGACUUUUCAGACGACGAUUAAGGAGUUUUAGGUCGUAAUUCUAUACUCAGUGAUGCCGUUGGAGUUGAUGGACUCACUUAUCUUCUAAGCCUUCUGCUGUUAUUAUUAUUAGAUGGACUUAAGCCAUUUUUAUUGUAAUAAGUUCUCUUUUGAGACACUCGAUGUAAUAAGUGUGUGAUUGCUACUCUGCUAUAAAUCCUCCGAGUACUGUGUGGUGUCAGCAUUACUGAUCCAGGGAUGACACCGGAGCAUAGAGAUCAGACUGUUUGAGGUCUGGUCGCUACAGAGAUGGUAUCAGAGCACACGCUGACUGUAGGACACGACCACUAAGCUAAAGACCUAGAUCACUACUCACUCUCUUCUCUUCUGACCUCUCAUCUUUUCUACUCUUUAGGAUGGCGGAUGCAAGGAACAAGUUCCCCCCACCAGACGAAGAUACACCCUUUGGACGCCACUUGAAGGAAGUCACUAGAUACCUGAACAUAGGAGUACCAAGCUUCACGGGAACCUACAAUGCCACUUUACCUGAAGAAGAGCGCUGGAUGAUUCAAGUUCAAGUUCCAGGAAGGAUGUUCAUGCCAGUCACUGAGCCCAUAGAGUUUUCUUUUGAUGCACCAACUUGGAGUCUAGGAAAGAGUAUGGCAGCUCACAUCACCAUGGGACGCAUUGGAGAAGUCUACCGCAAGGAUCUUAAGGAUACUAUAUACCAAAUUUGUGGGCGCCGAGAUGAACACUGGGAGAUGAUCAGCACCAGGAAAGAUAGAUCAAUUGCAGCUUUUAUCCAAGAGUUAAAUCAGCACAUUCGACGACAGGAGAAUCAGAUGUGCGCCGACAUGAUAGAUCUGAAGAAGGCUAAGACUAGAAUCAAGGAACUGGAGGAAGAACUCAAGGCUACAUGUGAAGAUUAUGAAGAAGAAAUUGAAGUAUUGGUGGAUAAGAAUGCCGACCUAACUAUGAAGCUAGCAGUAUUUAUGGGAGGCCCGACACCAGUAGAUGAAGACGAAGAACCCAAGGAGAUUAGCCCGGAAGACUACAUCAUCAUUGAUGGCACCCACUCGGAAUAAGAUAGUAGCGAUGAUGACUAUGUUGAUGAAGUAGGAGCAGAUAUCAUGGAGUCUACAACCGUAGAAUAUUUCUAGUAGACCACCUCAUCAGUAGUAGUAGUCCACCAUGUAAAUAUAGUGGUCCGAGCACUUUGCGAUAGUUAGAUCGAUUGUAUGCCUUUGUUUGUUUGAAUGAAGUGAAUUGUUUGCUUUUGCCUCAUGUGCAUAUGGGUAGUGUUUUCUCUUUAGACCCCCUCUAUUCUUAUAUCUCAUCUUUUCUAAACCCUCAGAUGCCUCCGAGACGUGACCCCGGAUUUGCCUUUCCGCCGGAGCUCACCCAGUUGAUCCAGCAGCAGAACACCUUGAUGCAGUUGCUAGUCCAGAAUCAGAAUCAGGGGAACAACAACAACAACCCACCACCACCACCACCUGUUGACCACUUAGCCCGUUUUCUUAGGCUGAAUCCGCCGGUGUUUUCCAGUAGCACCGAGCCGAUAGUAGCAGAUGAUUGGCUCCCCAAGACAACUAGGGAGUUGACCACAGCAGGAUGCAUAGAUGCGGAGAAGGUUAAGUUUGCCGCACAUCAGUUAGAAGGACCCGCAGCAUCAUGGUGGGAGAAUUUCACAGCCACCUUUCCAAUCGACACUGUCACAUGGGAUCAAUUUCAGCAGGCUUUCCGUACUGCCCAUGUUUCAGCCGGAGCUAUGGCCAUGAAGAAGCGUGAGUUUCGUAACUUGCGCCAAGGAGGACGGACAGUUGGCUAGUAUGUGGAGGAGUUUAGUAAGCUAGCACGUUAUGCCCCAGAUGACGUUGCUACGGAUGCAGCUAAGCAGGAGAAGUUCCUGGAAGGACUAAAUGAUGAGUUGAGUAUGUAGUUGAUGGUAGCCACCUUCAACAACUACCAGGAGUUGGUAGACCAUGCUCUUAUGAUUGAAGGGAAGCAGCAGCAAAUUGAGAACUGCAAGAGGAAGUAUGGACAAGGAAAGUAUAAUUCAGGAGCUUAGCAGAAGCCACGUUUUACCCCUAGACCGGGAGGACAUUUUCAGCAUACCCAUGGAGUAGGUAGCUCGCACAAUCACAAUGGCACCAAGAAUGGUAAUGGGAAUGGAGGAAGCAAUGGCCAGAACCGCAGCACCCCAACAACCCCAGCCAAGAGAGAUCUGAGUCAAUUCACGUGUUUCAAGUGUUCCAAGACCGGACAUUAUGCCAAUGAAUUUCCUGAAGGCCAAAAUGGCAAUGGAAGUUCUGGAAAGAAGGUGAACCCUUUCAACAGGGGACAGGUGAACCACAUUAAUGUGGAGGAGGUUGAAGCUCAGCCCGAUGCAGUAAUAGGUAAGUUUUUUGGUUAAGUCAUUUACUGCACUCGUUCUUUUUGAUACUGGUGCAUCACAUUCAUACAUCUCAAGGGGAUUUGUGGAAAAGUAUAGCCUACCCACUAGGGCUCUCUAAACACCUAUGCUAGUAAGCUCACCAGGAGGAGAGUACAUGGCCAGUCAAGGAUGUUUUCAAGUGCCAUUAAGUAUAGGACGGCAUGUUUUCCCAACAGAUUUAAUUAUUCUGGAAUCUCAAGGUCUGGAUGUGAUUCUUGGUAUGGAUUGGCUGUCGAUGUAUGGAGGAAACAUCGAUUGUGCUAGUAAGUCAAUUUUGCUUACCACCCCAGAAGGGAGACGGAUCAAGUAUGUAUCCCGGCAUGCGCCAAACAAGACACAAGUAAAUUCAUUAACAGGAGUUGUGCAGGAGGAAGUACCAGUGGUAAGGGAAUUCCCUGAUGUAUUUCCAGAGGAGUUGCUAGGCAUGCCACCGGAUAGAGAUAUUGAGUUCUUAAUUGAGCUAUUUCCAGGCACAGGGCCAAUAUCAAAGAGACCAUAUAGGAUGCCAGCAAAGGAUUUGGUGGAAAUUAAGAAACAGAUUAAGGAGUUACUGGAUAAAGGUUACAUUCGCCCAAGUUCUUCACCUUGGGGAUCACCAGUACUAUUAGUAGAGAAGAAUGAUGGAUCGUUAAGGAUGGUUGUUGAUUAUCGAGGAUUGAAUGAAGUAACAAUCAAGAACAAGUACCCGCUACCAAUGAUCAAUGAUCUGUUUGAUCGAUUGCAAGGAGCUAAAGUGUUUUCCAAGAUCGAUUUGCGAUCAGGGUACCAACAGUUGAAGAUUCGAGAACAGGAUAUUCCGAAGACAGCUUUUACCACCAGGUAUGGGCUGUAUGAGUAUACCGUUAUGUCAUUUGGUCUGACUAACGCGCCUGCCUAUUUUAUGAACAUGAUGAACAAAGUGUUUAUGGAGUUUUGGAUAAGUUCGUCGUAGUGUUCAUUGAUGAUAUCCUGGUUUAUUCAAAAAAUGAAGAGGAACAUAAGGAGCAUUUGCGUUUGGUACUUGGAAAGCUCAGAGAACAUCAAUUAUAUGCCAAGGUCAGCAAAUGUGAGUUUUGGUUGAAGGAAGUAGGAUUCCUCGGACAUGUUAUAUCUGGAGAAGGUAUAGCUGUUGAUCCCACUAAAGUUGAUACCGUGACCAAGUGGGAAGCCCCAACUACCAUUGGAGAGAUCUGGAGUUUUCUUCGACUCGCAGGAUACUACCGGAGGUUUAUUGAGAAUUUUUCAAAGAUUGCGAAGCCUAUGACGGAGUUGUUGAAGAAAGAUACCAAGUUCAAAUGGACUGAGCAGUGUGAGGCUAGUUUCCAGGAGUUGAAGAAACGUUUGGUUACCUCACCAGUGUUGAUUUUGCCAGAUCAGACCAAGGAUUAUGAGGUGUAUUACGACGCUUCACGUCGAGGACUUGGAGCAGUGCUUAUGCAGGAAGGGAGAGUUGUUUCAUAUUCCUCAAGAUAACUGAAGCCCUAUGAAUUGAAUUACGCUACGCAUGAUUUGGAGUUAGCAGCCGUAGUGCAUGCCUUGAAGACAUGGAGACAUUUCCUCAAUGGAAAUCAUUGUGAGGUGUACACGGAUCAUAAGAGUUUGAAGUACAUUUUCACACAGAAGGAGUUGAACCUCAGACAAAGGAGAUGGUUGGAGCUCAUCAAGGAUUAUGAUAUGAGAUUGCAUUAUCAUCCCGGGAAGCCUAAUGUAGUAGCUGAUGCAUUAAGCCGCAAGAGCCAUGUCAAUACGUUAAUGACGGGAGAAAUACCCAAGGAGUUAGCAGAAAAUCUUCGUGAAAUAUGUUUGGAAAUAGUUCUGAGAGGCUAUGUAGCAGCGUCGGAAAUUCAGUCAACUUUGAUGGACAGAAUCAGGGAAGCUCAAAAGACUGACAAGGAGAUUGCUUCCAUAAAGGAGAAAAUGAAAGACGGAAAAGCUAAAGGAUUUCGUGAGGAUGAGCACGAUACCCUAUGGUUUGAAGACCAUGUCUAUGUGCCCAAUGACCCGGAGAUCAGGAAGUUAAUUCUGUUAGAGGCCCAUGAUUCACCCUAUUCGAUUCACCCAGGGAAUACCAAGAUGUAUCUGGAUUUGAAGGAUAUUUUCUGGUGGACCGGAAUGAAGAAAGAAAUAGCAGAGUAUGUAGCAGUUCGUGAUGUAUGCCAGACAGUAAAGGCAGAGCAUCAGAAGCCAGCAGGAUUGUUACAACAAUUGCCGAUACCCGAAUGGAAGUGGGAUAAGUUAGGCAUGGAUUUUAUCACGGGAUUUCCCAGGACUCGUUCAGGCUAUGACUUGAUUUGGAUUGUAGUCGAUCGAUUGACGAAAGUAGCUCAUUUCAUCCCAGUAAAGACCACUUAUACCAGUGCUAAGUUGGCAAAAAUAUACAUGACCAAAAUAGUAUGUCUGCAUGGAGUUUUGUGGAGUAUCGUAUUAGAUAGAGGAACCCAGUUUACCUCAAAGUUCUGAAAGCAGUUGCACGAAACUUUGGGAACCAGGCUAGAAUUCAGUACAGUUUUUCAUCCGCAGACAGAUGGACAGACCGAGAGAGUCAAUCAAAUUUUGGAGGAUAUGUUGAGAGCUUGUGCGCUAGAUUAUGGAUCUAGUUGGGACGAUAAUUUGCCAUAUGCAGAGUUCUCUUACAAAAACAGUUACCAAACCAGUUUGAAGAUGGCCCCUUUCGAAGCUUUGUACGGAAGAAGGUGCAGGACACCGUUGUCGUGGGACGAAGUUGGAGACCAUCAGUUGUUUGGACCUGACUUGAUUAAGGAGUCUGAACAGAAAGUGAAGUUGAUUCGCGAUAGGCUCAAGGUAGCCCAGUCCAGACAGAAGAGUUAUGCAGAUUCUAAACGCAAGGAGACAGUUUACGAAGUUGGAGACAGAGCUUAUCUUCGAGUGUCUCCACUUCGGGGAACAAAGCGUUUUGGAGUUAAAGGGAAGUUAGCGCCACGAUUUGUAGGACCAUAUCGAAUUUUGGAGCGUAUGGGAGAAGUGGCCUACAAGUUGAAAUUGCCCGAAGGAUUGUCAGGAAUUCAUGAUGUGUUCCACGUUUCUCAGUUAAAGAAGUGUCACGCGGAGAUAGCUGACAUACCAUUGAGAGACAUAGUGCCUUUGGAAACCAUUCAGUUGGAUAAUGAUUUGACCUACAAGGAGAAACCAGUUAAGAUCCUCGAGUUUGCCAGCCGAGUUACUCGCAGCAAAGUUAUCAAGUUUUGCAAGGUUCAGUGGAGCCACCACACGGAGGAUGAAGCCACCUUGGAAUGAGAGGAAGAUUUGCUCAAAGACCACCCUCACCUAUUUUCUAGCCAACCCGAAUCUCGAGGGCAAGAUUCAUCUUAAGGGGGGUAGGUUUGUAACAUCCCAAAUUUUCAAUUUGGAAUGUUAUACAUUAGAUCAUCAUGCAUAUCAUAUUUUAUUUGCUUUGGGUUUUGAUCCUAGAAAAUUCUAAGCAACUCAAGGACCCACGGAGAGAGUUGGGGAUUUCGUUAUUUUCAUAUUUGAGUUUUUCUCAAAUUUUGAGAAUAGGAUCAUUUGAUUUUAUUUAUUUUAUCAUCAAUUAUUUCUAUUACAAAAAUAUGAGAGAGGGAAUAAAAUGACUUUCCAAAAUAUAGAAAUAUUGAGGAUUUAAUAAAAAAAUCAAAUACUUUUAUUUCGGAGUUUUUUUGUUGUUUUUAUUUGAAUUAGGAAAAAUGCGCGUUUUUCAAAAUUGCAUUUAGGGCCCAAAUAAAUGUUCACUUUGUCGGGCUUGAUUUUAGAAGCCCGGGAAAAUUUAUUUCGGGAUUUUUGGAGUCCGUUUAGUAUUUCUUUUUAUUUUUCUUCCGAGCGAAAAAAACGGAACCGACUAUGAGCCGUACUCGGCCGGGACUCCGCCUGGCCGGGGCCUUUAUAAGCCGGGGCAAGCCAGCCCGAAGGCCCAGCCGCCCCGAAACCCUAGCCGCGCCCAGCCCCAGCCCCGUGGCCGCUGCCGCGGCCGCCGCCGCCCCGCCGCCGAUCCGCCGGAGCCGCGCGUCGCCGGAGGUUCGCCGCACCUCGAAAUCCGUGCCGUUUAAAAAAAAUUCCAUUCGUUGUUUUUCUUUUUCGUCAGAUUUUCCGCUGUUAUUUUUUGAUCGCGAUUUCUGAUCUGAUUUUCGUUUUAGUUUUUCUUUUCGCUCGUUUAUCGGAAUCAGGCGAUUCAAGCGCCUGGAGUUUCGUCUCGAAACCCUCUAUCCGAAUAAUCAACUUAAACAAGUUUUUGCUACUGUAAAAUCUGACUUAGGUUCAGAUUACUAGAACGAAGUUGUUUUCUUUCGCCGUUUGACUUUCUUUGCUUCGUUCGAUUUGAUUCUUUUUGCCAACCGGAGUUCUUAAGUUGAACCUUCUGGUUAGAUCUCUUAUUUGAGUUUUACCUGUGCAUUAGAUGAGUACUUAUUGUAUGCUUGUUUGUUUGCCUGCGAUAGAGUACCCGGAGUGCGCCGCCUGUUACUUCGAAUCGUUAGGUUUCACGGAUCAUCAGCAAGGCAAGUAACACUUUGAUCAUACCUUUUCUAUAACCCAGUUUUUUUGCAUUAGAUCAAUCUUCACACAUUGCAUGAUUAGGAUCUAAUUAAACUGUGGGAUGGGAAGUAGAUGAGGUAGUACCUAUUACCUGUUUAUUAUCAAACCUUUGGGAGUUACUUCUACGUUUGCUUAUUAUGCCAUGCUAUGCUAGUAGACGUGGAUUGGGUGAGUGAAAUCCAUGAUAGAUGUGAGAUUGAUAAUUAAUGGUUUAUCUAAGGUGGCAACUUAAAUACACAUCUGGGUGGAUUGAGGCACCUGGGUAGUCUAGGACAUGCCUGUUUUCUUUUGGACCGCCACCCAGGCUCAAAGGGAUCAUGAGAUUUUUCAAACUAGAAACUUCCGUGUGCAGCCACAAGCCAUUAUGGGCUCUGGCAUAGUUGAUUAAGUCGUGCGAACUCUUACAGGGUAGACUAGCAGAUGUAGGGGAAAGUAGGUGUACCGGUCUAUCCAUCGUAAGGUGCUAGCGCUUCUGAAAGAUUGUGUCUCAGUCAUCCGUUUCUCAAACACCAUGUAGUGCGAGAAAUCCAACGGAGGUGAUCGAGUCUUGUGGGGAAAAGUGCGCAAACCUCUGCAGAGUGUAACAAACUAAUCAUGAUUAGCCGUGUCCCCGGUUAUGGACAUCUUGAGUAUCUAGUAUCUGGAUUAUCAUGUGAAUCUCAACAUGUUACUCCAAAAUUAAUGUUGUUGGGUUAAUGAUGAUGCUUAAUUGGGAUUGAGAAUGCUGUCAACCAUUCUCAAUGUUUAACAACCACCAUGAUAGUAAUUAAAUUUAUUCCUUUUGAAGUAGGGAAAAAGUGGCUUUAUGCAAAACUGUAACCAUAGAGCUUUCCACCAGCCAAAUAUGCAUAUAGUAUAGCUGUUGCAUUCCAUUACUCUUUAUGUGUUACCUUGCCAGCAUAUUCCAUGUGCUGACCCGUUUUCGGGCUGCAACGUUAAUGUUGCAGACUUUUCAGACGACGAUUAAGGAGUUUUAGGUCGUGGUUCUAUACUCAGUGAUGCCGUUGGAGUUGAUGGACUCACUUAUCUUCCAAGCCUUCCGCUGUUAUUAUUAUUAGAUGGCCUUAAGCCAUUUUUAUUGUAAUAAGUUCUCUUUUGAGACACUCGAUGUAAUAAGUGUGUGAUUGCUACUCUGCUAUAAAUCCUCCGAGUACUGUGUGGUGUCAGCUUUACUGAUCCAGGGAUGACACCGGAGCACAGAGAUCAGACUGUUUGAGGUCUGGUCGCUACACCGAUCUAGCCGAGUGUUGAGGGAGAGUUUCGUCAGCAUGACGGCGUGGUGACGAUGAUGAUGUUCUACCGGCGCACGGCUUCGCCUAAGCACCGCUACGAUAUGAUCAAGGUGGAUUAUGGUGGAGGGGGGCACCAGACACGGCUAAGAGAUCAAGAGAUCAAUUGUUGUCUCUAUGGGGUGCCCCCUGGCCCUCUCUAUGGCACGCCCUAGGGGAGUCCUACUCCCGGUUCCCCCUUUCCUAGUAGAACUAGGAUCCCUUCCAAGUAGUAGGAGUAGGAGAGAAGGAAAGGGAAAAGAGCAGAGAAGGAAGGAGGGGAUGCAACCCUCCCCCCUAGUCCAAUUCGUACUAGGCCUUGGGGGGGGGGGGGCGGCCUGCCUCUCUCUCUUUCCCCUAAAGCCCAAUAAGGCCCACACACUCCCCCGCGAAUUCCCGUAACUCCCCGGUACUCCGAUAAAUACCCGAAUCACUCAGAAACUUCCGAUGUCCGAAUAUAGUCGUCCAAUAUAUUGAUCUUUACGUCUUGACCAUUUAGAGACUCCUCGUCAUGUCCCCGAUCUCAUCUGGGACUCCGAACUACCUUCGGUACAUCAAAACACAUAAACUCAUAAUAUAACCGUCAUCGAACUUUAAGCGUGCGGACCCUACGGGUUCGAGAACUAUGUAGAUAUGACUGAGACACGUCUCCGGUCAAUAACCAAUAGUGGAACCUGGAUGCUCAUAUUGGCUCCUACAUAUUCUACAAAGAUCUUUAUCGGUCAAACCGCAUAACAACAUACGUUGUUCCCUUUGUCAUCGGUAUGUUACUUGCUCGAGAUUCGAUCGUCGGUAUCUCAAUACCUAGUUCAAUCUCGUUGCCGGCAAGUCUCUUUACUCGUUUCUUAAUACAUCAUCCCGCAACUAACUCAUUAGUUGCAAUGCUUGCAAGGCUUAAGUGAUGUGUAUUACUGAGUGGGCCCAGAGAUACCUCUCCGACAAUCGGAGUGACAAAUCCUAAUCUCGAAAUACGCCAACCCAACAAGUACCUUCGGAGACACUUGUAGAGCACCUUUAUAAUCACCCAGUUACGUUGUGACGUUUGGUGGCACACAAAGUGUUCCUCCGGUAAACGGGAGUUGCAUAAUCUCAUAGUCAUAGGAACAUGUAUAAGUCAUGAAGAAAGCAAUAGCAACAAACUAAACGAUCAAGUGCUAAGCUAACGGAAUGGGUCAACUCAAUCACAUCAUUCUCCUAAUGAGGUGAUCCCAUUAAUCAAAUGACAACUCAUGUCUAUGGUUAGGAAACAUAACCAUCUUUGAUCAACGAGCUAGUCAAGUAGAGGCAUACUAGUGACACUCUGUUUGUCUAUGUAUUCACACAUGUAUUAUGUUUCCGGUUAAUACAAUUCUAGCAUGAAUAAUAAACAUUUAUCAUGAUAUAAGGAAAUAAAUAAUAACUUUAUUAUUGCCUCUAGGGCAUAUUUCCUUCAUCACCUUCCACAGAAAUUUCUGUGGAAAGCCAACAUCAGAUUUACAAGAUGCAAAGUAUAAAGAUUUCACAAAAUUUUUUGUUUGUUGUCAACAUCCACAUGGGCUUAUCCCUCCCUCCAUGCAUUAUUAUUUCCUCAAACCUCAUUUUAAGCUAUCCCAAAUAUUUUGAGAGUCCCCAAAAAAAAUUUCUUCUAAAAUAUAUAGCCCCCACCCCCUAUCUAUCACUUCCCUCACAGUGAUCUCCCUGUCAUUACUAAUGAAAUAGAGUGAUGGGUAAGCCUCCUUUAGGGGUUUAUCAUCCACCCACCAAUCUUCCCAGAAUAUAGUAUUUCUAUCAUCACCAGGUUUUUUCUUGAUGUGAGGGUAAACCAACCCCCUAAUUUUAAGAAGGCUAGACCAGAAUUGUGAGUCCCCCUUCUUGUAUUUGACACCAGAAAGGCAUUUGUCUUUGAGGUAUUUAGAUUUAAUAAUAUCUUGCCAAAUUUCAACUUCAUCUUCAAGUUUCCAAAUCCAUUUAGCAAGCAAACCAAUAUUGAAAUUCUCAAGAUUUGUUAUUCCAAGCCCACAUUAUUAUUUCCUCACUCCUCCUUUUUAAGCUAUCCCAAAGUUUUUGAGAGUCCCCAAAAGUAUUUCUUCUAAAAGACAUAGCCCCCACCCCCUAUCUAUCACUUCCCUGACAAUGAUCUCCCUGUCAUUACUAAUGAAAUAGAGUGAGGGGUAAGCCUCCUUCAGGGGUUUAUCAUCUACCCACCAGUCUUCCCAGAAUCUAGUAUUUCUAUCAUCACCAAGUUUUUUCUUGAUGUGAGGGUAAACCAGCCCCCUAAUUUUAAGAAGGCUAGACCAGAAAUGUGAGUCCCCCUUCUUGUAUUUGACAUCAGAAAGGCAUUUGUCUUUGAGGUCUUUAGAUUUAAUAAUAUCUUGCCAAAUUCCAUCAUCAUCAUCAAGUUUCCAAAUCCAUUUAGCAUGAAAAGCAAUAUUUAAAUUCCCAAGAUUUUUUAUUCCCAGCCCACCUUGUUGUUUUGGAAGACAACAAGUUUUCCUAUUAACUAAGUGAUACUUCUUCUUAUCUUCCUCAGCUUGCCACAAUAAUGUGGCUCUGUAAAUGUCCAAUUUUUUCCUAACUCCAGCCGGGAGUAGGUAAAAAGACAUCAUAUAAAUUUUUUCCUAACUCUACCAGCUAUAUUGAGUAGUCUGCCCUGCCAGCAAGCACAUCUUUUUAAAAAAAAUUCAGUCACAUUCCUCCACAUUUUAUUUCUAAUUCUUUUAUUGUUCACUGGUAAACCUAAAUAUUUCAAAGGCAUUUACCCAAGGGCACAUGUGAACAUCUCUUGGUAUAAAUUCCUCUUACUUUUGGCUUCCCCAAAGAGAUAGAUUUCACUUUUAUGAAAAUUUAUUGUCAAACCUGACAUUUUUUCAUAUGCAGUCAAUAUGAAUUUUAAAUUUCUAGGCGAUUCCUCAUCAUCCUAUAUCAGGAAUAUAGUAUCAUCGGCAUAUUGCAACAUGUUCACCCCAUUCUCAUGAAUGCCAGUAAGUACCCCUUUAAUGUAUCCUUCAGUUCUAGCUUGAUCCAUUAUCAUAGCCAUGGCAUCUAUAGCUAGAUCAAAUAACAGAGGGAGAGAGAAUCCCCCUGCCUAAGCCCUUUAAAAGUUUUGAAAAAAUGUCACACACUAUCAUUAACUUUAACCCCCACCUAACCCCCCUCAUGUUGUGCAUCACCCAAUCACACAACUUAUCAGGAAAGUUUUUCAACCUGAGCAUUUUGUGAACAAAAGGCCACUUAAUUUUGUCAUAUGCUUUUUCAAAAUCCACUUUGAACUACAUAGCAUUCUGUUUUUUGUAUGAAUUGAAUUUAGAGCCUCAUGCAAAAUAACCACUCCUUCCAUGAUAUAUCUACCUUUGUCAUCCGGAAAGUCCCAUUUUCUCAUCCAGAUGCUCAUUUAGACCCAAACUUUGUUUUGAAAAAGGCCCAAUGUGACGUGAGAUGCCAAACACGGAGCAGCGGUACUGACGAGUAGGUGGCUGAUACGUCUCCAACGUAUCUAUAAUUUUUGAUUGUUCCAUGCUAUUAUAUUAUCUGUUUUGGAUGUUAAUGGGCUUUGGUUUACACUUUUAUAUUAUUUUUGGGACUAACCUAUUAACCCUAGGCCUAGUGCAAAUUGCUGUUUUUUGCCUAUUUCAGUGUUUCGCAGAAAAGGAAUAUCAAACGGAAUCCAAACGGAAUGAAACCUUCGGGAACGUGAUUUUUGGAACAAACGUGAUUGUGAGAACUUGGAGUGGACAUCAAGAAACAAAUGAGGUGUCCACGAGGUAGAGGGCAGGCCUAACCCUGGGCGCGCCCUCCCCCUUGUGGCUCAACCGACCUACAUCUUCCUCCUAUAUAUACUCAUAUACCCUGAAAACAUCCAGGAGCACCACGAAAGCCUAUUUCCACCACCACAACCUUCUGUACCCAAGAGAUCCCAUCUUGGGGCCUUUUCUGGAGCUCCGCCGGAGGGGACGUCGAUCAUGGAGGGCCUCUACGUCAACUCCAUGGCCCCUCUGAUGAUGUGUGAGUAGUUUACUUCAGACCUUCGGGUCCAUAUUUAUUAGCUAGAUGGCUUCUUCUCUCUCCUUGAAUGUCAAUACAAAGUUCUCCUCGAUCUUCUUGGAGAUCUAUUCAAUGUAACUCUUUUUGCGCUGUGUUUGUCGAGAUCCGAUGAAUUGUGGGUUUAUGAUCAAGUCUAUCUAUGAACAAUAUUUGAUUCUUCUCUGAAAUCUUUUAUAAAUGAUUGGUUAUCUUUGCAAGUCUCUUCGAAUUAUCAGUUUGGUUUGGCCUACUAGAUUGAUCUUUCUUGCAAUGGGAGAAGUGCUUAGCUUUGGGUUCAAUCUUACAGUGCUCGAUCCUAGUGACAGAAAAGGAAAUGACACGUAUUGUAUUGUUGCAAUGGAGGAUAAAAAGAUGGGGUUUAUAUCAUAUUGCUUGAGUUUAUCCCUCUACAUCAUGUCAUCUUACCUAAUGCGUUACUCUGUUCUUAUGAACUUAAUACUCUAGAUGCAUGCUGGAUAGUGGUCGAUGUGUGGAGUAAUAGUAGUAGAUGCAGGCAGGAGUCGGUCUACUUGUCACGGACGUGAUGCCUAUAUACAUGAUCACUCCUAGAUAUUCUCAUAAUUAUUCGCUUUUUUAUCAAUUGCUCGAUUGUAAUUUGUUCACCCACCAUAAUACUUAUGCUAUCUUGAGAGAAGCCACUAGUGAAACCUAUGGCCCCCGGGUCUAUUCUCCAUCAUAUUAAUAUUUCGUCAACAUGCUAUUUCUAUUACCUUUUAUUUUGCAAUCUUUACUUUUAAUCUUUAUCAUAAAAAUACCAAAAAAAUUAUUUUAUCAUCUCUAUCAUAUCUCACUCUCAUAAGUGACUGCGAAGGGAUUGACUACCCCUUUAUCGUGUUGGUUGCGAGGUUCUUAUUUGUUUGUGUAGGUACGAGGGACUUACGUGUGGCCCCCUACUGGAUUGAUACCUUGGUUCUCAAAAACUGAGGGAAAUAGUUAUGCUACUUUGCUGCAUCACCCUUUCGUCUUCAAGGGUAAACCAACGCAGUGCUCAAGAGGUAGCAGUGGCCAGGUUAACUCAUAAUCCUUCUCACAAGCAUAAUGAGGUGCCACAUAAGACUAACCUUGUCUUUACCAAAAGCAGGUCUUAUCAGACAACCUCUUAACCCAUCUGACAAAAAUUAUCAGGAGUCGCCACCAUCUUCAGGUGCUCAUCCUCGACUCAACUACCAGCUUUUGUCAUUAAUCCUGGGUGAGUGACUGUACCUGAUAACCAAUAGCUUAACUUUGUUGCCAUGUGUUUUUAAAUCUUCUGAGGCCCCCAAAGUCAUUGAGUUGGAAGAGCAGGUGCUGGUAACUCCCGAGGCCAACACCGAAAACCCUGAAGAGCAUCACAACAAAGAAGAUGACCCGCGGCCACAAGCCGAAGCAACAGUCACCGAAGAUGUGAGCACUGAUGUUAACCCGGCGGAUAACCUUAACCCACCAAGUCCUAUUCCUUCUUCAACUACUGUCAAGCCAACUUAAGAAACUCCACCUGCAGAGAAUACUGGUGAUAUUUCCAUUAUUGGGGUGGGUUACUUAGCACCAUAAACUUCCAGAUGUGGGUGAUUAGGAGCUAAGAGCAUAUGGAGAGCAUUGAGUCAUUGGUGGUGCAUCCAUUUGGGCCCGGUUUUCAGUCGACGGUCAUGAGCAGCAGGACUUCACAUACAAGGAGCGCCAAGUGAGUUAUGUCAGCCAACCACGUGAGAUCGGAGUGGCAUAUGUUCUCUCUAUCAGACAUAUCAUUCCUCUCUUGUGUCAUCGAGGUUUAUGAACAUUUUUGUGGCAUGCUCAAACUAUUGCGACGGUUUUUGGUGUGUACUCUAGUAGCGGCGAUGGCGCUCGAGUACUCGGCCGGGUGCAUGGUGCAGUGUUGCCCUUCCGGUAUUUUGUAUGUAUUGUGUGCUUUAGUCCUAGUCUAGCUAUGUGCUUUGUAGGUUUUUUGCUAGUUUUCCUCAAUAAAUUGUCGGCCCUUUAUUGUUUCUUAUUUUUUAGCGCUUGCCUUAUGUGGUGCAAUUCUUCUUUGGGGUGUUUUUGUAAUACCCUUGCAAAUGAAAUUCAGUAAGCAUAUAUUCCAUUCAUAGAUUGAGAAAUUGUCUUCUAUACAAACAGUUUAGCUCGACAGCGGAAAUGAACAAACGUUUCCCCAAUUGUUGCCAACCACGUACUGAAAUAGCCAGUUCAACUAUAUAUACUAGAUAAUUUUAAGUAUGUAGUACAGUUUAACCAUACCUAUAGUCAGAUGAACUAAACAAAAUAGCCCAUAAAUACUACUACUAUAGAGGGGCUUUGUCCUACUUCCAGUAGCCUCUCAUCUACCGAGCACACUCAGUAAGAGGCAGAGGAGGAGGAGCCUACCGAUGAGUUGGGGAAGUGGAAUCUGGCGCAUGCCACUGCUGCACCUUUAGCAACGUCUAGCUCAAACACCCUCUACCGCUCCUAAUGACCCCUCUCAAAGCGGCGGGACUCCUUGUAGAUGUCCGCAUUCCAUGCCUCUGCGACAGCGUGUGCCGUGGCCCGACGAUGGUAAGACUCUUUGUAUGCUUGACCAGGCACUUCUCCUCCUCGCACGCGAACUUAAUGUAGUGCGCAAGGUCACUAACGCACAUGCGGGCCUCCACCUCCCACCUUCAGGCCAUGGUGGCGGAGCAGGUGUUGACCCCUAUGGUCUAUGGUGGGGUGGCGGCCAUGACGGGCUACAGUAGCGUGCCGGCCAUAAUGGCCACCUCUCGCCUUCGGGCCGCGGUGGCGGAGUGGGUGAUGGCAUAGCGGCUGACGGUGGGGUGGCGGCCACGUCACCCACCUCCCACCUUAGGGUCGUGGUGGCGGAGCUGGCUAUGGCACUGGCGACCGAUGGUGGGGUGGCGGGUACGGUGACCGGCAACAGCUACCGAGGGCAGUGGCAGCGGAGCGUUUGAUGGGUGUUGUGCGCACACCAAACAGGGACAUCAUGUGCAGUACAUGACGUUGGGGACUGCGCCACCGCCGCGUUGUAGCGUCCUAGCUGACGCUAUCCUCUGAUGAUGGCAGAGUGACUGAGCGAAGACGACAGACUGGUGCCAUUUAUGAUUGUGGCAGGAGCAUACGAGAUAAGAUACGAGGAGGGAGGGGAAAAUGAGAUGUGUACUCGCCGGUUGUGAGGGUUUAUAUAGCAGGCCGAUAAGCAUCACUACAAAAAAGAGACACAUCCGUGACAUUUUGGGACGAACGGAUUUUUUUCUGUCAUACAUAUGACACUUCUGUGAUGAUAAUUGUGACAAAACCCGGUAUCAUCAUAGAUGUGGUGGGCUCCUACGUCUAUGACAAAAAAUCAUGACAGAAAAUGGGUUUUCAUCCUGGGCGGGCCGGAGACGCAGCUGCAUGACAUUCUUUGGGCCGUCCAUGACGGAAAAAACCAUGGUAGAAGCGAGGGCGAGGAAAAUUUCGGGGAGUUCCCGGUUACGGUGGGAGGUCGGGGGCCGAGCGAUGCGCGCUUCUCUCGUACACGUACACGCGUGUGUGCGAGGCGUUGGCUCUAACUGAACCCGAGCGAGGCGUUGGGCUCUAACUGAACCCAAUCGAUUGCACUGCAGGCUACGCGUUACUGAACCCGAGCGAUCGAUCAAUGGCUGUUAACUGAACCGGAUCAAGCGAUUCCUUCGCUACUGCUGCUAACUGAAGCUGAUCGAUGCUGCCUCUGGAUGAACAAUGAGCAUUGCAGGGGGGGUGGAUGAACACACUACAAAAAAAUACACUUCCGUAAUAAUACGUGUUUGUCACAGUAGGUCGCUUUUUUGUCAUGCAUGUACAUCCAUGACAAAUUUAUGACAGAAUCAAGAUAGUCAUACCUGUGCUGUCGUAGAAGUGUUCCAUGACAUUACCAAAAUUAUCAUCACGGAAGUGUCCACUUCCAUGACGAUAAAUCGCACGUCACAGAAGUGCUUUCGUCAAGGGUGACCGACACGUGGCAACCACCGUAACGGAACACCGUUAAGCUAUCGGGUCGGGUUUUGGAUCCGAUAACCCGUUAACAGUCCCGACCAAUGGGGAUUUUUCACGUGUAAAUUCAUCAUUGGCUAGACAAAACACGUGUCGACUCAUCGUCGGUACAGAUGUCAUCCACUCACUGGACAGAAUACGCCUAUGAUACGUCGACAUGUGGCAUGGCCCAACAAGUUUAAAUGGGCCGGCCCAACUAAAGGCCCACAAGAUUUUGCGGACCAUAAUGGGCCGGCCCAGCUAAAGGCCCAUGAGAUUUUGCGGCCCAUAAUGGGCUGGCCCAGCUAAAGGCCCACAAGAUUUCGCAGGCCAUAAUGGGCUGGCCCAGGUAAAGGCCCACAAGAUUUUCAUGUGCCAUAAUAGGCCGGCCCAGGUAAAGGCCCACAAAAUUCUUGCGGGUCAUAAUGGGCCGGCCCAGCUAAAGGCCCACGAGAUUUCGCCAACAUUAAUGGGCCAGCCCAGCUAUAGGCCCACAAGAUUUUGAGGACCCUAGUAGGCCGCCCCGUUAACUGGCUGCCAUGUUUUGGGCCAAAUGCCGGCCCAUAUUUGAUCCGGUCUAUUAAUGGCUUGCCACGCUCCGGGCCUAAUCACUAGUAGAAAACAGGGCUAUGGUCCAGGCCGGCUCAGCCCAUUAGUGCCGGUUCAGUCUAGAACCGGGACUAAUGUGAGCAUUGGUCCCGGUUCGUGCGGCUAAGGCAUUAGUCCCGGUUCAUCUAGACCUUUUGGUCCCGGUUGGUGGGAUGAACCGGGACCAAUGGGCCUCGCUCCUGGCCCACAACCAUUGGUCCCGGUUCGUGCCACAAACCGGGACUAAAGAUUAGACCUUUAGUCCCGGUUUGAGGCACGAACCGGGACUAAUGGGGAUGAGACCUUUAGUCCCGGUUCGUGCCACGAACCNNNNNNNNNNNNNNNNNNNNNNNNNNNNNNNNNNNNNNNNNNNNNNNNNNNNNNNNNNNNNNNNNNNNNNNNNNNNNNNNNNNNNNNNNNNNNNNNNNNNNNNNNNNNNNNNNNNNNNNNNNNNNNNNNNNNNNNNNNNNNNNNNNNNNNNNNNNNNNNNNNNNNNNNNNNNNNNNNNNNNNNNNNNNNNNNNNNNNNNNNNNNNNNNNNNNNNNNNNNNNNNNNNNNNNNNNNNNNNNNNNNNNNNNNNNNNNNNNNNNNNNNNNNNNNNNNNNNNNNNNNNNNNNNNNNNNNNNNNNNNNNNNNNNNNNNNNNNNNNNNNNNNNNNNNNNNNNNNNNNNNNNNNNNNNNNNNNNNNNNNNNUGAUGGAAAUGUCAAAAAAAUAAAAGAAAAUAAGUUUCACAUGUGAUAUGUGGUCUAGUUGUUGGGAAAAUUUACAAAUAUGAAUUUCGACUUUAUUUACAAAAUCUCUCUGGAAUUUGUAAAAUGGGCAUAACUUUUGCAUACGAACUCGGAUGAAAAAGUUUUUUAUAUAAAAAAUGUGAAAAAAAAUUCAAAAAAAAUCAGGAAAUUUCCUUUAGUACCGGUUGGUGUUACCAACCGGGACUAAAGGUGGACCGGCCACGUCGAGGGCCUUUAGUCCCGGUUCUGGAUUGAACCGGGACUAAAGGGUUAGGGCAUUAGUACCGACACUUUAGUCCCGGUUCCAGAACCGGGACUAAAGGCCCUUACGAACCGGGACUAAAGGCCCUUUUUCUACUAGUGAAUAGUGGCCCAUAUGAGAUCCGGCCCGUUAAAAGCCUACCACGUUCUGGGCCAAAUUACGGCCUAGAUCGGGUCCGGCCCUUUAAGAGGUUUUGGGCCUAAUUAUGGCCCAUAUCAGAUUCGGCCCGUGAACUGGACACUAUGCUUUUGGGCCCACUUGCUAAAGGCCCACUUAGUAAUUCGGCCUGAUAUUAGUUUUGGCCUGUUAAGGGCCCGUUUAACAUUUCGGCCCUAUAUUAAUUUCAGCCUGUUAAAAGCCCGUCAUAUAGUUGGGCCUAACUAUGGUCCGGUUCUCAUCUGGCCUGCUAGCAGCUGAUAUCUGAUUGGGCCAAACAAGGACCGAGACAAUUUUUCAGCUUGUCAAAAGCCCGUGAUUUGAUUCGCACAAUCAUGGGUCGGGGUACAUUUCGGCCUGCUGCCGGCCCAUGAGCUGAUCGGUACGUUUCAGGCCCAACCUACAUCAUGAUUGCAUGACGGCCCGAUUAUGUACCGUAAUUUUACGGUCUGGCCGGUUUACUGCGAAGACAGGAUAUAUAUACAGUAAAAUAACUGCAGCAUCGUGAAUAAGAAAAAACCUAUACUAUACAAUAAAGAAAUUACGGCAUAUUACAUCCACUAGGCAUCAUUGUUCGCCACUAUGAUAAUAAAGCACAAGCAGACAGCAGAUUACAUACACUGGGCAUCAAAGAUCGCCACCAGUGCAAAUAAACAAGCCGACAAAAUAAUAUACAAAACCGACAACACUUCAAUAGAGUUCAAGAAAGGUUAGCCCUGCUGGGGAGCUGCAGUGCAAGUAGCUAAGCAAGAUGAUGAGACUGCGCUUGUUCAACACUUAUAUCUUCCUCACUCCAAAAGAUAAACAAGUAGACAUAUGACAGGUUUUGCACAUAAAAGUAUUGGUGCUGACAAUUCAUCACAUUUCUUACUGACGAAUAAAGUGACACAGUUUAAAUUUGCAUUAACACAAUAUGGUAUUCUUCAGGUCAAGACAUGGCAGGAAAUGACGUUGUGAAGGAGUUGGCAGCUUCACGACACCACUGGAUUACAGAUCAAGAACACAUAAGUAUCAAUGGUUAGUGUGCUGUCAAUUUAUACCAUUUCAGAUUGGAAAAUAAAGAGAUGGUUCAAAUAAUAGUAGAAUGAUAUGACAUUGUUCAUAGUUAAGACAUUGCAGAAUAUGACAUUGUGUUGUAGUGGGUAGGUUCACCACACCACUGGACGAAUGAAGAACAGAAGCAUACAUGCAGUGCAAAAGAAGAUCACUUGCUCUGUAUAGUUUAAUUUACAUGGUAUGAAGAAGGAAGUUGGUUGUACAACUGAAAACUUAAAUUGAGAAAGGACAAACUUUUGUUUAUGAACUACAUAAUAAACUUUAAACAAGCAAUUUGAUGCAAACACCAAAAAUAAACAGCUGUUGCAGUCAUGCCUAACCAAAUAUAUACAACAAAGUUUGAAGGCUUGAGAUGGACAAACUUACAUUAUUGGUGAAGACAGGCUCUAUAAAGGCCUUGUCCAUGCUGAUGGGGGGCAAUUCAAGAAGUUUACCACAGAAUCUUCUUCAAAAGCAUUGCUUUUAUUCUACAUUUUGUUAAGAGUAAAUAUAGAUGUGAUAAUAUACGAAAAAAUGGAGAAUAUUUAAGAUAAAUGAAGAGUGAUGCUACAUAACCAAGUAGCUAUAAAUGUAAGUGCAGCGAUACAUGCAAAAGGUACAGCCAAGAGCAAUGCACAGCUAAACUUCUUCAGUACCAACCUUAUGGUAAGAGUAAAUAUAGAUCUGAUGUGUAGAAAAUGGAGGGCAAAGGAAAAUAAGCCGCAGAGUGAUGGUACGUGAACAACUACCUGUAAUUAUAAGUACAUUGAUAAAGGACAUCAUGUACUUACAAGAACAAUGCAGAGCUAAAAAACAUUGGCAUUGGAUAUAUUCUACACUAAUGUAACCAUUCAUACAGAUCUGAUAAUUUGGAGCGAACAAUUGAUAAGCAAGCUAUCAUGCAUACUGCUAUCACAUAAUGAACCAGGUAUGUAUGCAAGUACAGUGAUACAGGACAACAGGUACUAACAAGAGAAAAGCAGUGGGCAGCAUAUUUGCAAUAUCCUGUUGUUCUUGUCAAACCGGAAUUCUUCUUCGAGCAGAUUUCCUGCAAAAAAGAUCCGUAAGGCACAUGCGGAAAAGUAGAAGUUCAAAUUGUCAUAGACAGUACCUCAUCCUGGGAAUGAGACCAGUGCAUAAAAAGGUUUUUCCAUUCAAUGUCUUCUUAGUUUAGCACAUGAGACUUCACCGGAAAUUCGUUUAUAGACUUGCCAUCGAAGUGUGAUUUCCUCAGGUAACACCGAUACUGCUGCAAUGCUUCCUUGAAAAGCACAAGCAAGCUUUGCUCGUCAUGACUAUCCAGAUUGACCCUCGCCUAGUUACAACAAUGUAAUGUAAAUCAUUCAUGUGUUCAAUUAGCUGAAAACAGGAAAAUAAUAACCAUGAAUAAUAGCACUUACACGUAAGUUGGACAGGAAGAUGUGAAAAUGGUGUUUGUCUUCACAAUAAUCUUCCCAUGAUGGGAAUAUAUGCACGUAGUCCCUCACAACAUUGAAAGCAUUUUCUUUUAAACUGGGAAUAAAUGGAAUGGGGUUCCAAUCUACAGGAAUUGGCCGUCUCUGCAGUUGGGAUAGGUCUUCGGCCAGUGGACUUGCUGUAAUUUUUGCUGGAGUGGGAUUUUUCUAUGGUACAACUAGUGCUAUGGAAAAUGAAAUCAGUAUACCUUUUGCUGGAGUGCAGGUCCUGUGUGGUGGGGCUAGUGGUCUGGCCAGUAAAGUAUGGGUACAGUCUGCUAGAGUCGGUCCUACAUUUUGUGUCACUGGUUGUACAGCCAAUAUAAGUGGGGUGCUGUCUGAUUUCUCCGGCACCACCACGUUUUUCAAGGACUUUGCUGGUGCUCCUUCAGGUUCGGCAAUCACCCUCUUCCUUUUUGAUGUCUGAUGCACAAGAACAACAUUUGAGUGGAAAAACAUGGUAUGAUGACAGAUGGAAUAUGUAUUGAUAAUGGAUGGACAUGCAUCUCGACAUAUAUGAUGAGUAAACUAAGCAGAUGGCGGUGCAACAAAGUAGAAGAAAUGCAAUACAACAUGCGCAAGAUACCCGCAAUCAAUAAAACAUUGCCAAAUUAGGACAGACACCUUGAUGGGUGAACAGGAUAUGCCAUCUGCCUUUGACUCCUCGAGGUUAGAAUAGUCAUUAGGAUGAUAUUCUGAAUAAGAAUCAACAGGUGGGGAGCGUAUGAGUUUCAUUGCAUCCAGAAUGGCACUCAAUGCCUUGGUGCCAAUUUUUUAAGUCAUUGCAGUGUUUAGUUUCAAGAGUGGACUGCUGCUAGUGCGACACAAAGCAGCUACACAGAUCAUAGUGUAUAUAUAACGGGAAAACCUUAAGCAUCAGAGUAAAAUCAGAAAAGUGGAACUUGCUGGAAUAUAUGUGCUAGUAUUGCCGGUACGGCUAGAAAGGCUUCGGAUACCAGCUCUCUUCAAGUGAAGGUGUGGUACUGUUAAUAUCAAUGUAACUCUCAAAGGCGACAUAGCUCCUCGCAUUUCCUUGCUAUUCUUAUAGGAUUCAAGUGGGCAGGCCACUACAAAUCCUAUUCCUAUGUUUACAAGAUCCUACAAAUCAAAGAGGCUCAAAGUGUCCAUCACAACCGACCGUAUAGACCUCUACACUGCAAAUGUCCCUGCUUAUCUUCAGUACAAGGAACAUACUAUACUACUAUCAUACUCCCUCUGUUCCAAAAUAUAAGUCUUGGUAGAGAUUUCCACUAUGGAUCACAUACAGAUGUAUCCAGGUACAUUUUAGAGUGUAGAUUCACUCAUUUUUCUCCAUAUGUAGUCCAUGGUGGAAUCUAUACAAAUACUUGUAUUUAGGAACAGAGAGAGUACAUAUUAAAGAAGAAUGGAAGAGGAACAUGGUAAAGAAGAGCAAGCAGAUUUUGGAUAAUAAAAUGUUGGUUGCGCAGUGCCCACACAUGAUGUACUAGAGUGCAUUAAGAAUGCAACUCCUAGCUGUCUCUCGACCAUUUCAGGCGGUUGGAUGAAGAUCCUACGUCUCCUAACCCUUCUUCUUCCUUGUCUCUGAUUCUUCCCAUACAGAACACCGCACGGGCCGAUGGCCGGACCACCGGCCCCCACCGCCUGUGUUCCUCCGCCACCCCCACCCCCACCCCCACCCCAACCCCCACCCGUGUCGAGUUUUCUUCGUUCGGCAAGGCCCCACAACCACCCGAGCCCCUUCGAUCGCAUCGGUGAACUCCGGCGAGCUCUGAAAAAUCGACCGACCCAAUUUUGAAAUUUAGUCUACUGUGAUUUAACUAGCAUGGAAUAUAAAAGGGGAGAACCAUAAGCAUUGCGAGUAUGGUGUUGAGCAUGCCAUGGCGGAUCUGAAGGUGCAAACCAGACAAAGGCAACUUCGCAACCAAGACAAGAAAUCAGAGUAAAGCAGUGGCGAUCUAUUUUCUUGCUGUGAUAAAUAAGUUGAGCAGAAUGAAAGAGUACCACCUCUGGUGCGGCGCCGUGUACACAUCUGCUGAGAAUUUGACGGUGCUGCGGUAGCGAUGGCUGUCGGCCACGUGGAAGCAGAUCUAGGAGGGUAGAUGGUGGCGGCGGGGCACGGUGGACGAGACGGUCGUAGGAGCGGCGGCGGCAAGGUGGACGACGGCGGGGAUGAAGCAAGAGGACGGGAUGCAAGGAUCCCGGUCCGAAGCCGUGGAUGAGAGAGGUUGAUCUCUUGUAAUGGACGGCGGCGUCGAGGUAUCAGCUCCGACAUGGUGGAGGAGGACGGCGGUGGAUGGGGUGGCGGACGGCGGCGAACGGAGGAGGGUGGGGUGGAGAGGGUGUUUUGGCGCCCACGGAGUACGAAUGGGGAAAAGGGAGGUAGAGAGGAAGGGGGAACCAUGUAUUCAGGGUGCGCUUGUCUCAAAGUAUAUCUCUCUCCCUGCUAUGUAUCUCUAACUAUGAUUCUCCAUGUGGAAUCUCUUUCUCUCACACAAACACAAAACUUUGUCUCCCGGGGCCUCAUUUCCCUCUACUAUUCCCAUGUGUGCCACUCGCACACCCCUUAUACAGAGAUGUCUUUCGCUCCUUAGAUAUGAGAACCUACGACUCUUCCUCAUCAAUAUCUCUUUCUCACACACAAACACAAACUCUGUCUCCCAGGGUCUCAUAUUUCUCCAUUGUUCUCUUGUAUGUCGCUCACACACACCCUCUCUCCCUAGAGAUAUCUUGCGUUCCCUCGUAUGUCUCUCUAGCUAUCACUCUCGUUGUGAAAUAUCUUUCUCUCUCAUAGACACAAAACUCUGUCUCUCUGGAUCUCAUUUCUCUCUGAUAUCUGUUUGUAUGUGACUCACACGCACCCUCUCUCUAUCUCUCUCACACCCACACACAUAACCCAGCCUUCUGAUCCACUCGACUCCUAUCUUUAACGCACACUAUCUAGCAUCUUUAUCUUUCUAUUUAUCUGUUUCUCCAUCAACCUUCUUUCUGGCCCUCACUCUUCAUUCUUAUCACGCACACUACAUAUGUUUCUCUCUACAUGCAGUCAAGUGCCCUCUCACACACAUAUAUAACUUCACCCUUUGAACCACCCGACGGUCAUCUCCAACACCCAAACUAGCGGAUGUCCCUCUAGCUAGCAUCUCCAUCUCUGUAUCUAUCUGUAGUUUCUCCAUCAACAUUUCUUUCUCGCACGGAGUCUUGCUUCCUAUCACCCACACUAUAUAUGUCUCUCCAUACAUAUGCAUUUAUAGGUUGGUCUCUUUUGCACAAUCGUUGCGCCUCACUCCCUCUGCUCUCCAUAGAUGCAUGCUCCAGCCCACGCCACUAUCUCUUAAAGACAAAAACACAUGCUCAAUUGUCGGGACUUCUUCCAUGCAUUCUCACAUGCAUGCAUAUUGUCAUACCGAUCCGUCUCUCCCAUGUCGUUGAUCUUAUGACUUAUGUCUUCUUUCUUUUAUCUUGAUCAUGCGCGCGCGCACACACACACAUCCCACGUAUACAUGUAUACCUCUCACACAUGCACGUUCAAGGUCUCUAUGUCUCCAUACGUAGUUAAUUACCCUCAAUCCUAACGCCACAUCAAAUCGUUCUCCUCUUUUGUGCACAUAACUUCCGNNNNNNNNNNNNNNNNNNNNNNNNNNNNNNNNNNNNNNNNNNNNNNNNNNNNNNNNNNNNNNNNNNNNNNNNNNNNNNNNNNNNNNNNNNNNNNNNNNNNNNNNNNNNNNNNNNNNNNNNNNNNNNNNNNNNNNNNNNNNNNNNNNNNNNNNNNNNNNNNNNNNNNNNNNNNNNNNNNNNNNNNNNNNNNNNNNNNNNNNNNNNNNNNNNNNNNNNNNNNNNNNNNNNNNNNNNNNNNNNNNNNNNNNNNNNNNNNNNNNNNNNNNNNNNNNNNNNNNNNNNNNNNNNNNNNNNNNNNNNNNNNNNNNNNNNNNNNNNNNNNNNCCCAAAACCAAUAAGACCAUCCCUUAGUUUAAUUCCCGCCUACAUGCACCAUCGAUAUAUAGUAGUCUUCCUCGGUGUCUCUCGAACAAACACGUUCUCUCGAAGUUGACUCCUCUCAUGCAUAUAGGUCCUAAUGCAUUUUUCGAGGCUAACUUUGACCAAACGUUAGAGCAAUAAUAUAUGACAUGCAACUUACACAAAGCAUACCUUCAAUUUUGUAUGUCAAAGGAGCUUCCAAUAAUAUAAUUUGCAUAGUAUACAUCUCAUGUGCUAUUAAUCUUGUCAAUAGUCAAAGGCUGUCUUGAAAAACACAUUAGGACCUAUAUAGGUGGAAGGAGGGAGUAGGUACCAUGCAAAAAAUGAGAAUAAAAUUCAAACAUUUGGGCAUCGUGGCUCGGUCGAUAACAUUGAGAAACUUGGUUUUAAAAUCAUGAAACUUGGCAUGGUGUCAUGUCAUGGUAGUACCAUGCCGUGGUAAAAAAAUUGGCCGAAUAGGAACAAAUUUUGGUAUAAGCUUCUUGCAAAUCUGAGCUUCUUUCAAGAAGGCUCGUGGUUCUGGGAGGGAACGUGUCACCUUUGUGUGCAUAAUUCAAAUUUGAAAUACAAGCACAUGUUACAGUGCACCAAAGUUGGUUGAAAAAUCACAUGUGUGUCCUCGGGUAAAUUUCUAGGUUCCAUGCAAGAAAUGGGAAUGAAAUGCAAAAUUUUGGGCGUCGUGGCUGGGUUGGAAACAUUGAGAAACUUAGUUUUUUAAUUCCUGUAAAUCGAAAACAUGCAUGAAAAUAGUGAAACUUGGCUUGGUGCCAUGACAUGGCACCAACAUGUUGUGGUAAAUUUGCAGUCCGAUUUGCGAAGGCGCACACAUUUACAAUCAACAAAGUCAUUUUGGAAGAAGUGCUGUCAUGUUACAAUCGGAAACACAAGUAUUAUUGAAACCGUGGGCGUUCUACUUACUAGUACCAUUUACGUGCCGCCACGUGUCCCCUUUUUUAUUAGCUAGGAGGUGACGUGCAGGGUAGCUAUUUGAGUACGAGAGGCGUGCAAUCAGACCCCUGCGCAUGCUUAUCAGGAGGAGAGCCCUUUGACCUCCAUCUGCCGUCCACCUCUGUCCCAAGGUCUCCAUUAAUGGUGCCCGAGCCUCUGUUUAAUGGCGUGGCUAUGUCUCACUCGACUCAGAUUUAAGAGAGAAAAAUGAAAAUCUGAAAGCACGGAUCUUGAUGUAAGAUCCGACGGACCUAUAUAGCAUCUACCGCGACUUAUAGCAAGACUGAUGAAUAUAUAAGGACGAUUAAUUUUUUUUGAUCAAAGAAGGGCUUGCCCCUUCUGAUUUUCAUUACUGAAAACCACCACAAUUCACAAGAAGUUCAGCACAACUCCAGCCUAACACGAAGGACUAAAAGCUACCAGAUUGAAAUCGCAACAUCCCAAGAGGCCAACAAAGGCCAAACAUCCGCGCUAGAACCCAACAUUUCACAACCGACGACACAAUCCACAUCCUAAACCGAUUAUUACAUCAAAAGAAACCAGGAAACUAGUCUCCGCGGUGAGCGGCAAUGAGCUCUUUCGUGUCCUCAAGACGCUGCUUGAGAACAUCCACGGAUUCCUCCACCAGCCUUUGGCACUCAUUGCGGAGCAUGCCAUUCUCAUCCAUAAGUUUCUUCAACAAGGCACUAGUCUCCUCCUGCAGGUCUGCACUUCGGACGAUCUUCUCCCUCAGCAGGUCGCGCUCGGCCCGGAGCCUCUCAUGGCCCUCCCUUAGUUGCUGGAUGACACCGAUAGCCUGUUCAAACGAGGCUAUCAUGUCGUCCUGCAACCUCACCGAGCGGGAGAUCUGAUUCGUCUGGCUAUGGAUGAUCGCAUGUAUGCGCCUGUAAUAGUCGUCGCAUGCCCCCGAGAAAUUUCCCCAGGCCUCCACGGCGCGGCGGGACAUCUCUAUUGCAUUCGUGGCACGGCGGGACAUCUCUGCUGCUUCCGCGGCACGGCCGGACCAGUCUGCUGCAUCGACGGCGCGGCGGGACCUCCGUGCUUCUUCAGCGGCACGGCGGGACCUCUGUGCUGCUACUUCCGCGCGACGCGACAUGUCGGCUGCUCUCGCAGUGAGGCGGGACAUCUCUCGUGCUUCCGCUUCCAUGCUUGCCUCUCCCUGGUGGCAAUCUCUCGACCCAGAACUCACGCUGGCCAUGGCAGACGCAAGGGAAGGAUGCUGAAGGACUUGUUUGUUUUUAUGGAUGAGGAGUUGAGGAGGAAUGUGUAGUCAUCUUGGCAUACUAGUAUUUAUAACCAAGUACUAACAUGCUCCUAAGUGGGAAACCAUUUAGGUUGUGAUCAGUGUGAACAGGUUUGCAAUUCAAUAUAGCGUGGAGUAAUUUGGAAUGUGACGAGACGCAAGCUCAAAAUUUAUUGAUGGUUCUAGUUUCUAAGUGCGGCACUAUUCCUGGAUGGAGUACUUCUUUUUCUACUCCCUCCUUUCCGGUUUUAUAGGGCUUAUCUCAAAAUUUUAGUUUUUCCAUUUUAUAAGGCUCAAUUUGGUUGUCCCCAACACAUGUUCAGAUUCCAAGGUGCAUUAAAUCAUUGCAUGCAAGUAUUAAGAGAAAAUUGACCAAUGCAUGUACUUUAUGCAUGCAUGCAUUGCAAUUAAUGCAUUAAACCUAUCUCUCGGGACUUCUCGCACGCACCAUCAUGCCACCCACAAAAACUUGUACUCUGAGUUUAGUAGUACGUUAUACAAGAAGAGAAGAGGUGCACGCACGCACUCGUCCUCUCACACACGCGUCUAUUUUUUCUCGAAAAGGAGGAUGAUGACCCCCGGCCUCUGCAUCUGGGAGUCACACACGCAAAUUAUUGAAAUAUAUCGAGUGCAGUGCUUUGAUGUGUCGCGUCAACUCGUACAUCAACGAGAAGUUUGAUUAUCCUCUCCCUCAAGGACUUAACUGCACAUGCCUUUGGUUGUAUGACAGGUUGGCCACACACCUGUAGGGCCCACCUGUCAUACACGCAAAGGCAGGAGCGUCCCUCCCUCGUCCAUGAGCGUGGUGGCUGGCAAGACUAGGAGAAGCUUUCACUACACGCUCUCCCUUCCGUACGCGGUGGACAUGCAGCAGUUCAAUCGGUGUCAGAUGGCCAGAAGCGUACUGUAGUACUCCUCCAGUGCAGUAGUAUUCCAUCAUUGUUCGACUUCCCGAAGAGGCGAAGAGCCAAGCGUAGCCCGGACACUCGUGUGGCAAUUUCAUGUGUAUAGUAGUCUAGGAUAGCGUGUACCGUGCCUGUAAGCUUAAAAUCGUUGGGGUCGGCUCCAUGCUAUGUGGCCAUCUCGAAGUUUAAAAAAAAAUAGUCUUCUGGCCCUACCCGAAAACUGCCGCGCGUACUGCCCAGGAAAAGCCCCGCCCUCAACUUUUAACUACGGGAAAAUAGUUCGAGCUUGUUCGUUCUAUAUAAAUACAGUACUUACUGUAUGUUAUUCACCCGUGGGGUUGUUCAAUGAAUGGAGGGGCGGGGAGCAAAAGUGAACAAUACUGUAGUACUACUAGUAGUAAGUAGGAGUCCUACAGUAGUCACCUUAAAUAGAGAGUUUCUUUUCUUUAAUGCCACAUACACAAAUUGAAACACUUGUUGUGGAGAGAAAAAAGAUAAUCACUCCACUAUAUAUGGACGCAGGGGCCUAAGAGCUUGCUUUACUAGGGUUGAUGUCUUCAUUCUCUCAUCCUCUCCAGAUAUAAACAAGACAAUGGUAGCGACAUUUUCUCUCUGCUCAACGCUGGUCACGGAUCUGGUCGAAUCCCUUCGGCCGGUGUGUGUAGAGGACUAAAAGGUGCAUCGUUCACGUAGUCAUCGCCGCCGAGGGACGAAACCCAUAGCUGCCGGAGGGGCCCGAUCCUCUGCCCGUGCCGUUCUCUCCAACACAUGGUCGGCUCGGGAGGUCCUCUGACCCUUCUUCCUCCCUGCCGUAUUGUCCGCACAUCUGACCUGCCGCCGCCGACAUCUCGGUGACCCUCAGGUAUAAGUUCUUCGAAAGCGGCGUUGCUCUACUGCCCCAGUUCCCCACGUGUCUGCAUGUGCAUCUUUUUCUACUCCCAUCAGCUCUUCCAAAGCCACCUAAAUUUUUAGUAUUAUCAGAGGUAAAGCUACUUCAUGCAUUCGAGUCUAGGGCUUUGUUCAAAAAACGAAGAAAGGGGGGAAAGUUGUAGCAUGAAUCUAGGACUUGAUUCAAAGAGGAAAUAAAAUGGUGAAACUAGUAGAGACCGGAUACCCAACCAGUCUCUUGGUUGAAAAGGGAAAUAAUGGGAAAACGCAGUACAAACUGGAUAAGGAACAGAUCUAUUAUUGCUUGAAAAAAGGAUAGAAAGUGGCGGCUGGUGGACAAGUCAACAGAGUAUGUCCAGGAUUAGAUUUGCUGCCAUCACAUAGUAAAAGGUCUCCAGGAUUAGAUUUGCUGCCCUCACAUAGUAAAAGGUCUCAGGAUUAGAUUUGCUGCCCUCACAUAGUAAAAGGUCUCCAGGAUUAGAUUUGCUGCCCUCACAUAGUAAAAGGUCUCCAGGAUUAGAUUUGCUUCCCUCACAUAGUACAAUGGCACUCCUGCUGUUUUCCCCAGUAUGAUAAGUAAGUUGCUCCUUUACGCUGCUGAGUGUCCUGGUGAUCCCACGGUCCCAUGCCCUUAAACCAACUCUUUAGCUGCUGUUGAUUUACUGUGUCUGGUAAAUAAGAAAUGCCACCAUUAAAGUAAUCCCAUAUUUGAGGAAUCUCAUUGUUGAUCGUAAUGCUUCUGGUAACAUGAAGCAUUGCUGACGUUUUAAAAUUUCUAUUGUCCUUGCGUGAUUGCCAUGAACAUAAUUAAGAUGCUUCUUUUCAUUUUGUAUAUGUUUCGUAUAUUCUUAUUGACCAGCAACUGUUUACUUUCUAUCUUUUUGUGUAGAUAGGGAUAUCCAUUUCACCUUGUUGCUAUUGUGACCUUUUGGUGAACUGCAGAAAACACUUUUUUGGAAUGAGUGUCUUGUGCAGCUCAACUAAAAUGUCACGUGGGCAACAUCUCUCAAUUUUGGUGGAACUACACAAAAUGCUGAUUGGAGUUUCCAAAAUCUCCGUCAUGUUCUGCUGGUAAGCUCGUGCAACAUUUUAUUAGCCUUUGCAAGAUGGAGCCGUCACUGUCACCACAAUGGCACUUUAUUUUAGUGGAACUGCACAAAAGGAUAAGAAAAUUAUAGUUGCACCUUACAUGAGCUGGACAGCCAACCUUAAUGUUCCUCAAUUUUAGUGCAACUACUAAAGAAGAAUCUACCAGCUCACAAGAGCAAAUACUUAUUGCUAGCUGAAUGAUGCAAUCUUUGCUUCAUUUCAGGUGAACUACAGAAAAAGGCGCAUGAAUUGAAUCAUGGAACUCCAGGCAGACCUCAUCCAAGUAGAGCUGGAGGUUGAGUUCAAGGAAGCCGCUAUUAAAGCGAAAUCAUGCUCUCAUGUCUCCUUGUUUGUGUUGUGCAAACAUGCUGUGCAAACAGGAAUACUCAACUACAAAUGUUGUGAUGGUCAAGAGCAUUCGCCAAGUUCUUCGAUUGUAUGACAUGGCUAGCCAAGAUGGAUUUAAUCCCGAUAUUCACUUUAUCAAAAGGCUCUAAUGGGUUGGUUCUAAAUCUUGCAAGCUAGGAAUCGGUGAGAUGUGUAGGCAUCUUUGUUGUACUUAUUAUUUGGAUCUUAUUUGUUGGUUCUGAAUCUUGCAAGCUGGGAAUCAAUGAGAUGUGUAGGCAUCUUUGUAGUACUUAUUAUUUGGAUCUUAUUUGUUGGGUCUGAAUCUUGCAAGCUGGAAAACACGGCAUGAUGAUGCAGAGGACAACAACCAUAACAAACAGUUCAAACUCGGUAGUAUUAUCUUUUGUGGAAGUGCGACAAAUGUGAAUCGUGUGCCCUGAGAAUAAUAAUUCUAAUUGUUGUGCCUGUUGAUCCUAUGGCACUGAUAGAACAAGCGAAUGCAUUGCUUGUUUUAAGUACAAAUUUCUAUUGAAGCUAAUUAAAUUCAAGUAAAGUGACCACUAACUCCUGUUAUUACAGUACCAAUAUAGACCCGCUCAUGAACCGACGUGUGGCCGAGGGUGCAUCUUCUGCCGGGCGUACAGCGGACGAGGGAGGGGUAGUGACUGUUGUCGCCUAUACACACUCAGCUUACUGUUGAAUCCAGUUCCCCAAGAGCUGAAAAACGAACUGCUGCCGCCGCCUACACACUUGUUCACUCGAAGAGACUCCAAUGGCGAUCCGAGGGGUGAGCCUGCUGGAUAUGGACUUCAGCAGGGAGUUCCCCUUUGAGUUUGCCAUUUAGUCCUAUGGCUGCACCAAGUUGAAUUUGAUGUACACCAAUGAUACGGACUCGGUGAAGCUCUGCCUCGCCUCAGUCCUAUGGCUGCACCAGGUUCUGGAGCAUUCGCCCGUUUCAUCGGCAGUGCCGACUGCACCUUCGCUACGGUGGAGAGAAGGAAGAACGCGACGAUUCAGCUAUCUAGUGCAACAAGCUUGUCGACAUCCAGAAGCAAUACAAGAUCAUCAGCAACGGGCAGGAGAAGGACUCUGUGAUUGACCUCGCUGAGACCAUCAUCGACCCCUGAUACGCCAACAUCAAAGAAGACGACCUGAACACGUGGGAGGUACCUCUGCCUCUAGCCUACAUAACCUACGCGCCAAGGGCGCAUACGCAUGCUACGACAUGUACAUGCAGAUCUUGGACAUGAGGGCGUGUCUGCUUCCCGUAACCGACGAGUACACGGACAGCCGCAGCGUCAUGAUCAAGCGUGCCAGGAAGGUCUAGAUGUUGUACUUUAUCUGUUUAUAAGCACCUUUAUCAUGUGAGUGUUUCAUGCAAUAGCCUAUGUGUCGUAAUUAUCUAUUUUGUCUGAAAUAUUUAUUUUAAGAACCCAUUAACCUGAUUGCUUUUUUUAGUGGCAAUUUUCUUAUGUAUGUAAACUAGUUCACUUGUCCGUAAAAAAACUAGUUCACUCUGCUGCCGUGCUUUGAAUCUCCUUCCUCCCAACAUAUUCCCCUCCUCAAGUGGACCCAGCAGGUCUCUGAAUUUUCUCCCACUUUCUUUUUCGAUGUAAACUAAGUUUUCUCCCAGUACUUUCCCCUACAACCAACUCAACUGUCCCACGUCCAGCUUAAAAAAUAAUAAUACCCCACGUACUAUUAACUCAUCAAAUUAAAAUGAUAUUUUAUUUCGUAAGUUGAAAGUUCUAACAAAAUAAUAAUAAUAAUUGUUUAUAUAUAACUUGGCAAGUUAACUCCUAGUGAUUGCGUACAUAGGCUUGCAAAGAUUUUACUAAUGUGCAAUCAUGUGUUUAUGUUUUUAUAACAUUUCUCCGUCUAGCCCAACAUGAUAUUUUCCCCCAGCCCAGCAAAUCCGCAGCUUUCAAGAAAAAUGCAAAUGGGAUUUAAAUGGGCUGCAUAGAUGAUACAUCAUUGUUUCACCCCGCCCACCAAAUAGACUAAAAAACAAAUGGAAUGACAGCUGGGUCCACGGCCACAGCCCAGUUUUUUUGUGAUUUGCCAAGUAGGUCGCUUUGCCAUGCCUGUUGGGCUGCAAAUCUUUCAAGACGAGGAGAGCUUUCAUUCGGCUGGCCGACAAAAUGGCCCAUCAGUAAGGAGAAAUGGGCUAUACAUUUUUAAAACACAUCAAACCGGCAAUUAGUUUCAAAUAUCUUUUUUUUCAUUUCGAGAUUUUAAAUUACAUUAUUUUUUAUGCAUGGAGAAUUUGUUGGAUUUUAUAUUGAUAUAAAUUUAUUUUUAAAUUCGGUUUGAAUGUGAGUCGAAAUUUCGGGAUUUAAAACAGUUCGGACCGCACCGAAAUAUGCAAAAUUUCAUAUAAUUUUUUUAACCGUGGACACAAUAUGGGCUGUAAUGCUAACAAAAAGAAUAUGUGCUCCAAAAAAACCUUAAGAAUUAGCAAAUGGGCUGUAUCCUGUUUUCCACAGAUUUGAGGUUUUCCUAAAAAAGGUUGACACACAAACAGUGAUUGUUGGAUGGCCAUCCAACGACCGUCGUGCUUCUUCAAUCUCUGCUCUUCCUGCUCCAGCCGCUCAAACAGGCGCCGGUGGGAAUGCCUGCUCCCUCCUCCCCGCGGCCGGCUCUGCUCCCACGCAGGCCUCACCGCCCCACCGUACUCCCAUUGCUGGCCUAGCCAUCCCUCUACUCACCCACACCUGCUGUUAUUCUCCAGCGACGGCAGACGAACCAAUAAACCCUCGUACAGUCGUACUCCCCUCCGUGUGGGAAACAACUGCCGAGUCUUCCCUGCCUCCGUGUCGUUCCCUUCAUAGGCCUCGCCGUCGUCCACCGCCCUGGUGCUCUCGACACAGCCUGGUCAAUGUGGUCAACGACCGACAUGCAUCUGAAGUGGACUUUACGUGGAGAGGCCGACAGUUGGGUCCACGGCCGCACGCAAGGAAAUGCCUCCUUAUUACGUGCAAAAAAAGAUUCCUCCACCUGACAUCAGGGACACACCGAAAGGGCCUCUGUAUUUUGUGAAAAAAACGUUACCGCCGCUGACAGCUCGGACCCACCAGCUAUAUAUUCGCACGCAAGGAAGUGCCUCCUUAUUACGCACAAAAAAUGAAUACUCCCCUUGUUAGCUGGGACCUAGUAUAGUGGCAGCCUGACUUGUGGGCCUACUAAGUUGACGGGGAGGAGGGCUUUGUCAACUUAGUCAAUAUGCAUGAUUCUAGCUCCAGUGACCGUACGAUGUCCAUCCAACGGCCAUAGUGCUUCUUCAACCUCCAGCCAGCCAAACCAGCGCCGGUCGUGACUCGUGCUCCUGCCUCCCAUGGCCGGCUGCAAUGCGGCGGAGGCCUCACCGCCCCCUACUACUCCCACCGCUGGCCAGGCCAUCCCUCUACUCACCCAUACCCCCUAUUAUUCUGCGGCGACGGCAGCCUCACACCGCAGCGAACCAGUGAAGCCUCGUACUCCUCUACGCAUGGGCAUCCACUGCCGCGUCUUCCCCGGCUCCGUGUCGUCCCCUUCCUAGGCCUCGCCGUCGUCCACCGCCCUGGUGCUCUCAGCGUGGCGUGGUCAACGUGGUCAAGGAACGGCUUCCAUCAGACGUGGACUGUAUGUGGAGAGGAAAACAGCUGGGUCCACGGCCGCAGCAAGGAAGUGCCUCCUUAUUACGUGCAAAAUAAUUAUUCCUCCACCUGACAGCGGGAGCCACCGGACGGGCCACCGUAUUUCGCAAAAAAAACAUUUCCCCCUGAUUGCUGGGACCCACCAGCUACAUCUUCGCACGCAAGGAAGUACGUCUGGGCAAAAAAAAACGAUUCGCCCCCUGACUGCUGGGACCCGCCAGCUACAUCUUUGUAGGCAAGGUAGUGCCUGACAGUCGGCACCCACCUGGUCGAAGCGUACAUAGCGUUGUCAUUCUGGUCGCGAACGUGUACGUACAUACUAGUCGAUGUAGAGGCGCGCACGUGUCGUAGUAGAGGCGUGCACGUAGCAUUUACACGUACGUACAGCGGCCAGGGUGCAAGAAAGAAAAUACGGCCACGUAUGUGUACAUACGGGUGAGGUCUCAAAUGCCUACUUGCGCAUACGUACGGCCAGGGUUCGUGUACAUGGCUGGGUCGGAACAGAGAAACAUCGUUGUCGUCGUGUUCAUGGGGAGGCAACGGAAUGCGUCGUGUUCAUGGGGAGGCAACAGAAUGCGUCGUGUUCAUGGGGAGGCAACGGAAUGUGUCGUGUUCAUUGGGAGGGCUUGGACGGAACAAGCGAUGGAAAUGAGGCAUGGCGUACCGCAGAACGGAGGAAAUGGCCUUGUGUUCGACCGGCCACGUUCGAAACGGGAUCCUAUUCAUCGGGAGGGGUUUGGUGUACCACAAAACGGAGGAAAUGGACUUGUGUUGGAGCGCUACGGUCAAAACGGGGGUCCUGUUCAUCGGGAGGGGUGUGGCGUACCGCAAAACGGGACUCCACGGGAUACUGUUCAUCUCCACCGUCGAACUCCUCCAGCCUCCACGGGCUCCUGUUCAUCCAGCCUCCACCGCGCGCUACUCCACCGACUACUGUUCAACCACCCCUCCAUCGUCUACUGUUCAUCCAGCCCUCCACACCACGGGGUCCUGUUCAAUCAACCCUCCACGGGCACCCCUCCACCAUCUACUGUUCACCCAGCCCUCCACACCACGGGGUCCUGUUCAUCCACCCCUCCACGGGCACCCCUCCACCGUCUACUGUUCAUCCAGCCCUCCACCACACCACGGUCCUGUUCAUCAAGAGGCAACGCCACCGCUCACUAUUCAUCCAAACCCCCCUGCAACGCUCACUGUUCAUCCCAUCGAUCGGCUUCAGUUAGCAGCAGUAGCGAAGGAAUCGCUCGUUCAGGUUCAGUUAACAGCCAUCGAUCGAUCGCUCAGGUUCAGUAAUGCGUAGCCUGCAGUGCAAUCGCUCGGGUUCAGUUAGACCCCAACGCCUCGCCCGGGUUCAGUUAGAGCCAACGCCUCGCACACACGCUCAUACGUGUACGAGAGAAACGCGCAUCGCUCGGCCCCUGACCUCCCAUCGUAACCGGGAACUCCCCGAAAUUUUCCUCCCCCUCGCUUCUACCAUGGUUUUUUCUGUCAUGGACGGACCAAAGAAUGUCAUGCAGCUGCGUCUCCGGCCCGCCCAGGACGAAAAGCCCAUUUUCUGUCAUGAUUUUUUGUCAUAGAAGUAGGAACCCACCACAUCUACGAUGAUACCGGGUUUGGUCACAAUUAUCGUCAUAGAAGUGUCAUAUGUAUGACAGAAUUUUUUUCCGUUCGGCCCAAAAUGUCACGGUGUGUCUUUUUUUUGUAGUGAGAGUUCCCGAUGGGGGUGGAUGAACAGGACCCCGUGGUCUUGCCUCUGGAUGAACAGGACCCUGAUCGAUCAAGCCGGUUGGGGCUAGAUGAACAGGACCCCGUUGAGGGCUGGAUGAACAGGACCACCCCGUGGAGGGCAGGAUGAACAGUAGAUGGUGGAGGGCAGGAUGAACAGUAGCCCGUGGAGGGGUGGUUGAACAGGAGCCCGUGGAGAGGGCUGGUUGAACAGUAGCCGGUGGAGUAGCGCAUAGUGGAGGCUAGAUGAACAGGAGCCCGUGGAUGAACAGUCGCAGGUGGAGGCUGGAGGAGGUCGACGGUGGAUGAACAGUAGCUCGUGGAGGCUGGAGGGGGUCGACGGUGGAGAUGAACAGUAUCCCGUGGUGUCCUGUUUUGCGGUACGCCACACCCCUCCCGAUGAACAGGACCCCUGUUUCGACCGUAGCGCUCCAACACAAGUCUGUUUCGUCCGUUUUGCGGUACGCCACACCCCUCCCAAUGAACAUGACCCCCGUUUCGACCGUAGGAGGUCCGUUUCCUCCGUUUUGCGGUACGCCAGACCCCUCCCGAUCAACAGGACCCCGUUCCGAACGUAGGAGGUCUGUUUCCUCCGUUGUGCGUUACGCAAGGCCUCGUUUCCAUCGCCUGUUCCGUCCAAGCCCUCCCGAUGAACACGACCACGCAUUCCAUUCCGACCCAACUGGUUGGCUCCCACGCGUUCCGUUGCCUCCCGAUGAACACGACGCAUUCCGUUGCCUCCCCAUGAACACGACUCAUUCCGUUGCCUCCCCAUGAACACGACGCAUUCCGUUGCCUCCCCAUGAACACGACGACGAUGCUGUUUCUCCGUUCCGACCCAACCGUGUACAUGAGCCCUGGCCAUACAUAUGCGCGAGGAGGCGUUCGAGACCCCGCCCGUAUGUACACAUACGUGGCCGUAUUUUCUUUCUUGCACCCUGGCCGCUGUACAUACGUGUACAUGCUACGUGCGCGCCUCUACUACGACAUGUGCACACGUCUACUACGACACGUGCGCGCCUCUACAUCGACCAGUAUGUACGUGCACGUUCGCAACCAGAAUGACAACGCUACGUACGCUUCGACCAGGUGGGUCCCGACUGUCAGGCACUUCCUUGCCUGCGAAGAUGUAGCUGGUGGGUCCCAGCUGUCAGGGGGCAAAUCAUUUUUUUGCCCGGACGCACUUCCUUGCGUGCGAAGAUGUAGCUGGUGGGUCCCAGCAGUCAGGGGAAACGUUUUUUUCGUGAAAUACAGUGGCCCGUCCGAUGGGUCCCAGCUGUCAAGUGGAGGAAUCAUUAUUCUUCGUGUAAUAAGGAGGCACUUCCUUGCUACGGCCGUGGACCCAGCUGUCAGCCUCUCCACGUACAUUCCACGUCCGAUGGAAGUCCUUCCUUGACCACGUUGACCACGUCGCGCCGAGAGCACCAGGGCGGUGGACGAUGGCGAGGCCUAGGAAGGGGACGACACGGAGGCAGGGAAGACUCGGCAGUUGUUUUCCACGCGGAGUGGAGUACGACUGUACAAUGGCUUAUUGGUUCGUCUGCCGUCGCCGGAGAAUAACAGUAGGUGUGGGUGAGUAGAGGGAUGGCUAGGCCGGCGAUGGGAGUAUGGUCGGGCGGUGAGGCCUGCGCGGCAGCACAGACGGCCAUGAGGAGGAGGGAGCAGGCAGUCCCGCUGGUGCUUGUUUGAGCGGCUGGAACAGGAAGAGCAGAGAUUGAAGAAGCACGACGGCUGUUGGAUGGACAUCCAACAGUCAGUGCUUGUGCGUCAACCUUUUCUUAGGAUAGCCUCAAAUCUGUGGAAAACAGCAUACAGCCCAUCUGCCAUUAUUUCUAAUAAUUUACAGCCCAUUUGCUAAUUCUUAAGGUUUUUUGGAGCCCAUAUUCUUUUUGUUAGCAUUACAACCCAUAUUGUGGCAACGGUUAAAAAAUUAGACGAAAUUUUGCAUACUUCAGUACGGUCCGAACUAUUUUUAAUCCCGAAAUUUCGACUCACAUUCAAACUAAUUUUAAAAAUAAAUGUAUAUCAAUAUAAAAUCCAAAAAAUUCUCCAUGCAUAAAAAUUAAUGUAAUUUAAAAUCUUGAAAUGAAAAAAGAUAUUUAAAACUAAUUGCCGGUUUGGUGUGUUUGAAAAAUGCACAACCCAUUUCUCAUUACUGAUGGGCCAUUUUCUCGGCCAGCCGAAUGAAAGCUCUCCUCGUCUUGAAAGAUUUGCAGCCCAACAUGCCUGACAAAGCGACUUACUUCGCAAAUCACAAAAAAACUGGGUUGUGGCUGUGGACCCAACUGUCAGCCUCUCCACGUACACUACUCUUCCGAUGGAAGUCAUUCCUUGACCACAUUGACCACGCCGCGCGGAGAGCACCACGGCGGUGGACGAUGGCGAGGCCUAGGAAGGGGACGAUGCGACAGUGGAAGACCGCGCGGAGAGGACUACGAGGGUUCAUUGGUUCGGCUGUGGUGUGAGGCUGCCGUAGCCGCAGGGUCUGGCCAGCGGUGGGAAUAGUAGGGGGCGGUGAGGCCUCUGCGGCAGCACAGCCGGCCACGGGAGGCAGGAGCACGCAGCACGACAGGCGCUGCUUUGGGCGGCUGGAGCAAGAAGACUAGAGGUUGAAGAAGCACUACGGCCGUUGGAUGGACAUCGUACGGUCACUGGAGCUAGAAUCAUUCAUAUUGACUAAGUUGACAAAGCCCUUCGUCCCCUUCAACUUAGUAGGCCCACAAGUCAGCCUCCCAGCAAGGUGGGUCCCAGCUAGCCAGGGGAGUAUUCAUUUUUUUGUUCGUAAUAAGGAGGCACUUCCGGUGGGCCCNNNNNNNNNNNNNNNNNNNNNNNNNNNNNNNNNNNNNNNNNNNNNNNNNNNNNNNNNNNNNNNNNNNNNNNNNNNNNNNNNNNNNNNNNNNNNNNNNNNNNNNNNNNNNNNNNNNNNNNNNNNNNNNNNNNNNNNNNNNNNNNNNNNNNNNNNNNNNNNNNNNNNNNNNNNNNNNNNNNNNNNNNNNNNNNNNNNNNNNNNNNNNNNNNNNNNNNNNNNNNNNNNNNNNNNNNNNNNNNNNNNNNNNNNNNNNNNNNNNNNNNNNNNNNNNNNNNNNNNNNGUUUUUUCCGCGAAAUACGGUGGCCCGUUCGGUGGGUCCCAACUGUCAGGGGGAAACGAUUUUUUUUGCAAAAUACUGGUGGCCCGUCCGGUGGGUCCCCGCUAUCAGGUGGAGGAAUAAUUAUUUUGCACGUAAUAAGGAGGCACUUCCUUGCAGCGGGCAUGGACCCAGCUGUCAGCCUCUCCACAUACAGUCCACGUACGAUGGAAGCCGUUCCUUGACCAUGUUGACCAUGGCGCGCCAAGAGCACCAGGGCGGUGGAUGACGGCGAGGCCUAGGAAGGGGACAACGCGGAGCCGGGGAAGACGCGGCAGUGGAUGCCCACGCGUAGAGGAGUACGAGGGUUCACUGGUUCGUUGCGGUCUGAGGCUGCCGUCGCUGCAGAAUAAUAGGGGGUGUGGGUGAGUAGAGGGAUGGCCUAGCCAGCGGUGGGAGUAGUAGGGGUCGGUGAGGCCUCCGCCGCAUCCCAGCCGGUCACGGGAGGCAGGAGCAUGAGGCACGACCGGUGCUGGUUUGGGCGGCUGGAGCAAGAACACCAGAGGUUGAAGAAGCACUACGGCCGUUGUAUGGACAUCGUACGGUCACGGGAGCUAGAAUCAUGCAUAUUGACUAAGUUGACAAAGCCCUCCUGUGGGUGAGCAGAGGGAUGGCUAGGCUAGCGAUGGGAGUAUGGUGGGGCGAUGAGUCCUGCGCGGCAGCACAGUCGGCCGCGGGGAGGAGGGAGCAGGCAGUCCCGCUGGCACUUGUUUGAGCGGAUGGAGUAGGAAGAGCAGAGAUUGAAGAAUCACGACGGCCGUUGGAUGGACAUCCAAUAGUAUACAUGCCAUCUGUGGAAAGCCUCAAAUCUGUGGAAAACAGCAUACAGCCCAUCUGCCAUUAUUUCAAAUAAUUUACAGCCCAUUUGCUAAUUCUUACGGGUUUUUUGGAGCCCAUAUUCUUUAUGUUAGCAUUACAGGCCAUAUUGUGGCCACGGUUAAAAAAGUAUACGAAAUUUUGCAUAUGUCGGUGCGGUCUGAACUAUUUUUAAUCCCAAAAUUUCGAGUCACAUUCAGACUGAUUUUAAAAAUAAAUGUAUAUCAAUAUAAAAUCCAAUAAAUUGUCCACGCAUAAAAAUCAAUGCAAUUUAAAAUCUCGAAAUGAAAAAAAAGAUAUUUGAAAAUUAUUGCCGGUUUGAUGUGUUUUAAAAAUGUACAUCCCAUUUCUCAUUACUGAUAGACCAUUUUCUCGGCCAGCCGAAUGAAGCUCUCCUCGUCUUGAAAGAUUUGCAGCCCAGCAGGCCUAAUAAAGUGACUUACUUGACAAAUCACAAAAGAACUAGGCUAGCCAUUUUCAGAAAGAAAAAAAAACUACUGGGUUGGUCUGUGGUAAACAUAAAAGAAAAGGCUGUCUAGACAGGCCAGAGUGUCCCGGACAGCCUAGUUGACACCCUGCUUCCGUCUCAAAAACAAAUUAGAUAAAUGCCACUCCAAUUAUGGUGAUUCAUAAAAAUGCCACUUCAAUUUCCAAACUUUGAAAAAUGCCACUGCAAUUUUUGCAAACUUUGAAAAACGCCACUUCAGUUUGCAAACUUUGAAAAACGCCACUCCAGACUUCGAAAAAUGCCACUAGAAAUGGCAUGAAAUGGCAUUUUUCAAAGUUUGGAAAUUGCAGUGGCAUUUCUCGGAUACACCAGAUUUGGAGUGGCAUUUAUCAAAUUAACCCAAAACAAAAAUAACUGGGCAAGCUGCUAAGUCCCUGGUGUCAGCCGCUCGUUGUGCAAUUCUCUCAUUUAUUGACUACGUUGACAAUGGCAUGGGACCCAGAUGUCAGAAAUCCACUAGGAGGAGCCAUUUUUUUAUUGGCUUGAAAUAAGGAGGCACUUGCUUGCGUACUGCCAUGACCUUGGCGGGUCCCUUCUGUCAUCCACGUACAGUACAGUACCGGUUAGUCGUGCUUCAAAACUGAUCGGCACGCCAUUAAAAAAAUAAAGGUCGAUAACUAAUGCGGCACCUCGGGCCAAUGUGGCCAGAUCGCAUUUUGGACGAGAAAUUACACACCAUGUUUCGUUGACAUGUGGUCCCGUUCCAACAUAUCAGUGAGAUGACGGCGAGUAGUAGGAGUAUUUCCGAACAAACAUGUAGGCCGGGGCGCCUCUUCGUGAACCGUGGAAAACUCGCAACCGUCCACCGACUCUUCGCCUUUCCCUCUCGAUUUGGAACUGCUCUCGCACGCUCUUCCUCUCCCUCCUCCAUUUUCCUUCAGCCCUGCACCCUCUCUUUUGCCAUUGUUUGAUCGUCUUCUCCAUGGAGGGAACAGGCUAGAAACGACCCCGUUAUUCUUUCCCCGAUCUGAAAGAUGACGUGGUGGAGGAACUCAUUGAUCGGUGCGACGUCAUCACCUCGGCUAGCAUGGCAGGUUCGUUCAAGCCCAUUCUUGACUCAACUAAUAACAUCAUUACAAAGAACCCAAGAGUCAAGGAGUGGUUUGAUCUCCCCUAUCUUCUUUGCCGUGACCCUGAUGACUGGCGCCGACACGACGGAGGCCUCGCCCUGUGCAAGUUGAUGCCGCUUGAUAAUGAUACGUAUGAUGUUAAGAUGCCAUCGCUUGAGGGAAAGGCUUGGGCGGGCGCAAAUGGAGAUUGGGUUGUUUACAUUGGGUCCAACUGCGAGUGGGAACUUGUGAAUGUGUACACUUGUCACCGGGUUCCACUUCCAAAAAUCUCAGCACACUACCCAGAGGUUGAGCACACCAGUAAUGUACGUGCGUUCAAAUACAAUCAUGGUGACUGUCUUCUAUGGAAGAUAGCAAUUUGUCGAGUUCCCAACCGCUCUUGGAAUUACAACAACUAUGAAGUUCUUGCUAUCUUUGACAAGCUUGUUGCCAUCCUUAGUGGUUUGACUCGAUGGACAUUGCUCAAAAAUCAGUUUCUGUGCAUGAAUGAGUACUGUGGUGCAAUUCAAUACGAGGGCCUUGUGUUUGCUGCCACCACUCGUGGCACUCUUUUUGCAUGGUAUCCUCGUAGUUUCGGUUUGUUUGUCUUCCACCAUAAUUAUAAUUGUUUCAUCCACAUGCAUGCGGGUUAGCAAGUUUCCCUUUACUUAUUAACCUUCUUCUUGUGUUUUCAAGGUCCUCUGAACAUCCCACCACCUAUACUUGAAAAGUUUUAUAACCAAGGGGGAGUUGCCGAUGGUGAUGAUCACGAGCAGUGCCCAUAUACUCUGUGGUGCCUGGCAACUAAUUCCGAUGGAUCACCUCUUCUUGUGUGUAUACAACCCACUGAUGAUGUUACUGCUAAGGAAGAAGGUGUCUCCCAUGGUCGCACUCUCCAGACCUAUUCCAACACCCGUUGCAUGGUAUUCGGGAUGGAUACUAGUGUGCCAGCACCAACUCCUUCGGCCUGGCACAGAAUUGAUAAUCUUGGAGAAAACUCGCUCUUCCUUGGACAAAACUAUCCGAUGAUGGUGAAAGGCGAUCCAACUGCUGUUGACACAUUUAUGAGAAGCAACUGUGUCUAUACCUCGGAUAUUUGGGUGGUUCCCUACCCUGGUACUGAUAUAGUAGGCCACUUCAGCCUGGAUGAUCAGUCCCGCAUUGGUCUCCAGAUCGACAACGGAUGGCCCAUCCCAGAGAAUCACUUGUUGUUCAAAGCAAGCGUUUCCAACGUCGCGGAAUGGUUGAGUUGAAGUUCAUUUCAUGGCUUGUUAUUUGUUGUGUGGUGAAAACUUUAGUAUUUAUAAUGUAUCCACGUUAUCGAUGUGGGUUGAUGAUCUGUUGUAUGUAAUAAAAUGAUAUGCCUGUGAUAAACUUACUAAAUUUAUGAAUGGCUUUCGAGUCGCUUCCCUGAGUGAGUGGUGCGAUGAGGCAAAAAAAUAUUUUCCGAAUACAUAAUUGUACGUGCAUUGCAACAGGUUAUUGGAUGAGGCCAAUCAACAAUAGUACUACACUAUUUGUACUAGCUUCACAUGCUUCGCGCGUCGGGCGGGUGUUUUUACUGUAGCCAUAUGUUAAUGUGUUCGCUGUACGUAACCAGCACCUCGAGUCCUCGACACUAGUACUAUAUAGCAGGAGUAAGUAGUAGGAGUAGUAGGGUGACAUGGGCCAGAACAAGAAUUCACGUCCAGGAGUACGGCACACGCCACCACCACGACAUCCAUCUGACACCAUAUUAUUUCUUGGAGUCCAUGCUAGAGCAAUCUCUUCAACCUCGUCGUUUCUCUAACUUUAGCCAUCGCGCGGCGGGCAAGGUGGGGGUUUGCCGAUAGUCGGUUUCCUUAACUGCGGUCCCACUUGUAAGGCCAACUCCAACGCACGACCCCAAACGGACCUCCGUUUUGCACGAACUCCAACGAUAAUUUUGACUAGAAAAGCAAGACAAAAGAAAACAAGAACCACAAGAAUACAUUUUACUACUCCUGUAAGUUGGAUUAGUGCCUUCUUGAUGCAUUCAUUGUUGACCUGCGGAGGCUCGAUCUUGUGUGCUUCUUUCUUCUUCGAGUGUAAAGAAGUAGACGUUGCUUCCUCGCAUCUAGUCUCAUGUCUAGCCUCUAUUCUAGUAGGAGUAUCAACAAGUGCACUAAUCUCAUCUAAUAGCAGAACCGAAGAUUUGGUCGACACAUGGGACAUCCAGCAUCCAGGUCGUGUCAUGAAACAAAAUAGAGUGGUAGUUGAAGCCACGAGAUGUGCAUCUUGGGUUAAACUAUAAAUAGAAUCUUACUACACUUGAGUAACUCCAAAAGCGGCCACUGAAGAUCUUUAUUUGAUUUGUUUUUCACCACCAGCACAUCGAGGUGAAAUUUGUGCAGGUUCAGUGGGUCCUCUUGCGUUUUCACUGACAUGUGGGGCCGCAUGUGAGCAAACAGACGAUGGGCUCCGCGCGUCCGCUGGCUGGCUGAGAAGGGAGGUAGAGGAGGGCUGAGCUCGGACUGCAGGAAAUUUGUUCUACGUACCUCGAUAUAGGCUCGAUAUAGUGGGCUGGCAUGGGCCAUAACUAGCAUUCACGUCUAGUAGUACGGCACACGCCACCCACACGAGUCCCAUCUGACACCAAUUUUCUUGGAUUCCAUGCUAUAGCCAUCUCUUCUCCCUCCUGUUUUCUCAGCCAUCACGCGGUGGGCGGGGUGGGGGUUUGCCGAUAGUCGGUUUGCUCAACUGCGGUCCCACUGGUAAGUGAAAAUGCAACACCGCACGCAUUCCCGCUUGAGCGGCGUGCCGGACCAACCGUGUGGGGAUGCGACGCGAACACGGCAGGCUUUUCCUUUUGAACUUGUAACUUGUAAACUUUGGUUCUGCUCCAUGGCACGACCGAUAGAUAGAAAAUAACGAUUUUGCCUAGAGUAAUGAGAAGUUUGGUUCUGGCGCCAUUCAUGCAUGGAGUACGUACGAAAAUUAUGAAGUUCAUGCGAAGGUAAUAUAAUUACUGUAGUAUCAUAUACUACUACAUGGAUUUGACAAAAAGAUAAAAAUACAUACGGAUCCAUCAACGUUCAAUGACAUCCUCACCCCCUAGUGCACCGGGUCACCAACCGACGUGUGAGGAGCAGCGGUGUUGGCGGCGAGCUCAACAUGCUUCGGAACAGUGCCGUCCAAGGUUGCCCUGCGCUCCAAGAAGGCCAGCAUCCUAUAGUCCUCCUCUUGCAUGUAGUAGUCCUUGUGGACGAUUUGCGCGUAGACGUGGGUGAUUAUGUCGAUGGUCUCUUGCUACGCCAGACACUGUGCGGCGAGCGCGACCUCGAGGUGGACAUUCUCCGGCGCGACGGCGGGCAGUCACAGGGCCACCAGUGCGUCGAAGAGGUUGUUACCAUAGUGACCGUUGAGGGUGGCGGGCAUCAAAGAGCUUGGGCGCGUCGGCUGGAGGCUUACGUCAAAGUCGUCCGCAAGCUUCUUGAGGACGGUGAACUUGUCGAGGAAACCGACGAGGACCUCGUCGAACAAGGAGACGAAGCUGUCGUUCAAGUGGCCCCUCGCCCUGGCGGCCUCAAGCAAUACUACCUGGAGACGUUCCACGGUGUCGGGCCGCCGGCCGGCAUCGUGGACCAUCUGGCAUAGCCGGCUGAUGCUCUCGCUCAUCGCCUCCAUGGGUCUAGCGUAGCCUCUAGCCAACUGACCUUGCGAUUCGAGUGAUCACUCAGCCCUUGGUUAGCGUGUGUAGGUGCAUAGGAUUUCGUACUACUCCUCGGCCCUCUACUGCACCUGCCUUUGGUUGUAUGAUAGGUGGGCCAGCCACCCCCUGGGGCCACGUGUCAUUCACCCAAAGGCAGUUGCCGUAAGUCAAUGAAGCUGCGCCCCCUCCGUGUCGGUGCAGUAUAGUCAUCUCAUCGGACCUCUAGUUGGGGCCAAACGAGAGAAGUUUGAUGUUUACUGGUUUAUUUGUCCCCUUUGCAUUUUGUGCCAAGUUUUGACCUUUGAUUUAACUAAUAAAAUGUUAAUGCAUGUAAACUAAAAUGUUGUGUAAGUCACCUUACGAAAACCAGAUAAUCCCAAAAUACUUAGGCAUGGUGCAUUAACUCCCUCCCUGUUUCUUAUUUCGUGACAUAUCAACCAAUGAGAGAUGUGGGCCGUGCAUUCUUUCAAUGACUUGAGACUACCAAACAUGACAUGUAGUGUUUAGUUCAUUGCAUGUAAUCCUAUUAGUACUCUAGUUAGGAGUAGCAAAAAAACAUUAAGUUCUCUCGCCGAUAGGAAUGAAACACCAUGCAUUUAUUUGCAGAGGGAGUAGUACAUUUUUGGUGACAUGCAUUACUAGAUAUUGCUAGUCAAAUACUAAAAUCCAGAUGGUCGUGGUAGUACUCCUAAAUCUAGACGGUGGUGCUACUAGUACUAGUAGUAGUACUACCAAUGUAGGAGUAGUAGUAGGAGUACUAGCACUGUACUAUCUGUUGGUUAAAUUAUUACAUGCUGCUCCUCACAGUGAAGUGACAAGACCCUGCGCCGGAGAUGACACCUGAGUAUAGGCGCCGUGUUUGGCAUACAUAGUCAGCCUCACUGUCUGGAGUCACUAUCAUAAUGGCUGUAGAGCUUGCCUGCUUACAACUAGCCCUGUUCGACAUAAUUUCCCAUGCGUAGAUGCCCGUGCAUUGCACGGAACACCAAGAUUGGGGGUGGACGGCUCCGGCAGCGGCCAUCGCGCCAGAUUUUUCCACGACCUUCUACUCCUAGAUGUGGUGGGGAGGAGAUGAGGGUGAUUGUGAGAGACAAGGAGUUGUUUGCAAAUAGGGAACAAGUGCGGCAUCUUUUUGCAAAAAUGGAGAAGCUUGGUUUGUAUGCGUCAGAUCUAGAUCCGACGGCUAUUGGUGAAAGAUGGGAGGCACAACAUCAUCACCAACUCAGGACCUGUUUGAUUCUCACGAUUUUCAAAAUGCAGGAAUAGGACACGGCAAUAUUACAAGUUUCAAAUUGAUAUUACAAAUGUUAGGAGUAAUGCUACACCUACGAAGAGGGAAUUACUAGGAAGUUUACGUAAGAACUUUUGUUACUUUAGGUGGAUGCAGCAUUAUCAUACAAACUAAAAUCCACCUCCCUGACAAGUCACUAAUGGGCAAAUAAGUUUUCGAGUCUCUGGCCACUUGAUGUUUGAAAAAUAAAUUCACCUUCUGUGGAGAAAUGAGAUCCACCGUGUACCCGCGCGGGUGUGGCUGGGCACGAAGCGUGAGUACGUGCACGGUGCACCUAUUCUCUUCUUGUAUACGUACACCACCUACGUGGGGUUGUGUGAGAGAGAUACAAACCUAGAGAGAUAUAGUGUGUGGGUUCUUGAGAGUUUUUUUGUGGGGGGGGGGGUCAAUCAAAAAAUUUAACAUAUGCAAUGUGUGUGAAAUAGAGUCCUGGAUAUAACAUAUAUAUAGAGGGGGCGAUCCCCGAGAAGAGAGUGGAGGUAUCAUCGGCUUGAGGUGUCCAUAGAAUCGAAGAGAGGGAUGAUGUGUGUGUGUGCCCACAUCAAAGAUAUAGAGUUGUUGGCCUACUAGAACGUGAGAUGGGAGAUGUGCAGUUUGUCUCUGUGGCAUGGAUACCUACAUGCAGCGCUCGACUAUCGGUGUGUGGUGCGGGAAGAGGGAGGCCCAAUUAACUAUAGAGGUACAAUGGCUAGUAUAUGUGUGGAGGAGGAGAGAGGCCUACCUCAUGUAUUAAGGAGAUCGAUCUGCCUCAUGUAUUAAGGGAGAUCGACCGGCAUCCAUGCAUAUGUGCAGGAGAUGAAUAAGGUUGGGAGAGAGACAGAGCUAGAGUGUUGGAGGGGGCGGUAGAGGAGUUGCUUCUAACCAAUGGUGGGGUAGGCUUGCUAGACAAACGGAGGGCACGCCCGCAAUAUCAAUAAGUGAGGAGAUGGCUGCUUGUUGUCUAUGCACGUGCGUGUGAGAGAUGGGUCAGGAGGCAUGCAUGAAUGAUGAGGGGGGACGAUGUGGCUGUGGUAAGCAGACGUAACUACAUAGGAAGAUCAAUCGCCCUUUGUAAGAGAAAGGAGAGACAUAACUUGUGAGGUACGUCGAUCGAUGGGGGGGUAGUUAAAGUCGAUCUAGGUAUAUGUUGGGAGAUCGAUUGGUAUACUUGCAUGUGUGUGUUAGAAGCAAAUGAGGCACGAGGAGAAGGAUAGAGAGAGAGAGAUGAAUGUAGGAGGUGGUACGAGAGGCAUACUAUAUCGAGGGGCAGGAGUGUGCGAGUAUGAGAAUGAUGAAAAGAGUGGUGGGAGUGAGGCAUGGAUGGUGACAAGAGAAGAGGGGAAGCUUGAGUUUGUGCUAGGCACACCUGGCUAGAGAGGCAUACCGAUUGAUGUGUGCCGUAAAGAAGGAGCUGGGGGGCCUACACACACCGUGGGUGAACGACCUAAAGUGAAAAGACGAAUUUGCGCGAUGGAGCUAGAGAAUGCUGAGGGAGGGUGAGAGGGAUGCGGGCAUGUGCAUGCACAAGAGAAAGUUGGCGCCAGCUACAAAGAUAAGAGGGUUGCGUGGGUGUAAAAGAUGAAUAGAGAUCAUAUAUACUUCAUUAUAAAAAGCGAGUUCGGAUAUUUGAAGAAUUUAUCAUAGUGUUUCAAACCGACGGAUGUGUGAAUAUAUAUAACGGUGAUACACAUGGUGUGGUUAUGAACAUGGUAUACUACAUUUAAUAUAUUUUAUCUCUACUCUUAUAAAAACGGAGUUGUUGAUGAUGGUGUGCCUGCCAUCCUGCAUUAUAGGCCGUCUAAUUUAUAUCUAGCGGAUAGCAAGGAAACUAUGAUGGUUGAAGUUGGCAACAAUCAUGAUUGUAGAUUCUUAUUGAAAUAGAGAAACGAAUUCAAAUUUAGAUCGAAUUGCAGCGGUAGUAUAGACAUUUGGAAUGCACUAAAAUGUUGGUAUGAGUAGGUUACAUGCAUUAUACAGCAGGCGAAAAAAAUUAAUCGGACAUAACAUGGAUUCAUACUCCCUACUUCCAUCUAUAUAGGGCGUAAUGAGAUUUUUAAGACCGCCUUUGACUAUUGACAAGAUUAAUAGUACAUGACAUGCACAAUGUGAAAAUUAUAACAUUGAAAGAACCUUUCACAGACGAAUUUAACGGUGUGCUUUGUGUAAGUUGCAUGUCAUAUAUCAUUGCUCUAAUAUUAGGUCAAAGUUAGCAUCGAAAAACGCAUUAGGCCCUAUAUAGAUGGAAGGAGGGAGUAGCUUUGAAUAGCAUUUGUAUAGUAAAACGGGGCAAGACUCUCUCUUUGUGUGGUGUGAAUAGUUUUAUUUUUUUCGUUUUCUUUUUGGUUGAGUGAAGUGCGAAUUGAUUUGGUACGUACAAGUACAAUAUUACUACACGUUAGGCUUGUCCCUAAAAUUCAACCCGCAUCUUGUUAUAUCCCGAAAAUUCAGAUAUCGUGCCCCAAAACUGGCGCCUUCACAACCCGUGCCUUGCUAUCCCGAAAUUACAACACGCGCGAAAACUCCCUCCAGCUGCCAAAUCCCGACAUGUGAAAUCCCUCUUCUAACCCUGAGCCGAAAGGGCCGCUAGUUCAAAUCGGUGGGGGGUACUUUUGUAACACACCCUACAUUUUGGACAAGCGCAUUCCUAAGUCAUGCUUCACCCCCUCCCAUCGCCCCCUUUUUGCCAUUCAAAAUCCCAGGCCGCCAUAACCUCUCUGCUCCAGCCGCGAAACCCAACCCUCAUCCGUCCGCCACGUCACCGCUGCCCAGCCGUAGCCUCUUCCCCGACGACCUCGUCCACCGCAACAGCUCGGCGUCCCUCGUCCACCUCCUCGGAUGAGGAUCCGUCGUCCAUCUUUGUCGUCCCGCCGGUUCAGUCGCCCCAUCCUCCACCUCCAAGGAGCUGCUCCGACGAUCGCCUCGUCUAUCGCGACUGCUCCAUCCCCACAGUGCCGCCUUAACCUGCUCCACCGGAACCGCAACAUCAUCAUCGACUCCUCGGACGAAGUCGAGGCCCACUCGGUGCCACCAAAGAGUUUGUACACUCAUCGCAUCGCACCUUCUCCUUAACUCGACCUCCCGGCACCGACGGUGCUCCAUCCCGCACCCCCAUGGAGCGGCUACCUUGAAGCCGGCGCCGCGGGCGACAUCUCCAUGGAGGCUCUCCGCCAGUGCGAGGACCCUUCGGCGGCGGCAUCCAUACCAGCCGGAUCUGCUGCUGCUGCUCCGGCUCUCGCUCGAUCGCUCACUCGCCCAGCUGCUGCUGCUGCUCUCCCCCUCGCUCGUGCUGCUGCUCUGCUCCGAUUAAGCCACACUUUCAGGGGUUGGGGGGGCUCGCCGGAGUUAAGGAAGAACCACCCGCAGCAGGGACGGGGGCUCGCCGAAGAGGUACCCCANNNNNNNNNNNNNNNNNNNNNNNNNNNNNNNNNNNNNNNNNNNNNNNNNNNNNNNNNNNNNNNNNNNNNNNNNNNNNNNNNNNNNNNNNNNNNNNNNNNNNNNNNNNNNNNNNNNNNNNNNNNNNNNNNNNNNNNNNNNNNNNNNNNNNNNNNNNNNNNNNNNNNNNNNNNNNNNNNNNNNNNCAGGCCCUCCCUAAACUACAUGUCAAGUGCCUCUCUGCUACCAUUGCAUUCAGUUUCGAUAGUAGCAUUCAGAUUCCACAGUAAAUUUCAGUUUCGACAGUUAAGUUCAGAGUCAACAGUUUUUACCUCAUCUGUUGUAGUCAGGUGGUUUUUGGUGAUGUUAAUUUUACAUCCAUUUUACAUCAUCUAUUGGAGAUGCUAUUAGAAUCCCACUUGAGAUUGACGAUGUCUGUCUUGUGCUGCUUCAGCCUUGACGUCUUACGGCUCACCGGAGCUGCUCCAAUGACAGAACGAUCCAUCACAACAGAGUAGUGCCCUGGACGCCGUCUACAGAUUCCUUAGAUUUUCCUCCACGCCUCCGACAGCCACCUCUGCCUCAACUGCUUUAGCGACCAACCCAAUGAUGCUGAGGUCGACACGGCUACGACAAAGAGGUUGUACACUUGUUGCAUCACUUAUUACUAUACAUUCACAUCGAUCCAUUAGGGCUAUUUUGGUUCAACGGAAAAACAUCGAUCCACUGGUUGUUACCUUCACUGUAAAUUUCUGCAUGCUCUCCUUACAUAAUCUUACCAUAUUUUUUCCUAUGCAUGUCAGAUAUUGUACACAGUCAUGCUGAACAUGUAGAGAAAAAGAGAAGAGUUUUGCGCGGCAAUACAAUGUCAUGCAAACAUCGCUCCAUGGUGGGUUCAAUGGCAAACCCUCCCCACCCCUCUCCAGAUUGUAAUCCAGAGGAAGAUAUAUGUUCUGAGGCGGAUUCGGACGCUGCUGACCACUCCUAUUUACCCCCAGGGUGUUUGUUCUACCUUGGCAUGAUGAUGUUAGUCAUAUCAUGCAUAUGUUGCCUUGUAGUGCCUACUUUUGACAUCAUAUAUGUCAUCUUCUUAGUUUAGACAUGUUCUGUAAUGCCACCUGUAUAGUUUCUAUAUCAUAUAUGGGAAUUAUGCAGUCUCAUGUCUUUUAGCCAGCCAUAAUAUAUGUGAAAUGUGCAAUGCCAUCCUAUUUAACCAGGCAUCAUAUAUUUGAAUGAUAUCUUGCCCAUCCUUUUCUUCAUUACAUUUCCAUUUGUCAACAAUGUUUGUACAUUCAACUACUCUUCCUGUGAAUCAGCCAUUUGGGUGGGAGAUGGAAAAUCUGGAGUGAAAACAAGGCCUUCAGAGUAUAUAGUGCUACUGUCGAAGAAAAUCUCUUGUUGGGUCCCGAUAGCUCCUCAGAGAUGGAUUCAGAGACAGAUGACUAGUCCUAUUCCCCCACUGAGGUGUAUGCUCUAACUUGGCACGGUUAUACUGCUCAUAUCAUACAUACGGUGUCUUGCACUACAUAGUUUAGACAUCAUAUACACAAUAUUCAACACCAUGUUCUUAGUUUAGACAUCAUAUCGAAUGCCCUCUGUUUAGCAUAUAAAUCACAUAUGUGAAUUAAAUGAUGUGAUCCUGAUUACUUAGAUAACAUGUAGGUGAAUUAUGUCAUGCGAUCCUAUUUAGUUAUUCAUCAUAUCUUUGAAUUAUGUUAUGCUAUGCUAUCCAGUUUAGACAGACAUCAUAUAUGUGAAAUUAUGUCAUGCUAUCCAUUUUAGUUAAACAAUAUACAUGUCAACUAUUUCAUGCCCUCUUUUUUCCACACUAUCUAUUGCAUCUAUCUCUCAUACAAUGUCUGUACAUUGAACUAUGUUUCCUGUUUAUCAGCCAUUUGAAUUGCAGCAGGUGAUGCUAGUAUCUAGCAGACUAAAAACACGGUCUUCAAAUAAAACAGUGCUACCUCUUGGUGGAGAUAGCACCCCGGUUGUACAUGCACAAGAACCAGCCCUACCACACAUAACCCAAACUCUCGCAGAUUGUACCCCUACUACGAUGGACAGAGAACCAGCUUCACCCAAUCUAACCCCAACCCCAGCCGAUAGUAACCCAGUUCCUGUUGACACAACACCAUCUCCACCAUAGAGCUCCCAAACAAGAGCAGAUAGUAAGGCAGCUCUAGUGCCCAAAGGGCCAGUACUAUCACGGCGAACCCCAACUCCACCAGUUAGUCCGCCUAUUCUUGUGGAGGAAGCACAACCAGCUAGUCGUAGUUUAGCAUCUAUCGCAUUUGAUGUUGUUAAAUUGUAUGUGCGUAUCUUCCCAUCUAGGAAAUAUUAUACUGAAGAUGAAGGAAAAUGCCAGUUGCAGGUGUUUGUCCAGGAGUUAUGUGUAAGUAAUGUUAUUCAUGGCAAUUACUUUGCUUCAUCCCAUACAUCCUACCUCCAUGAUGGUUAUAAUACAGUAAAUUUUCCCAUUUUUCUCUAUAGAGAAGGACCGAUUUGGAAACUCAGGAUGAGGUAACCUGUGCUAAUACCUCUGCUAUCUUCAAGAAUGCUUGGUGGCAGUAUCGGAAUUACCUGAAGAAAACGUACUUCACCGGCAAAGAAACUCAUCAAAUUCCCUUACGUUCUCCUGAGACACAUUUACUGGAUGAUGACUAGGAACGCCUUUUCUGUAAUGGUCCUGAACCAAGAAUGUGGUAAGGUCUAUGAGCUCAUUUUCUAUUUUUAAGUAUUAUAUUCUUGCAUCUUACUGUACUCUGUUCAUGUAGAACAAGUGCCUAAACCUGAAGAACAACUGUUCUAAUUUAAGAUUCCAUUGCUACCAUAGGACAUAGAUAUAUGUUUGUUUGAUGCUUUUAUUAUGUACUAGUACUUGGCAAUAGAAUACUUGGUAGUUUAAUCUUGUCCACCUUACUAAUGAACUGGUUAACCGAAAUGAGUUUCAUAUACUAGUACAUGCUAAACUUGUUAUGUGUCUGCUUGUUUCUUCUUUUAGAAUGCUGGCAGAAUAUUGGGGAAGAGUGCCUUAUUAAGCAAUGGUAAAGGAAGUAAUGCAGAUAAGGUUCAGGAUAGUGACACAUCCUGUCUUGGUUUAGUGUUGGAGUUACUGGCCACUACCGCUUGCACAAGCUAUUCAAACUCUCUGUCUGCAUCAGUUUGGUUUCUUGAGUCUCAACUACAAGCUGAAAGACAUUGAUCAGCUGUGCUGCGACAAGAAGCGGAAGGACUGCGGAAGUUCCUCGAGCAUUCAGAUGCAUACUUUAUGGUGCAACAGCAGGCGUUGGAGGAUUUUAGCGCCAAACAGGACAAAGCUAAUCAGCUUGCUAAGCUUAUUGCCAGCAUGGUGGAUACCCAGGAUAACGUUUCUUGAGCUCUUCUGAAGUUGUUUCAGUUAUGCUCUUGUUUUGCUGCCGCAUUUAUUUGCACUGGUGGCUAAUUUUGACGACCAGUGUAUAUGAUAUGCUGCUUUGUUCCCUAUAUUUGCACUGGUGGUGAACUUUGAUGCCCAGUGGAUGUAAUAUGUGUAAUAGCCAUGAUAGCCUAGCGUUAGUUGCUUGCUUAUUUAUUUCCUUGUUGUCUUUUUUAUUUGUUUGCUUGUAGUCAUUGCAGUUCUUUUUCCGCGGUUAACUAGUGGCCGCAAUAACCUAAUUUUUAAAACUAGGCCACAAUAACCAUGGGAUAAUAUUUACUGUAGUGACACUGGGCCUCCUACGGGCCGUACAAAUAGUGGGCCUUCUACGGGCCAUAGAAACAGUAGGCCUUCUAUGGGCCGUAGAAACAAUGGGCCUUCUACGGGCCGUAUCAUCAAUGGGCCUUAUACGGGCCGUAUGAUCGAUUGGCCAAACAUGGGCCAAUAACAAGGCGCAUUAUGGCCGUAAACGGGCUAGAGUUGGAAUCAUCCGUUCAUGCGCCGACCGUAACGGUAACGGGCCGUAAGUAAACGAAUGCUGGAAAUGAGCCCAAGAAUAAAUGUGCUCUGAGAAGGCCGAAAGAUAACAUGGGUUGGAAACGGCCCAACGAAAUAACGGGCCGUUAAUGGGUAUAAAGUGAUACACUGUUCACUACAGGCCAGUUUCACCACGGGCCGUUAAUGGGUGUAAAGUGAUACACUGUUCAUUACGGGCCAGUUUCACCACGGGCCAUUAAUAGGUCAAGAGUUACAUAGGGCUUCAUAUGGGCCGAAAGACGUCAUGGGCCAUACAUGGGCCAGAAGUGAAAACGGGCUGGAAUCAUAUUGGAUGGCCCAGGUGACGCUACUAGGCCUAAUUCGGAUAGGGUGUAACGGUCCUUGGGUUAGCGGGCUGUAAAUGGGCUAUAUGCGAACAUGCCGUUAACAGGCUUUACAUGGACCGGCCCGCCACCUUUUGACCAAGUCAAAUCGGCCGGCCUUUUCACAGGAAUGGGCCUCUGUUGGGCCAUGCUACGUGUCGACGUAUCAUAGGCGCCUAUCUGACCCACUGACGAGCUGACACGUGUUUCGUCCAGCCAAUAAUAAUUUUACACGUGGAAAUUUCACAUUGGUCGGGGCUGUUAACGGGUUAUCGGAUCCAAAACCCGACCCGAUAGCUUAACGGCGUUCUGUUACGGUGGAUGCCACGUGUCGGUCACCCUUGACGAAAAGCACUUCUGUGACGCGUGAUUUAUCGUCAUGGAAGUGGACACUUCCGUGAUGAUAAUUUUGGUAAUGUCAUGGAACACUUCUACGACAGCACAGGUAUGACUAUCUUUAUUCUGUCAUAAAUUUGUCAUGGAUGUACAUGCAUGACAAAAAACGCGACCCACUGUGACAAACACGUAUCAUCACAGAAGUGUAUUUUUUUUGUAGUGCAUUGGAGUUUUGGGGGGAUUUCGUCGGGUCGGGUGGGAAGCUUGCGCGGUUGCACGCAGAAAUGGUCUCACCGAUGAUUCAUUGGUGCCUCUUCGAGCCAACAUUUGCCCAAAAGAACACAUCUGCGGUGCUUAAGCGUGUGCCCAAAGACUUCUGCGGCUACGCGUACCAAGAUGUGCCAGAGUAGGACGAAAUAACACAUACACAUGUGGUUUAAAAAAUAAACGUUUGUGAUAUAAUUACCUAGAAUACGGGUGCUCUCUACACAGCAUCGCGAACGAUUGUUCGCCCACUUGUGUGGUGUGGAACGCGACAUAUAUAGUUUCACAUCACACCGCUGGCUCGCAAACGUCGGUCGGCUUGUAGAUGGCCAUUCCCUGCGUGUUCAGCUGAUCUAUGUGUGUGGUUGCUCACGAUUGAGGCGGCUGUGACGUGCUCUGGUCGCAUCCCUUCGCGCUCUCUGCUCGCAUCCCUCCAUUCAUGCUACCAGCUUUUGGGGGCCGGCGCACAAUUACGUAUGUUCGGGGUGCCAUACGCAUGCAGUUGCGCUGGGCGCAGCGCGACGAUGCAGUUACGUGUGUUAUGAUGCAGUUACCUGCUGCAAAGACUGUCAUGCGGACGUGCCGAAAAUCCAGGUCGCCUAGUCCCCAUUUAUUCCCACGGCCAUUCACCUUAAUCUCUCACGCCCCACGAUGCAAUAAGCACACCCAUGACGCCACGUACAGAGAAAGUAUCCAACGGCACCAAUGGCGCUCCCAUCGGCUGACGACGAUGGGCGGCAGUUCACCACAUCUCACGUAGUGGACACUAUCGGCGUUCUGGGAACGGGGGUCCCCAGACUUGCCUGCCUGCGGCCUGCAGCGUGGCUCAAGUGGGGGCCCAGCGUGGCCCAUCUUCAUCAGCUGAAGCUCAAGACCCUCGCGAGGGGCCAAACCUCACGGGGCGGACAAUAGAAAGCUUCCUCAGAGGCAGCCUCAUCAGGCAGGCUCGCGAGGAGGUGGAGAGAUCAAGGCAGGGGUACCUCGCGAGGAGCCCGUGACGCAACUGAACUCACCAAAGCAGUUCAUCGCACCAGCUCAAGAACACCUCUCGUGAGGCUGUUCUUCCCUUGUACUGUUCACCAUCAGCCCCUGAGGCAAUCCACCACACCACACACUGGAGUAGGGUAUUACACCACAAGGGUGGCCCGAACUAGUAUGAACCUCGCGUCCCUUGUGUGGUUCGUUGUUUCCAGCUUAGAUCACGCGAGGAGAUUGGACGUAGAUCAGUAGGGGAGAGAUUUCCGUGUGCACCCCAGUUAUCAAACCACAAGGGUCUGCCGGAACCUGAAAUCCGACAUUUGGCGCGCCAGGUAGGGGUGCGCCGGAAUCUUUCUUCCGCCAUUCACGUGUGAUCUUCCGUCGUGUCCAUGGCUGACGCUCGUCGGGCUCGCGCCGAGCGCCGGGCUGCUCUCGCCACCCGCGUCGCCCAGACGGCGCCCGUCGGCGGACACCCUCGUCGUUCCCCGUCGCCUGCUGCCAACGCCGCCACCGGCCCGGCGGGGAUAGAGCAGCAGGCCUCGUCCCAGCAUCCUUCGGUGCGGCGGGAGGGCCGUACCGCCACAAUGUCGCUGACUCCAGCCGCUUCGUCGUCCCACGCCCGUCGCGCCCCCAUGGACACGCACGCCACACUGCUCCUCGCAAGAGAGCUCUUGCGCUACCGCCCCGUCGACGACCUCUACGAGGACUGGCUCGCCCGCAUCACCGAGCUCGUCAGCACCGCAGGGGGAUCCCCCUUGCUGUCCCUCUCGCUGCCUCACCCAGCAUUCCGCGCAGGAGGCGGGGAUCAGGAGGUGCCUCCACCAUCUCCUCCCCAAGAAGGCGCCCUGGCUCCAAGGCGUGUGGCCCCAGGGCGAGACCCUCCACGUCCGGUGCUUGCGCAGCAAGAAAGGAGCUGCCAAAAAAUCCCUCGUCCCCAAGAAGGUGCUCGCGUGCUCCCAGCGCCGGCGCGCCAAGAUCGCGUCCCUGCACCUCCACGCCAAGGCCCCGCGCUGCUCCAAGCGGCGGCGCGCGGUAAUCCCCAGGAACAAGCCCAGCACCAGCAAAAGGCACCGGUGGCCACAGCAGGCUGCCGCGCCCUCACACCUGGGCUACGCGGCGUCGCAUAGCCGGGCAAGUUCAAGCCUGACCUGCCCCCUCGCUACGAUGGCACGGCGGACCCCGCGGAAUUCCUACAGCUCUAUGAGCUAUGCAUCGAAGCCGCUAACCGAGACGAAAGGGUCAUGGCGAACUAGUUUCCCAUGGCGCUCAAGGACGAGGCCCGCACCUGGCUCCUGAACCUGGCUCCUGGCACAAUCUCCUCCUUGGACGAGAUGCACACUCGCUUCAUCGCCAACUUCCAGGGCACUCGCGACCGGCCCCCGGCCGUGAGCGAUCUGCGCCGCAUCAAGCAGCAGCAAGGGGAAAACCUGCAGAAAUAUAUCCAGCGCUUCAACAACGCUCGCCUCAAGAUCCCCAAGGUGACUGAAGAAGCCAUCAUAUCGGCCUUCUCCGAUGGCGUGCGCGACAUCAAGAUGAAGGAGGAGCUAGCAAUCCAUGAAGACCUGUGCACAUCCCUGGAGCUAUUCAACUUGGCGACCAAGUGCGCCAGGGCUGAGGAAGGGCGCCUUUCCCUCCUCGAACUCGUGACUGCCGACCCAGAAGAGAAGAAGCCCAAGGCCAAGGAUGUGAAGCACAAGGGGGUUGUUGUGCUUGCAGCAGAACCAGACACCAAGCAAGGCAGGGAUCAGCCUGAGUCAUCCAAGGGCAGCCGAUAGUGCGUGUACCAUGACCUCCACACCCACAACACCAACGAAUGUCAAGAGCUCAGGGCCGUGAGAGAUGGACGUGUCGACCGAUGCCCCGAGCACAACGACAGGGACUAUGGCCGAGGAGGAGGAAGAGGUGGCGGAUGAUGGGAAGACCGUGGCCCUCGCCAAGGGUGGCGCAACAGACCUUGCAAGGAUCGCUGGCAGGACCAGCCUCGCGAGGGAGGCUGGAGAGAUAAGCCCUGUGAGGAUCGCCCGCACGGCAACACAGGCCUUCCUCCUCUGCCGCCACCGCCAAGGAGGAACGAAGGCCAACAUCAAGACGAGGCGGAUGGGGGCUUCCAGGAGCCGCGCGCAAUCACUUGCAUCUUGGGUGGAGCGCAGGCCCCAGCCUCACAGCGCAUCUUCAAGCAGUUUGCUCGCGAGGUGAAUGCAGUCCUCCCCAAGCUUGAGGCCACACGCCCUCUCAGGUGGUCUGUGUGGGCUAUCACGUUCAGCUCGACGGAUCAGCUCAAGUGCGCGGCAACGGCCGGAGUCCUCCCGAUGCUUUGCUCCCCAGCCAUCAGCAACGUGCAGGUCAUCAGGACCCUCAUUGACGGCGGAGCAGGACUCAACAUCCUGUCCGUCGAGACGUUCGACAAUGUCCAAGUGCCAUACGAUCAGCUUCAGCCGACCAAGCCCUUCUCAGGAGUCACUGAUGGUUCCACUAUUGCAAUAGGGCAGGUUCGCCUUCCAGUCACCUUCGGGCAGCGCAACAACUACCGCACAGAGCUCAUCGACUUCGACGUCGCCCACAUCCGUAUGCCAUACAACGCCAUCCUCGGGUACCCAGCCCUGGCCAAGUUCAUGGCGGUGACUCACCACGGAUACAAUGUCCUCAAGAUGCCAGGAAUUGGUGGAGUCAUCACCGUACCCUGUGAAGAAAGGGACGCAGUGUGUUCACUUGAGCGCGCGUUCCAAGCCGCAGCAAUCGAAGACCCGGACCACAGGAGCGGAAGACUUCCCGAGGCAACCCUUAAGAAGAAGAAGGUUUCGCCUGGACCAAGCCAUAAGGAGGCAGACGCCUCCGAAGGUGUUGCGUCAGGAUCUGCGCCCAAUCAGGGAGCGCCACCCUCUCUCACAUAGGAAGGCGCGCCCGGCGCCCUCUUCAGGCAGGGCUCGGGGGCUCUUUCUUGGAGAGCCAACGACUUUGCCAAGGUCGCAAGGGAGGCGCUCGGGCACCACUUGGAGGGGUGCUUCCAGGCACGUUUCCCUCAGGAAGGUACAAGGCAAGGAAGACCAAACCCUCAGGAGUUCAUCACAAGAAACAACCAGGAGCUACAGGAGUUGAGAGUCAUGCGCGGCAGCCGCCACUUGCCCCCUGUAGCCCCACAUCUAGGCGAGGAUGGUGGGCUGCGCGUCUGUGUUGACGUGCCAGGCCUCAACCGAGCCGUGUCUCAGGAGCGCCUAUGGGCUUCAUGCGUGCGGCGUUGCAAGGGUCCACCUCACAGCUACAUUCGCAUGCCGUUCGGCCUGCCGAACACGGUCGCCGCUCAUCAGCGCCUGCUGAGGAGCAUUCUGGAAGCCCAGGAGGUCAGGCAUCGUGCGGUCCAGGCGGAGUGUAACACCCCGAGACCGAUGUGCCAGGUGUCCUCCAAUUAUUCACUGUUGUUGUGUUGUCAUUGCUUGCGUGUCAUGCAUUGCAUAUCAUGUCAUCAUGUGCAUUGCGUCAUCAUGUUUUCAAAACUUGCAUUCGUCCCGGUCUCCCAGUUCCUUCCGUGGUCCGUUCUGAGGCCAGACUCACUUGCACGCGCCCGCGGCACGUCCGAAGUAUUAUUUUAUAAGUGGUUGGAAAAUGUUCUCGGAAUGGGAUGAGAGUUGGCGUGUGGUCUUGUUAUAGUGUAGGUAGACCGUCUGCCAAGUUUCAUCGCAAUCGGAGUUCGUUUGACGCCCCAACGAUUAACUAUAGCGGCAGUAUAGCCGGUCUAACGUCGGACGUUUUCGGUCUCUGGAAACAGUUGUCGGGCUGCCUUCUUCCUCUCCACCCAGUCCAUGGCCCUCUACGCAGCCCACUAGACUCAACCUACCCCUUCUCGCAUCCGGAGCCGUCCGAUGGCGAUCGUACGGUCCAAAAACCUCUCCUAACACCCUAACCCUAGCAUCUGUCUAUAUAUAGCCCCUAUCCCUGCCAAAAAUGGCCUAAACCUCCUCCCCUCGCAGCCGUCGUCGUCUCCUACCUCGCUUUCAGCGCCCAACCAGCACCCCGCCGCCACUUGUCGCUGCCAGAGCCACCCGUCGCCGCCGCCACGUCAGUCGCGCCACCCCUGCGCCCACUCCCGCAUCACCGCAUGUCCUCCCCUGCGCCCCACUUCACCGCGGCCCUCAGAGCCCAUGGGAGACCCGCCCCGGGCCCCCCGGGCCCGAAUCGCCCUGCCGCUAUGCGCCCGAGCAUGCUCGCUCGCUCGCUCGUAUGCCUCCUCCCGCUGGAGCCCCGCGCCGCCUCGCGGUUCGCCUCCUUCUACCGGCCACCGGAGUGCUGCCGUCGGCGACCUCCACCUGAGGACAGAGCUCCGGCGUCCCUGUCUCUUCUCUGUUUCUUCUCCUCCCGACGCUCACCUCUCAUUCUCUCUCUCUCGCAGGUGAGGCUUUUGCUGCCAGAUCCGGCCGACCUUGCAUCACGGGUGCCACCGGCAUCGGGAACGGGUCCCCUGGGUCCAGAUCCGCCAGGAUCUAAUGCCGCCAUUCAACCCCAGCUCCUCCCCACGCCAUUUCGCCGGAGUAUGCAAGCCGCCGCCGCUCUUCCUCAUCGGGAGGAGGACAACAUCGUCCGCAUUACUGGCCUCGUCCACGCAGGUGGGCCGGCCUCCUCUCCAGCCGCGGCCCAGCACCGCUUCCAGCCGCGGCCCAGCCGCGCGCCGCGCGCCCCUGCCGGCCAGCCUCUCGACCGCGUGGGCCUCGGCCCAGGGUGAGCAGCCCCCCAGCGCCCUCUAAUAUUUUUUUCGCUGAUUGGGCCAACCAGUUUCAGCCCAUUUGUGUUUUUCCUGCUGCUGCAUUUUAGCUAUUAUCCAGAAAACUGUUGUUUUACAGAAAAGUCCCUAGACAACAUGCAUAUAAUAACUCACAAACCAUGCAUCAGAUUAAAACAAACUUAAUAUGGAAGUUGCUUAGAAUUUUGUCUAGUUUCAUAAUAUGCCACUUUCAUCCAUGUUCAAAAUGUUUAAAAUGCUAUUUGUUUAAAAUUGCUAAAAUGCUUUAAUUCAUAACUAAAUAACCGUAACUCCUAAUUUAAUAAACUUUAUAUGUAAAUGGGGUGGAAAAAUGCAUAGUUUAUCAUGGUGACCUUGCUUUGCAUGUUUAACAACUCUAAAAUAUGGUUUAGGGCAGAACAAUACCAAACCUUAAAAUAUGCAUAUGGGGUUUUAUCGGAAUUGUUGUUCGUUGUUUCCGGCAUCAUUUAAACUUGCCUAGAUAGGUAGUUUUGUUGUGCUUCACUCUUGCCAUGCUAACAAAAUUUAAUAUUCUUGAGUUCAUAAACGAGAGAGAACUAAAUAAGUCAUGUGGUGUUUUCUUCAAUAUGCAACUCGGUUGCAUAUUGAGCUCCACUUAAUUUGUAGGAUUGUUUGUGCACUUUGCCAUGCCAUGCCAUGUAUCAUUAAACCAGACAUGCAUCAUACUUGGUUGUGCAUCAUGCCACGGUUACGUGAUAGUUGUUUACCAUGUUGUUUGCUCUUUCCGGUGUGCUUCUUCGGUUGGUUCCGAUAACGUUGCGUUUGUGAGGAUCCGUUCGGCUACGUUCUUUUGUCUUCCUCAUGGACUCGUUCUUCUUCCUUGCGGGAUUUCACGCAAGAUGACCAUACCCUCGAAAUCACUUCUAUCUUUGCUUGCUAGUUGCUCGCUCUUUUGCCAUGCCUAUGCUGCGAUACCUACCACUUGCUUAUCAUGCCUCCCAUAUUGUUGAACCAAGCCUCUAACCCACCUUGUCCUAGCAAACCGUUGUUUGGCUAUGUUACCGCUUUGCUCAGCCCCUCUUAUAGCGUUGUUAGUUGCAGGUGAAGAUUGAAGUUUGUUCCUUGUUGGGACAUGGAGAUGUUGUUCCUUGUUGGAACAUGUUUACUUGUUGGGAUAUCACAAUAUCUCUUAUUUAACUAAUGCAUCUAUAUACUUGCUAAAGGGUGCAAGGCUCGACCUUAUGCCUGGUGUUUUGUUCCACUCUUGCCGCCCUAGUUUCCGUCAUAUCGGUGCUAUGUUCCCGGAUUUUCCGUUCCUUACGUGCUUGGGCUAUAAUGGCAACCCCUUGACAGUUCCCCUUGAAUAAAACUCCUCCAGCAAUGCCCAACGUUGGUUUUACCAUUCGCCACCUAGCCUUUUGUUUCCCUUGGGUUGNNNNNNNNNNNNNNNNNNNNNNNNNNNNNNNNNNNNNNNNNNNNNNNNNNNNNNNNNNNNNNNNNNNNNNNNNNNNNNNNNNNNNNNNNNNNNNNNNNNNNNNNNNNNNNNNNNNNNNNNNNNNNNNNNNNNNNNNNNNNNNNNNNNNNNNNNNNNNNNNNNNNNNNNNNNNNNNNNNNNNNNNNNNNNNNNNNNNNNNNNNNNNNNNNNNNNNNNNNNNNNNNNNNNNNNNNNNNNNNNNNNNNNNNNNNNNNNNNNNNNNNNNNNNNNNNNNNNNNNNNNNNNNNNNNNNNNNNNNNNNNNNNNNNNNNNNNNNNNNNNNNNNNNNNNNNNNNNNNNNNNNNNNNNNNNNNCUCCUCUGAGUGUUAGUCCGACCUGAGCUGCCUGCGGGGCCACCUCGGGGAAACUUGAGGGUUGGUUUUACUCGUAGCUAGUCUCAUCUGAGUGUGCCCCGAGAACGAGAUAUGUGCAGCUCCUAUUGGGAUUUGUCGGCACAUUCGAGCGGUGUUGCUGGUCUUGUUUUACCUUGUCGAAAUGUCUUGUAACCGGGAUUCCGAGUCUGAUCGGGUCUUCCCGCUAGAAGGAAUAUCCUUCGUUGACCGUGAGAGCUUGUGAUGGGCUAAGUUGGGACACCCCUGCAGGGAUUUGAACUUUCGAAAGCCGUGCCCGCGGUUAUGGGAAGAUGGGAAUUUGUUAAUGUUCGGUCGUAGAAAACCUGAAGUUGAUCUUAAUUAAAAUACAUCAACUGCGUGUGUAACCGUGAUGGUCUCUUUCUGGCGGAGUCCGGGAAGUGAACACGGUGUUGGAGUUAUGCUUGACGUAGGUUGUUCUAGGAUAACUUGUUGAUCAUAGUUUCUCGAUCGCGCUUUGCCUUCUCUUCUCUCUAUCGUUUGCGUAUGUUAGCCACCAUAUAUGCUAGUCGCUUGCUGCAGCUCCACCUCAUACCUUUACCUUACCCAUAAGCUUAAAUAGUGUUGAUCGUGGGGGUGUGAGAUUGCUGAGUCCCCGUGACUCACUAAUACUUCCAAAACCAGCUUGCAGGUGCCGAUGAGUCCGCGCAGAUGACGCAACCAACCUCAGGAGGAGCUCGAUGAAGAUCUUGUCCUUUGUGUUGUUUCGUUCUAGUUGAUCAGUAGUGUAGCCCAGUUGGGGUCGAUCGGGGAUCUGUGUAGCUUUUGGGGUAGUCUUCUUUUAUUUUGGUUCUGUAGUCGGACCUUGAUUGUAUCUGGAUGAUGUAAUGCUUUAAUUCAUGUAAUUGUGUGAAGUGGCGAGUGUAAGCCAACUAUAUAUCUUUUCCCUUAUUGUAUUACAUGGGUUGUUUGCGAAGAUUACCUCACUUGCGACAUUGCUUUCAAUGCGGUUAUGCCUCUAAGUCGUGCUUCAACACGUGGGAGAUAUAGCCGCAUUGAGGGCGUUAUAAGUUGGUAAUCAGAGCCUUCCCCGACCUUAGGAGCCCCCUGCUUGAUCGAAUAGCUGGCGUUGUUGAGUCUAGAAAAAAAUGUUUUGAGUCAUUUAGGAAUUAUAUAUAUCGGAGAGUUAGGACUUCUUUUUACACCUCAGUCCUUUUGUCGCUCUGGUGAGGCAUCCUGACGUUGAGUUUUGACUCUUCUCUUCUCAAAUUUCACUAAAAAAAUUUAGGAUCACGCGGGUAUCUUGGAAUCGUUCCGAUCGAUUUGUGACGAGAACAUUGUUCUUGGUGCCUCCUGUCAUUUAGGGGUUGUGGCAGUGUCCCGGGGAGUUGACCUCCGAGGUGUUGUCGUCACAAUUUUAUCGUUGCAGUUCUGGAAUACCUGAGAUUAGUUUCGCCGACAUCGAAAAUCUCUUUUAUGCAGUUGUUGGUGACAUAACCUCGACGCCACCCAGUACUGGGGCAGGAGUUCGGGAGUAUUGCCAUAACUCGUAUAACGGAUGCUUUUUGAAGGUUGAGGUAGAUGAUUUCCGAAGGUUUCUUGGUUAUGUGUUGAAGGAUGGAUACAACUGGAUGUAGGAUUUGCUAGUUUUGGGUGAGAUAUUAUGCUUCCCCUGUAUCCCCAACACCUGAUUGCAUAACCGGAAAGGUUCGGGAGUUUCAUAGGUGGGAAUUCAAGUAGCUCCUAGGAUUUCUUUCCAACAGAUGUAUGAUACGAAAUUGGGGUUCGACGUCUAGUGGUCCGCCUAUUCACGGUUGGUUUUACAGUGGUCUCGUUGUGUCUUAAAGAGUCCUUGGCUAUGUCGACUCGGGGACGCUUUGUAUGUCAUGUGCACUGCCUUGUACAUGAUGGUGAUGUACGACCGAGCCCGUGUAGGCCCCACCACAAAAACUUCGGGCGAAAUCUCUAUCAUAUGUUUGUUCCGGCUUAUUCUGCAAGCCAACCCUUUUUUUGUUUUGAGUUGUGGUAUUCGAGUUGCUUCAAUGUCAAGUGUUGAUUCCAUAUUUUUCCUAAGCGGUGUUCUCAUACCUCUAUGUGAAUACUAAGCCAUCUCGAUCUUCGCGUUUGUCGUUUCAAUUUCUUGUCAACCGGUGUGUCUCUCUUCAAGUGGAUUCGAUCAUUUCAACAUCCGCAAGAUCAAUUCUAAGUUUCUCAACGGUGUUCAUUUCUUCCAUUCCAAAUUGUCUUUGUUUUUUCCCGCCCUCCCUCCCUUGUUUUUCUUCAAGGGAUCAUAUUUCUUAAUCGAGUAUCCAUCUUAUUGAUAUGAAGCCUCUCCAUUCUUUUCCUUCAAUGUUCUUAUCCGGUGAUUCUCAUGAAGAUUCUAACGGAGCUUCUAGUUCAUCAUUCUUUGUUUCUUUUAUCUUCUCCGGUGGUUUCAAGUCAAGCUGUGUUGAUCUUACCUUUCCUCAUUUCAAUGCAUUCUCAUACCGGUGCACCUCAUAAUAAUUCACUUCUCACUAUUCAUUUGUUCCGGCGUGCUCAAGCUUUCUCAAAAGGCUCGUCUUGUCAUUCAAGAUCCGUUCAACCUAUUUCGAGGUUGUUAUCUCAUUCUAGCAAUUUAAUUCAACCGGUGCAUUCUCUAUUUUAAAUUGUUCUAUGGUGUGUUUUUGAGUGGGCCCUAACCCACAAGUCUUUUCCCAGGAUCUUACCUGACUCUUCUUAUUUUUCCGGAGUUAGUCUCAUAUUCUUCUCCAAGUUUGACGUAAGAAUGAAUUAUCAUCAGUCAUAUGUAUUUCUCCAAGAUCUGCCAAAUUCUUUUAACCGUUGGCUCAACCUUUCUAUUCAUCAUCCCGGAGUAUCUCAACAAUUAAUGGUGGUUGUCGUGGUUGUGUCACGGCAGUUGUCCUAGAGAAAGGACUUAGUUGUGGAGCCAUCGCUACGGGUUAGCUUGAAGGGGUUAAAGCGGACACAAGGACGCAAGAGAGUUUAUACUAGUUCGGCCCCUUCAAUGAUGGAGUUGAUGGAGUUGAUGGGUGUUUUGAUGACUAGGGAGCAAAUAAGCUUCGCCUAUGUCUCGAGUUGUUGUCUCUCCUUCAACCGCCGCCGGGUUGUCCCCUUAUAUACAUGGGGACGCCCGUCGGUUCACGGAGUCCCGAUACCGGCUCAUAGAUGCGUCCGGUUCGGUCUCCACUAUUCCCAACCUAUAACACAAGUUACAUACCGACACCGGUUUAUAGCUAUAGGCCUUAAACCGAUUAUGGGCCUUUAGCCCUCAUCUGCCCUCAUGGGCUUUUAUCACACUCAACUACUGAUGAAGUUAACCCGGCUUGUCCUGGCCGGUUUACGCCUAGUAGUAAUAUCCCCAACAUUAGGCCCCAAAUUGAUUUGAACAGGUUCAUGUCAAUCCUUCGCAAAAAUCUUCAUCUUCAACAUCUUCUUGUAUUUUGUUGAACCGCCGUGAUGUCAUCUUCUCUGCUUGCGGUAGACUGGUGUGACGUCACUGGUUAUAAAGAACCUUAUCCUGUUAACAAGCCUGCGACAAUUAAGGCCACAGCUUUGUUUCCAACCUCGCGGCUCCUUGAUUCUCGCGCCUGACAUAUCCCUUUCUUUAUAAAUAGGACCAAAGGGCCAUUUCCUUUCUCUUUCCCUCCGACCCCUUCUGCUUCAUCUUCCUCGCGUCGCCCAGCUUCGGAGCUCCGCCGCCACUGUCGACGUCUGCAUCAACCUUGGCUGCUGCAUCAACCUGAGCACACCAGAGCAUCGCGGCGACCUUCCGCUUCUUCCUCAGCUCCGGUAAAUCUUCUUUCCUUUCCCCCGCAGAUCUGUUCUAGGGUUUCCUCGUUCGUCGAAGUUCAUCGAGACUCUGGCGCUGUUCUUCCUUUGUUUCUUCUUUAGCCCAUGAGUAAAACUUCAAACCUGAUGUAUUCUCCGUAAUGGCUUAUCUUAUGUUACCAUAGCAAACCUUUAUGCGCAUAAAACACUGAUGUGGUCCCUUGUGAAUUGCUUUGAGAUCAACCUUUUAGGUCUAAAUCCUUUUAUUUUCCUGUCUUACGGUAGAUCCAAAAUUUCACUGCGACCUUAUGAAAUCUGUUUUUACCUUCCUUAGUCAUUCUUGCCUUAGAUCUGUAUCCUCUUUACCACAUAGGCGGUUCACCUUUGAAAAAGCAAUCUAUCAUAUAUCAUUAGUCCCCUUGUUGAACCGCCGGGAUGUUGUUGCUUCAUAAACUCCGGUUUAGAUAGAUCUGCUUCCGGUUUAACAUUGCACAUAUCAAUGUACUUUCUAGAUUUCAUCAUGGCCAAGCAAGUGUAUUAGUGCAAUUGGGUCCCUUCUCGUGUCACAGAGGAUCAACUGGACGAUUUAGUCCUGAUUGGCGCCUUAGGCAGCAAAGACACCGUCCACUGGAGGGCUCCUGGCAAAGAAUGCCCCCCCACACCUCGAGAAGGAGAGGUUGUUGUUUUCGUAGACCACUUAGCCCGGGGUUUUAAACCGCCCGGUUCUAAAUUCUAUCGAGAUGUUAUAGCUGAUUUCCAACUCCAUCCGCAAGACACUGGCCCCAACUCUGUUACAAAUAUGUGCCACUUCCAAGUGCUUUGUGAGGUGUUCUUUCAAGAGGAGCCCACAGCGGAAUUAUUCAGAGAUCUUGUCCAUCUAAACCGCCGUACUGAGUUUACUAAUGGCUCUAAUACGGAGUUUGGUGGCAUGGCUAUUCAAAAAAGGAAAGAGAUCACCUACCCUCAUGCCAAGCUGCACAGUCACCCCAAGGAGUGGAAUCAGACAUGGUUCAACUGCAAAGACACCUCCCCUGCUGGUGAGAAUCCCUUGCCUGGCUUUCAUCCGAAGCGGCUCAGCAAUACCCAUCCUUUUCCUCAACGAUUGACUGCCCACAAGAGAAGCAAAUAUGCUCCUCAGCUGUCAAAGCUCAGGGCCUUUAUGGCCAACGGUUUAACAGGGGUUGACCUUGCUCGCUGUUGGAUAUCAUGCAGCAUACUGCCCCUUAGUCAGUGCUCCGGUUUGAUGUGCGAAUAUACUGAUAGUGUGGAUGACCCACUGCGGCAUUCAAGACUCCAGCUUUCCGGUGAAGAAAUCAUAGAGACUGUGCGUAAGAUACUGAAUGAACCGGAGCACAUCUGUGCUAGAACCGGCCUACUUCCCUUCUGUGCCACCAACAAACUGCCAGCUGUAAGACUUUGAUUUUUCUCUUUGCUGAAUCUGUUAUUGAUAUGUCUGGUCAUUGUUUUUAAUAUCAGUGUCUGCAUAACCAGGGCGAUGAUCCGUUUUGGAGAAAAAAGCUGCCGCAAGAGAAACUAGAGAAAACAGAUAAACCGGAAAGAGCAACCUGGCAAAAAACUAAAGCUGUGAAGAAGACUGCCCACCGGAAAAGAACCAAUGCAUCUUCUAAUCCGGCCCUUGAUGACGAGGUGGAUAAUCCGGACUUUGAGGUAGAGCUUGACUCACUUGGUUUAUUUUUCAUGCAUCUUAUUGAUGAUGAUAUUUGUCAGGAUGAUGCCGAAGCCAGCCAUGCGGAUGUUGCAGAGGUAAUUAUUCUCUCUUCCGAUUUAGAAACUUUGCCUUCACAAAAAAUCCGUCAGGCAACCCGGAAAGUUAAAUUUUCUCAUCCUCUUGCUUAUUUGGAUCCUAAACUUCUUAUGAAGACUCAACAACACGAAGCUCGCCGCACCACCCGGCAUAGCGGCCAGGUAGUUACCUCCGCCGGUUUACCGAAUAGUCUGGUUCGGAAACGUCAUUCCGAGGUCUCUAAUUCGCUUGUCAGUGCUUGUCCUAAAGUGGGCUGCUUUCGUCAACCUCUUAAUCCGUCUGACUCCGAUUAUCAGGUUAUUUCCCACUCAUCUUCUGGCGAGUCGUCGGCUACUCAGCUCCCACCGCUCAAAACGGUGCUUGGGUAAGCUAUAUUUAUUGUGAUAUUUGUAGUAUAUUGCCUUAGAACAUAUGCUGUAUUUAAUUUUGUUAUUCUUCUCAGGGCCAAACCCAGGCCGAGCAAGAAGGACUGCCUGGAUAAAGCGGCCGAAGAAGAUGUCAUUCUUGAACCAGGCACCACACCCAAUCUUGAAGCGGCUAUUCCUGAGGAUAUUCCCAAUGAUCCACCGCAGCCAGAUGAUGAUCUUACUGCUGAGGAAAUACCUACUGAUACCUCAGGUCCUAUCCAUCAGCCCACAGGUUCCCUCCGGGUUGAAAGCUCCACCGGUCCCGCAAAACCUACUGACAGGCCCACAGCUCCAGUGCAAACCGGCGGUACCAAUGAUGAUGAAAUUGUCAUUACUGGCACUUGCCAUACUGAGCCAAGAAAUCCUGUCGCUUUAUCCAAACAUUCUGCCAAGGAAGAAUUAGCUGCUUUUGGCAAAGGCAAGUGGAAUGCUGAUCUGACGGCUUACGCUGCUCUGAACGCCCAAGAUAUCCAUUCCGGCUAUCUGAACCGGCUGUAUACCAGCCGUGACUAUGAAGCCGGUCUGGUUAAGAUGAUGAAGGAUAAAUAUGAGGUAACUUUCGUAUGCUCCUUCCUGCUUGCAUGCUUUCAUUCUUGCUGACUCUCCUAGCCCCUAAGGGCUGAUUUGAAAUAUUCUUUCAAACCGGGACUUAAUAAUAUGAAUCUUAAUGCUUUGAAAUUUGCUGAUGUAGUCCCCAAGGGCUAGUUCAACUUAGCAUAGUUAAACUGGUACUUUAAGUAAUUGAAACUGCCGCAUCAGAAUACAUAUGAUCCAAUAGCCAUUAUCCCCCAAGUGCCAAGUUGAAUACUUGUAUUGAGCUUGGGACUUUGUAAACAAUUAAAAGAUGAAGAUCGAAUAUGCAUUAGCCCCCUAUGCCAAGUUGAAUACUUGUAUUGAGCUUGGGACUUUGUAAACAAUUGAAAGAUGAAGAUCGAAUAUGCAUUAGCCCCCAAGUGCUAAGCGCAUAACUUGUUAUGUGGUUGGUACUUGAAUCCUUCUACCGAUUUAUUGAAACAUAUAUCUAUAUGCCUGCAGGCGGAGCUAAAGGCGAAAGAAAGCCAAGUCACCGAUCUGCGAGAAAACUUGAAAACCCAACAGGCUGAAACCUCCAAGGCAAAAGAGGAAUUGGCCAGUGCCUUAAGCGCCAUGGAACAACUUAAGGAGAACUUCAAGAAGAAACGGGCGGAUUGGGCCACUGAAAAUUCCGCUUUGAUCAAACGAGCAGAGGAUGCCGAGGCUGCACUGAAACCAGUGACGGAUGAACUGACCAGCAUAAAGCGGCACAUUCAUGCCAUGACCACUGCUAUCUUUGGUAAGCCAGCUUGCCUUCUGAAUUGGUUCUGCCUUCUUACAGAGUCGCCGGUUUAUUAACCUUUUAUGGUAUUUCAGGGACACGCAUUGGUCACUUGGGGUCAGAUGUGCGGAAGAAAUUGAAAGCCGCCUAUACCUUGGUUGAACAAUUGUAUACUGGUGCCCAGCGGAUCAUCUGUACCGCGUCUCAUAACAAACCGGCGCCCACUUUGAUUCAAGAUACUUUGAUGAAACUGUCGGUGCUUCCUGCCCGGGUUGAAGAGCUAAAGAAAUCUGCUGCUCGAACCGGUGCAAUCAAUGCUUUAAUCCGGGCAAAAGCCUGGGUGCCGGAUUUUGAUCCUAUUGAAGCGGCUCAGGGUUAUCCUAGUUUGAAGGAAGACGGGUCAGAAUUUGGUGAAGCGGAUCUGCGAGCCAUAAACCGGGAGGUACGUCCGCUAGCUUGUCAACUGACCAAGGAAGCAGAUUUGUCUCAUUAUCAAGCCCAAUAUGACAGCCAGAACAAGCGAAUAGCUGCACCAAUCCAUGAAUCGGAAAACCUGAUCCCUCCAAUCCGUAAGCAUACUUACGCUUCCGAUAUUGACCCAUCUUCGCUAAUCCAUGACGAAGCUAUUUUUCAAGCAUUGAUGGGAAUUGACUGGACAACUGUGGAUUUCCAGCCACUUGGUAGAGAAACGGAAGCUGAAGCGGCGCAGGAUGACCCACAACCAUCAGGCCAGGCUGGUGGCCAAGCUUAAACCGGAAGCCGGUUUUAAAACUGUCUCUCCUUUGUGAAAAACAAUUAUGUUAUUAUGGGCACCAUGCUGCCUUGUAAUAGGCUAGCUGAUACCUUUGAUGUUGAUAUGCCUUCGCGCGUAAUUUGUUCUUCCUGUGGUAAUGAACUUUCCAAAAUGCUUUCUGAAAUAAGAAAUUCGUUAAGUGCCACCGCGGUUGUACCGUCAGGCGGAAUAUGAUGUUUGUAUAUAUAAAGUCAAAACAUCCAAAACAAAAUUUUAAGUAUAUGAUCAAAAAAAUUUGAGAUACAUAUUACAUGCCACCAUUGAGUGUGAAGUUGGCUUGGCCAACUUUGAAGCGGAGCUUUUGCAAACCCACACUGUUGGAGGAAAUAACAACUCUUGUAUAUGUAUAUGACACUGGUUACCAUGUAAACCUUGUCGGGUUAUAAUGAACACCGUGUUACUCCAUAAGAGGAUGUUAACAACAAGGAUCAAACCGGACAAAAAGUCUCCGGAUUGACGUGAACUGUGUUCCGUCAAUUCAUUGGUUAAAAAACUUUGUCGGUUUAAAGAACACAAUAAAAAGAAAAAAAACCUUUAAAGAAAAGUAUGAAGCAAAAGCAACGACAAAAACGUUUGCCAAAAAAGAUUUAUUUAAGCUGAUCAAAUGGCGUAACCAUGGCCAAACACGACCAAGCUCCCGUUAGGUGUAACUAUGGUUCUAGUUAGCCAGGUCCCCAAGUGAUUCUUGUGGCAUUUAUGCCGACCAAAUGGCGUGGUCAUGGUUCGGGUUCGACAUAGCCCCCAAGUGAUUCUCUGGCCUUAGGCCGAUCAAGAGGCAUGACUGGUUCAGACAUGACCAAGUCCCCAAGUGAUCUGGUGGCUUUCGCCUAUCAAGAGGCAUGGUAUUGGUUCGGACACGACCAAUCCUCCAAGUGAUAUAACACGAUGCUUUUAGCAAAGCGAACUCAAGGGGUAAACCGGAGGCCGUUUUAGUGAACAGAUACCCCGCUUUAGCUGAGGUUCCGGUUUAUUAUACUUAAUCAUAAUAUAUACAUUGUAUGUACAUAAGUAUAGCCAAUGGCUCAGGUAUAGUAAGGCCGAAGAUGAGCUAUAUUCCACGGCCUGUUAGUCUCUUCCUCUGAUGUACGUGAGUCCUUAUGCUCUCGAAUAUCGAUCAGAUAGUACGACCCGUUGUGCAGAUUCUUGCUGACCACGAAAGGCCCCUCCCAAGGUGGGGAUAGCUUAUGAAUAUCAGUCUGAUCUUGGAUGAGCCGAAGCACCAAAUCUCCUUCCUGGAAGGCUCUGGUUCUGACUCGGCGACUGUGAUAACAACGAAGAUCCUGCUAGUAAAUCGCCGACCGGGCGGCUGCGAUGUCACGCUCUUCAUCCAAACGGUCCAAAGCAUCUUGCCGUGCUGUCUCGUUGUCCGCUUCAACAUAAGACGUGACACGAGGUGAGUCAUGACGGAUAUCACUGGGGAGAACCGCCUCCGCUCCAUAAACCAUAACACAGAUGGUAAUUCUUCUACCCAACAACCCGGCGUUCUCUGCAAAGGAACCAUGAGCCGGGGCUUGAUGCCUCUCAAGAUCUCUUGAUUAGCUCUUUCUGCUUGACCAUUGGACUGUGGAUGUGCCACUGAUGAAACGUCGAGCCGGAUGUGCUCCCGUUCGCAGAACUCCUACAUAGCACCUUUGGAUAAAUUGGUACCAUUAUCUGUGAUAAUACUGUGCGGAAAGCCAAACCGGAAAAUCACCUUUUUGAUGAACUGAACCGCCGUGGCCGCAUCACACUUGCUAACAGGUUCUGCCUCCACCCACUUUGUAAACUUGUCCACCGCCACCAGGAGGUGGGUCUUCUUAUCUUUGGACCUUUUGAAAGGCCCAACCAUAUCCAGCCCCCAAGUCGCAAACGGCCAAGUAAUUGGAAUCAUCUUCAAUUCUUGAGCCGGUACAUGAGCACGUCUUGAAAACCUUUGGCAACCAUCACAUCGUCUGACCAGAUCCUUCGCAUCAGCAUGAGCAGUUAACCAAUAGAAACCAUGGCGAAACGCUUUAGCCACCAGAGACUUUGAACCGGUGUGGUGACCACAAUCUCCUUCGUGGAUCUCCCGCAAAAUUUCACGACCUUCUUCAGGAGACACGCAACAUUGAAAAGCUCCUGAUACACUGCAAUGAUGUAACUCACCGUUGAUGACAGCCAUGGACUUGGAUCGCCGGAUUAUCUGCCGGGCCAGAAUCUCAUCUUCUCGCAACUCGCCCCGGUUCUUGUACGCCAGAUAAGCGUCCAGUCCGGAAUAACAUGAAGAACUGCCACCAAUUGAGCCUCCGGAUCAGGAAUGGCCAAAUCCUCUUCACCAGGGAUCUUCACCGACGGGUUGUGCAGCACAUCCAUAAAAACAUUGGGUGGGACCGGUUUGCGCUGAGAGCCGAGCCGGCUUAAAGCGUCCGUCGCUUCAUUUUUCCGCCAGUCCACGUGGUCCACCUGAUAGCCUCUGAAAUAACCUGCAACAAUAUCCACCUCAGGACGAUAUGCUGCCAUGAGUGGGUCCUUGGAGUCCCAAGUGCCAGACACUUGCUGAGCCACAAGGUCCGAAUCACCGAAGCACUUAUCUCGACUUAGAUUCAUCUCCUUAGCCAUCCGAAGACCAUGGAGCAAGGCUUCAUACUCAGCUGCAUUGUUAGUACAAGGGAACAUUAAACAGAGAACAUAACAAAACUUAUCACCUCGUGGGGAAGUUAAUACGACUCCAGCCCCCGAGCCUUCCAACUGCCUGGAUCCGUCAAAAUGGAUGGUCCAAUACGUAUGAUUCGGCUUUUCUUCAGGUGCUUGCAUUUCCGUCCAAUCAUUGAUGAAAUCGACAAGUGCUUGAGACUUAAUCGCUGUCCGAGGCACAUAUUUCAAACUGUACGGCCCCAGCUCUAUAGCUCACUUUGCAAUCCGGCCAGUUGCUUCCCGGUUCUGGAUGAUAUCUCCCAAAGGAGCAGAACAGACCACCGUAAUUGGGUGCCCUUGGAAGUAUUGCUUAAGCUUCCGGCUUGCCAUAAAAACUCCGUACACCAGCUUCUGCCAAUGUGGAUACCUUUGCUUGGACUCAAUGAGUACCUCGCUGAUAUAAUAGACCGGAUGUUGAACCGGAUGCUCCUUACCUGCCUCCUUUCGUUCCACCACAAUAGCCACGCUGACCGCACGAGCAUUAGGAGCAAAAUAUAGCAGUAACGGCUCCUUGUCAAUGGGAGCGGCGAGCACAGGCGGAUUGGCCAAUUGCCUCUUUAAGUCCUCAAAUGCUUCAUCAGCAGCAGAACUCCAGACGAACUGAUCCGUCUUCUUCAACAUCUGAUACAAAGGGAUCACCUUCUCACCCAGGCGGCUGAUAAACCAGCUUAACGCGGCAAUCCGGCCUGCCAGGCGUUGAACAUCAUUGAUACACUUCGAUUUAGCCAGGGAGGUGAUGGCUGUGAUCUUCUCCGGAUUAGCCUCAAUUCCCCUGUUGGACACCAGAAAACCCAAUAAAUUGCCCGUCGGUACACCAAAGACACACUUGUCCGGAUUAAGCAUCAUCUUGUACGUCCUUAGGUUAUCAAAGGUUUCCUUCAAAUCAUCAACCAGAGUCUCCUUCUCCCUAGAUUUAACCACGAUAUCAUCCAUGUAAGCAUGUACAUUACGACCAAUCUGCUUGUGAAGACAAUUUUGUACACACCGUUGAUAAGUUGCCUGGCCACUUUUGAGCCCAAAGGGCAUAGACACAUAGCAGAAGGCUCCAAAGGGAGUUAUGAAUGCCGUCUUCUCCUGGUCCUUAACUGCCAUUUUGAUCUGAUGAUAGCCAAAAUAUGCAUCCAAAAAACUUAAACGCUCACAACCCGCCGUAGCAUCAAUGAUUUGAUCAUUACGGGGGAGGGCAAAAGGAUCUACAUGACAAGCUUUAUUAAGAUCUAUGUAAUCCACACACAUACGCCAGGUGCCGUUUUUCUUAAGGACUUGCACCGGAUUGGCAAGCCACUCAGGGUGAAAAACUUCAACAAUAAAACCAGCUGCUAAGAGCCUGGCUACCUCUUCCCCAAUCGCCUUGCGUCUUUCUUCGUUAAACCGGUGGAGGAACUGUUUCACCGGUUUGUAUUUAUGAUCCACAUUAAGUGUGUGCUCAGCGAGUUGCCUCCGUACACCUGGCAUGUCAGAGGGCUUCCAUGCAAAAAUGUCCCGAUUCUCACGGAUGAACUCGAUGAGCACGCUUUCCUAUUUCGGAUCCAAGUUGGCACUAAUGCUGAAUUGCUUGGACGAAUCGCCAGGCACGAAGUCAACAAGCUUAGUUUCUGCUGCCGAUUUGAACUUUAGGGCCGGAUCAUGCUCCGUAGUUGUCUUCUUCAAUGGAGUCAUGUCCGCCGGAUCAACAUUGUCUUUAUAGUACUUCAACUCCUCUGUGGCACAAACCGACUCUACAUAAGCCGCAUCUCCUUCCUCGCAUUCCAAAUCGAUUUUGCGGCUUCCGUGAACCGUUAUUGUCCCCUUGUGACCCGGCAUCUUGAGCUGCAAAUACACAUAACAGGGCCGAGCCAUAAACUUGGCAUAUGCCGAACGCCCAAACAGGGCAUGAUAUGGACUUUGGAUUUUCACCACUUCAAACGUUAAUGUCUCCGAUCUGGAAUCAUGAUCAUCCCAAAAGGCCACUUCAAGAGCUAUCUUACCAACGGGAUAUGCUGAUCUGCCAGGCAAUACACCGUGGAAUAUUGUAUUGGACGGUUUGAGAUUCUUUUCUGUAAGUCCCAUACGACAGAAGGUCUCAUAGUAUAGGAUGUUAAUGCUGCUCCCUCCAUCCAUGAGCACUUUGGUGAACUUAUAACCUCCCACCUGAGGCGCCACCACCAGAGCCAACUGACCCGGAUUACCGACCUGGAGUGGGUGAUCCUCUCUGCUCCAUAUGAUUGGCUAUUCAGACCAACGUAGAUAACGGGGUGUGGCCGGUUCAACAGAGUUGACUGCCCGCCUCUGAACCUUCCGGUCUCGCUUGUCCAAGCUAGUGGUAAAGACAUGGUACUGCCCAUUACUCAACUGCUUUGGGUUGCUUUGGUAACCUGACUGUUGCUGUUGUUGGUUGUAACCAGCCUGGUUGUUCUGACUAUUUUGACCAUUAUGUCCGCCCGGAUUACCAUUAAAUCCUGAACCGGAACUUCCUCCACCGUAACCCGGCCCGGGCCCUGAGCCACCGCCAGAUCUGUGAUCAUACCGGAAAUUAUUAGAAUUCUUGAACUCCUGCAUAAUAAAGCAAUCCUUCCAAAGGUGGUUUGCUGGCUCCUCCUUCGUCCCAUGUCUUGGACAGGGCUGGCUUAGCAGAUAGUUCAGGAGGUUUGGGUUGGGGUUGGGCGCUCCGCUACGAUUAUUCGGCCUACCCUUGCGCCGUUGGCCAUUGUCCUGUACGUUGGUAUUAGGCACAAAAUCCAUGUUGCCAUCCGCUUUACGCUUGCCUCCUCCGCCAUUGCCUAUCCAGUGAUGUUGCUGACCUUUGGAGCUGCUGUUCUUCUUCCCCUUCCCUGUCUUGUCAUCAUCAGAUUCGGGAUCCUUGGUACUAUCAGAAUCAGCAUAUUUUACCAAAGCGGCCAUGAGGGUCCCCAUGUCGGUGCAAUGACGCUUCAUCCGUCCCAAUUUCAACUUCAGGGGCCCAAACCGGCAGUUGCCUUCUAGGGUUAAUACUGCGGUGUCAGCGUUGAUGCGGUCUGAGGAGUGCAACACUUGUGAAACCCGGUGUACCCAAUGAGUCGUUGACUCUCCUUCCUCCUGGACGCAUGCAGCUAAGUCCACUAUCGACAUAGGCUGUUUACAGGUAUCCUUGAAAUUGUUGAUAAACCGUGCUCGUAAUUGGGCCCAUGAACUGAUAGACUAGCGGGCAAGCUUUUUAACCAAGUACGGGUCGUUCCUUCAAGCAUCAUGGUGAAGUAUUUCGCACACGCCAUGUCAUCCACAUCAAGCAUCUCCAUGGCCAUCUCAUAGCUCUCUACCCAUGUCUCUGGUGGUUGAUCCGCCGUAUAAUUUGGUACCUUGCGUGGGCCUUUGAAAUCCUUGGGCAAACGUACGUUGCGUAAAGCGGGGACGAGGCAAGGCACCCCCAAAGAACUAGAAGUAACACCAGGUUCAAUCGAAAUGGUUGGACGAACCGGCGUGAGCUGCCGAGCCUGAUGCUGUGCGGCUAACUCGGCCUCCCUACACGCUCGGGCCCGGUUCACCACUUCCUGAGCAUCAUCAGCACCACCCGUCGAGUUGUUAGCACGGGGUGCUCCACGUCGUUCAUUACUCGACACUGCUCGUUCAUCCAUAUGUCUGCUAUAGCUCCGGCUUGGACGGGGGGUCGAGUGGAUUCGGUCGCGGCUGUACGAGUACGCCUGCUGUUGGGCCAAAGCUGUCCUCAGAAGUUCCUUGACCCGUCGCGUCUCUACUGCUUGCGGCGAGUCACCUUCAACUAAAAUGGCCUCCAGUCGUGCAGCAGCGGCAACAAGAUUGUCCAUUGGGUUGGAGUAGUGACCCGGAGGUGUUAAAGCAUCCCGAGGUAUAACGGUGUUUUGACGAGGCGGGUCCAUCUGACAGGGCUGAACCGGUGCACUGGUCCUAGGGGCUUCUGCCCGGUUCCCCUCCAGCGGAUUACUGGCUCUUGGUCCUGGAGUGUUGAAAAGGUCUCUGGCCUCAAAAACCGGAGGUAAGCGGGAUCGAUGCUUCCUCCUCAUGACUUCAUGCGACGCGCUCUGAUCCAACAUAAGCCUGUAGGCAUGUGCGUCUAAAGCGGCCCGCUCUGCGGCCAUCCUGGUGUCCUCAGCUGCCAGAUCCGUUUUGGCCUGGGUGAUUUGUUCCUUUACCUUUGCAAUCUCCGUGUUGUGAGCGUCCUGAUCUGGCGGAUUAACUUCUUUCAUAAGCACAGCCAACGCAUCAAAUAGUUCUGAUAGAACCUGAGCCGGUGGGCACACAGGGCCUCCUGCCCCAGCAACCGUUGCCGCUGCUGAACCGGAGAUUGUUGCCGCGUCUGUCGAAGAGUGAAGCGCUGCUUGUGUUCCGGUCAUGAAUAUUCCAACCCGGUUAGGCAGAUCAGAGGGGUCAAGAAUACUUUCGCCAUCGGAACAGCUCUCAAUCCGGCCAUCUUGUAGCUGAUAAAGAGAUUCGGUUUCUCCGGUCGAAGAUUCGUCACCGGAACGAACGGCAGUCGCCCCGCAAAGCUCCGAUCCAUCCUCAUAACUCCCUCCAUGGAUUAUUCCCAUGAAGGCACGCUUCAUGGCCGGUUUAAUCCGGGCCGAUCGCGUAGCUGAGCCGUCUCGACGAGGUCGGUGCAGAUGUCCGGCUUAGGGCCUGGUUCACCGAUCUUGCCAAUGAAAACGUGAAUGCUACCAAAGGGGAACCGGUACCCGUACUCAAUUGAGCCGGCCUCGGAGCCCCAGCCUGCGUCGUCGAUGUAGAGUUUGCCGCGAUGACUCUUAGUCAUCCGGCCUACAGCGUAGCCCUUGAGUCCUUCAAAGCGGCCCUCCAAGAACCGGAAACCAUCAUGCGAUAGCCCCACGGUGGGCGCCAACUGUCGUGGUUUUGUCACGGCAGUUGUCCUAGAGAAAGGACUUAGUCGUGGAGCCAUCGCUACGGGUUAGCUUGAAGGGGUUAAAGUGGACACGAGGACGCAAGAGAGUUUAUACUAGUACGGCCCCUUCAAUGAAGGUAAAAGCCUACGUCUAGUUGUGAUGGAUUUGAUGGGUGUUUCGAUGACUAGGGAGCAAAUAAGCUUCGCCUAUGUCUCGAGUUGUUGUCUUUCCUUCAACCGCCGCCGGGUUGUCCCCUUAUAUACAUGGGGACGCCCGUCGGUUCACAGAGUCCCGAUACCGGCUCAUAGAUGCGUCCAGUUCGGUCUCCACUAUUCCUAACCUAUAACACAAGUUACAUACCGACGCCGGUUUAUAGCUAUAGGCCUUAAACCGAUUAUGGGCCUUUAGCCCUCAUCUGCCCUCAUGGGCUUUUAUCACACUCAACUACUGAUGAAGUUAACCCGGCUUGUCCUGGCCGGUUUACGCCCAGUAGUAAUAUCCCCAACAGUGGUGUUUCUCGUCGUCAUUCUCGGAUUUUGAAGACCGAAGAGGGGGUUUCCUCCAUAUCUUAUCCGUUCUCUCGGAGACUCGUGGUUCUAGCUUCAUGCCAUCCUCUCAUAAUCGUUUUCGAUUAUGACAAUUCUUUUCACCCAUCCGGAGCAUUUGAUGAGUUGUUUCCAUUUCUUUCCUCCGAAGGUCAUCUUUUCAAAUAUUAUUCAUUCCAGCUUUCAGCUCUCGUUAUCCAAACCUUACCGGUGCACCGUUCAAGUAUUCUCUAAUCAGUUCUUGAUAUUUUUGUUCUUUUGUAUCUAAAAUUCUCUUAAGCAUCUUCGUUUAUUUUCUAAUCCUUCCCGGUGUUUAUUCAUGUUUUAUUCAUUCUUUUUCAAUUCUUACGGUGGUUCAUUCAAGAGUUCCUCUUCCUUCGUUUAUCAUAUCAAUUUAUUCGAUGUUCCAAUCCUACCGGCGGUUCGUUAAAGACAUUCUCAAGUUUAUGUUAGAUCUAUCUUAAUCAUUUCUACGAGAAUAAGUAGUAUGCCAAAUCCAUUGAUUGUCAUCAAUCUAAAUUGGUGAAGGAUACACAUAACAUAAUUCUUAUUCUUGUUUUCAUCGAGUAAAUUUAAUUCCUUAUUCCAGAGGUUCAUUAAAAUUCUUGAUCUCAAUUAUUCACCUUUUCUUUUACCGGAGUCCCAAACUCUCUCAACUAUAUCUUCAUGGAGAUUCAUCUAAAUCGUUACAAGUCUUCGCCGUGUGUUUUCAACUUCUCUUUCAUUUCGUGUGAUUAUUCUUUUUGUUACCGGAGUUUCCUCAUGGAGGCUAUACAUGUUGGUUCAUCAAGGAUUUAUUUCCUUCUCGAAGCGUUCAUCAAAAUUCUUUUCUAAGGAGCUUAAGUUUCUUCAUCUUGCAAUCCGGAGUGCAAUUCCUUCUUCCAUAUCAUUAGAGGUGGUAUUAUGUCAUUCUUGGUAAUUUGAGUGCAUGCUCCAUGAUUCACAAGUUAUCAAGAAUGAGAUAUUUUAAAUCCAUCAAUCUCGUCAUUGGAAUUAUCUUGGGCUAUAUUUCACCUAAAAUCGUCCCUAAGGAUUGUUGCUAUUUAUGGUGCUCAUAUAAGACCCAAGUUCUUCUUUCAUCCUUCCGGUGAAAUAAGCUUUCCCGUCUCCUUGUUCAUACCAAUCCAAUUCUUUUUCCCGUGAGUGGCAGGUUGUCACCUGAUAAUUUGAGAUGUAUUCCAUAAGACAAUAUCAAGAUUAUUCUUUUCGUUGUUGGUGUUCCAACAACUCCGUUCGACUCUUCUUCUAAAGAUGCUGUUCAAGCUCUUUUGAGGUAGAAGAUGUUGUUUUCUCCUCCAUUCUUUUGAUUCCAUUCUUACUUCUGUUCCGAGGCAUUGUGAUGUUGCUCUCUUCAACCCAUCAUCUUGUUUGUCAAGAUCAUGUUCAGUUCCUUCCAUUUUCAGUCGAAGUGUUGCCCAAAUUAUACCAUUCUUUUCCCUCUCUAUCUUGUUUUUAACCGGAGCGUUGUGUCCUCUGCUCAAGUCCUUUUCAUCCUAUCAAGUCUGCAUCCCUUCUCAACCGAAGUGCUAACCGAAUCGGUUCUUUCUCUUCCUCUUUCUGAACGAAGUGUUUUCAACUUCAUUCAUCUCCGUUGUAUUCUUAUCUCGAAAUGGCUUAACCUUUUCAAGGUUCUUUGGUCUCACUCAUUGGUCAAAGAAGCAACUUAGCUUUACCUCUCCUCUUUCUCUUGUGUUGUCCCUUCGGUGCCAUUCUAGAUCUCGGGACGAGAUCCUCUCGUAGUGGUGGAGUGUUGUAACACCCCGAGACCGAUGUGCCAGGUGUCCUCCAGUUAUUCGAUGUUGUUGUGUUUUCAUUGCUUGUGUGUCAUGCAUUGCAUAUCAUGUCAUCAUGUGCAUUGCAUCAUCAUGUUUUCAAAACUUGCAUUUGUCCGGGUCUCCCAGUUCCUUCCGUGGUCCGUUUUGAGGCCAGACUCACUUGCACGCGCCCGCGGCACGUCCGAAAUAUUAUUUUAUAAGUGGCCGGAAAAUGUUCUUGGAAUGGGAUGAGAGUUGGCGUGCGGUCUUGUUAUAGUGUAGGUAGACCGCCUGCCAAGUUUCAUCGCAAUCGGAGUUUGUUUGACGCCCCAACGAUUAACUAUAGCAGCAGUAUAGCCGGUCUAACGUCGGGCGUUUUCGGUCUCCGGAAACAGUUGUCGGGCUGCCUUCUUCCUCUCCUCUCAGUCCAUGGCCCUCUACACAGCCCACUAGACUCAACCUACCCCUUCUCGCAUCAGGAGCCGUCCGAUGGCGAUCGUAUGGUCCAAAAACAUCUCCUAACACCCUAACCCUAGCAUCUGUCUAUAUAUAGCCCCUACCCCUGCCAAAAAUGGCCUAAACCUCCUCCCCUAGCAGUCGUCGUCUCCUACCUCGCUUUCAGUGCCCAACCAGCACCCCGCCGCCACUUGUCGCCGCCAGAGCCACCCGUCGCCGCCGCCACGUCAGUCGCGCCGCCCCUGCGCCCACUCCCGCCUCGCCGCGUGUCCUCCCCUGCGCCCCACUUCGCCGCGGCCCUCAGAGCCCAUGGGAGGCCCGCCAGGCCGCCCGGGCCCGAAUCGCCCUACCGCUGUGCGCCCGAGCACGCUCGCUCGCUCGCUCGUAUGCCUCCUCCCGCUGGAGCCCCGCGCCGCCUCGUGCUUCGCCUCCUUCUACCGGCCACCGGAGUGCUGCCACCGGCGACCUCCACCUGAGGCCAGAGCUCCGGCGUCCCUGUCUCUUCUCUCUUUCUUCUCCUCCCAGCGCUCACCUCUCAUUCUCUCUCUCUCGCAGGCCAACCUUGCAUCACCGGGUGCCACCGGCGUCGGGAACGGGUCCCCUGGGUCCAGAUCCGCCUGGAUCUGAUGCCGCCGUUCAACCCCAGCUCCUCCCCACGCCAUUUCGCCAGAGUCUGCAAGCCGCCGCCGCUCGUCCUCGUCAGGAGGAGGACAACAUCGUCCGCAUCGCUGGCCUCGUCUACGCAGGUGGUCCGGCCUCCUCUCCAGCCACGGCCCAACACCGCUUCCAGCCGCGGCCCACCACCGCUUCCAGUCCCGGCCCAGCCGCGUGCCGCGCACCCCUGCCGGCCAGCCUCUCGACCGCGUGGGCCUCGGCCUAGGGUGAGCAGCCCCCCAGCGCCCUCUGAUAUUUUUUUCCGCUGAUUGGGCCAACCAGUUUCAGCCCAUUUGUGUGUUUUUCCUGCUGCUGCAUUUUAGCUAUUAUCCAGAAAACUGCUGUUUUACAGAAAAGUCCCUAGACAACAUGCAUAUAAUAACUCACAAAUCGUGCACCGGAUUAAAACAAACUUAAUAUGGAAGUUGCUUAGAAUUUUGUCUAGUUUCAUAAUAUGCCACUUUCAUCCAUGUUCAAAAUGUUUAAAAUGUUGUUUGUUUAAACUUGCUAAAAUGCUUUACUUCAUAACUAAAUAACCGUAACUCCGAAUUUAAUAAACUUUAUAUGUAAAUGGGGUGGAAAAAUGCAUAGUUUAUCAUGGUGACCUUGCUUUGCAUGUUUAACAACUCUAAAAUAUGGUUUAGGGAAGAACAGUACCAAACCUUAAAAUAUGCAUAUGGGGUUUUACCAGAAUUGUUGUUCGUUGUUUCCGACCUCAUUUAAACUUGCCUAGAUAGGUAGUUUUGUUGUUCUUCACUCUUGCCAUGCUAACAACAUUUAAUAUUGUUGAGUUCAUGAACGAGAGAGAACUAAAUAAGGCAUGUGGUGUUUUCUUCAAUAUGCAACUCGGUUGCAUAUUGAGCUCCACUUAAUUUGUAGGAUUGUUUGUGCACUUUGCCAUGCCAUGCCAUGUAUCAUUAAACCGGACAUGCAUCAUACUUGUUUACCAUGUUGUUUGCUUCUUCGGUUGGUUAUGUGAUAGUUGUUUACCAUGUUGUUUGCUUCUUUCCGGUGUGCUUCUUCGGUUGGUUCCGAUAACGUUGCAUUUGUGAGGAUCCGUUCGACUACAUUCGUUUGUCUUCCUCAUGGACUCGUUCUUCUUCCUUGCGGGAUUUCAGGCAAGAUGACCAUACCCUCGAAAUCACUUCUAUCUUUGCUUGCUAGUUGCUCGCUCUUUUGCCAUGCCUAUGCUGCGAUACCUACCACUUGCUUAUCAUGCCUCCCAUAUUGUUAAGCCAAGCCUCUAACCCACCUUGUCCUAGCAAACAGUUGUUUGGCUAUGUUACCGCUUUGCUCAGCCCCUCUUAUAGCGUUGUUAGUUGCAGGUGAAGAUUGAAGUUUGUUCCUUGUUGGGACAUGGAGAUGUUGUUCCUUGUUGGAUCAUGUUUACUUGUUGGGAUAUCACAAUAUCUCUUAUUUAAUUAAUGCAUCUAUAUACUUGGUAAAGGGUGGAAGGCUCGUCCUUAUUCCCGGUGUUUUAUUCCACUCUUGCCGCCCUAGUUUCCGUCAUAUCGGUGUUAUGUUCCCAGAUUUUGCGUUCCUUACGCGCUUGGGCUACAAUGGGAACCCCUUGAUAGUUCGCCUUGAAUAAAACUCCUCCAGCAAUGCCCAACAUUGGUUUUACCAUUCCCCACCUAGCCCUUUUCUUUCCCUUGGGUAGGCCUGCCCAAGGGUCAUAUUUAUUUUAACCCCCCCCCCCCGGGCCAGUGCUCCUCUGAGUGUUGGUCCGAACUGAGCUGCCUGCGGGGCCACCUCGGGGAAACUUGAGGGUUGGUUUUACUCGUAGCUAGUCUCAUCUGAGUGUGCCUUGAGAACGAGAUAUGUGCAUCUCCUAUCGGGAUUCGUCAGCACAUUCGGGUGGCUUUGCUGGUCUUGUUUUACCUUGUCAAAAUGUCUUGUAACCGGGAUUCUGAGUCUGAUCGGGUCUUCCCGCUAGAAGGAAUAUCCUUCGUUGACCGUGAGAGCUUGUGAUGGGCUAAGUUGGGACACCCCUGCAGGGGUUUGAACUUUCGAAAGCCCUGAAGUUGACCUUAAUUAAAAUACAUCAAUCGCAUGUGUAACCGUGAUGUCUCUUUCCGGCGGAGUCCGGGAAGUGAACACGGUGUUGGAGUUAUGCUUGACGUAGGUUGUUCUAGGAUCACUUCUUGAUCAUAGUUUCUCGAUCGUGCUUUGCCUUCUCUUCUCGCUCUCGUUUGCGUAUGUUUAGCCACCAUAUAUGCUAGUCGCUUGCUGCAGCUCCACCUCAUACCUUUACCUUACCCAUAAUCUUAAAUAGUCUUGAUCACGAGGGUGUGAGAUUGUUGAGUCCCCGUGACUCACAGAUACUUUCAAAACCAGCUUACAGGUGCCGAUGAUGCCAUUCCAGGUGACACAACUGAGCUCAAGGAGGAGCUCGAUGAAGAUCUUGUCCUUUGUGUUGUUUCAUUCUAGUCGAUCAGUAGUGGAGCCCAGUUAGGGUCGAUCGGGGAUCUGUGUAGCUUUUGGGGUAGUCUUCUUUUAUUUUGGUUCCGUAGUCGGACCUUGAUUGUAUCUGGAUGAUGUAAUGCUUUAUUCAUGUAUUUGUGUGAAGUGGUGAUUAUAAGCCAACUAUGUAUCUUUUCCCUUAUGUAUUACAUGGGUUGUGUGAAGAUUACCUCACUUGCGACAUUGCUUUCAAUGCGGUUAUGCCUCUAAGUCGUGCUUCGACACGUGGGAGAUAUAGCCGCAUCGAGGGCGUUAUACGGAGAUGGAGAUGGCCCUUGGAUACCCACUUGUGCCCCCGGAGCCUCCCGAGGCCCCUCGGCCUGGGGGCUCAUGAGGGUCGACGUCUUCAUCGCGCAUCGCCCGCUUCUUCAACAUCACUGCAUCUUCAACGGCACCAGGUGACAUCUUUCUAAGUUCCAUUUUUAGCUGAGAGCGCCCACAGUGCCGCAUCAUUCCUAGGUCGCGUGGGUCCGUCCCUGCGGCAUGUAUCCGUUUUUCUUAUGCUCUCUACUUACCUUGCCGGGGGCGCCCCUCGGGCUGCAUCAUCCCCGAGCUGCUCGGGCCUGUCCCAGCGGCGUUUGCUUUUCCCGCGUCUACUUAAAAUGAAUUUGCUCUUUCGCGCUUAAUUGUCACCUGCUGCUUAUCGCGGACUUAUCCGCUUUCAUGCAAAGCGCUUGCACGUUAAAAGGGGCGGUACCUGAGCAUCGCGGCUCAUGGGCUCCUACUGGCUCUCCAGCCCUCACCCCCUGGCCUUAACCCAAGGCAUCGCGACCUGUCAUACCAGUGGCGGCUGAGCUAGCUCGAGGGCCGGGACCUGAGCACGUAGAGCAUUUGCAUUCUAACACACCAUUGAUAAAGGCCCAGAGCCAGGCGCAACCCGCCUCGAGGUAGGGCCUCGUGAGUCCCGCCCUAGCUCACGAGUGCCCAGAUACACCUCUCCUAGCCCUACCAUGUCGGCCAUGUGUCAGGUCGGGGCUGUACACGCCCCGGGGGCUCCUCCCGGAGGGGAGCCCCCUCCCACGUACCAGUGGAAGCACCAUGCUCCGUGCUGGCUAACGACACUGCCGAGGAGCGGCUAUGCCCGUACACAUACGGAAGCGCUAUGCUCCGCGCUGGUGAUAAACAACUAAGGGCGGCAUACGGCAAUACCAACCUCAGGGAGCCCAAAGCUCAGUGUCCGGCACCAUCGCAAUGCCUCCCCUAGGGAGCGCCUCGCGAGGGGGCUGGACACGGGGCUACGCCCGGGCCUUGCCCGAGCGCACGCCACCCAGCCAGGUUCCUCGGACCUGGUCGUCACGCGCCCCUCCCUGAGCGGAGCCAAGGUAUGGAAACCCGUUUGAACGUCAAGGGGGAAUCCUGAGCGUCGCGACUCAGGAGCCUAACUUGCCCCCUAGCCCCUCACUCCUUAGUCCCGUCCCGGUUUCCGGUCGGGGCUAACGCUGGGUGAGGUAUGGGCGGGGUCGGGCCCUGCCGACGCAGAACGACCAAUCAACUCCUUUCCUACUUGUUGCUUGCACGCCAAGGGGGACUCCUAAGCAUCGCGACUCAGGAGCCUAACUUGCCACGUAGCCCCUCGCCCCUUAGUCCCAUCCUAGUUUCCGGUCGGGGCUAACGCCGGGUGAGGUAUGCGCGGGGCCGGGCCCUGCCGACGUAGAGCGCGAGCAAGUAGGAGAGAAAAAUGCAAAUUCCAGGAAAUUCAAAGCAAGUAUUACAAGCCAUAGAUUGUUUCACGAUGCCAAACACAAGUUUAAACGCCUCCACGAGGCAUGGUGCAUGUUGCAGGAAUAAAAACAGGACAUAAGCCGCGAAGGGAUCACUCUCCAGUGGCGCCGCCGCCUGUGCUGGAGUCACGCUGGGCGACUCCGCCUCCUGGGGCCGUGGAGCUGGCGGCACCGCGCCCGGGCAAGAUGCUGAAGGCGCGAAACCUCCCCAGCAAAGCUUCGGCUCGGCCUUUCAUGGCCUGAGCGACAGCAGCGGCAAGGUCACCGCUCACGGGUUCCAGCAGGCUGUCGAAGUCGACGUUGGGGUCGUGCAGGUAGACGUGGCUGAGGACACGCGUCAGCGCCCCAGAAGACAGGGCACGUGCCUCGGCCUCGGCCAUGGGGCCAAGGCCGUCUACGACAUCUUCAAGCGCACGGACCAGGAAGGAAAGCAGCUUGGUGGGGCCAUCUUCCGCACCGGCCAAUGGAUCCUCCAAGCCGCUCUUGUAAAGCGUCUUCAGCACCGCGCGAGCCUUCUUCUCCAUCUUCGCGAAGGCCACCCGAUCCUCCGCCAGGACCUUCUCUUUGGCGUCUAGCUCGGUCCUCUCCGCCUUCAGCGACCGCUCCAGCGUCUCCAAUUGGUCGUGGCGGCCAUGGACCUCCUUGGCGAGCUCGUCGCGCAGGCCUUGCAACUCGGCCUCCAGCGCCUUGCAGCGAGCCUGGGCAGCCGCAGCGUCGCCCAGGGCAGAGUCGCGAGCGGCCUUGGCUUGGUUGGCGGCCUGCUUCUCCCCAUUGGAGGCCGACACGGCCUGGCUCAACGCCGCUCGGAUGGAGGCAACGAAACGGGCCCAGCCAGAAGCUAGCUCCAGGCGCCCGGCCGCUAAUCGAGGGUCCGCGCUUAGAAGAUCCUCCCAUAGCUGGCUUAGUUCGCUGGCGACCUGGUCCAGGAUGGCGGCAGAGGGAACAAAAGAAGCGGGAACCGGCGGAGCGGGCGAAGAGGACGGCAACGUGAUCAUGGUUUGGCAGGAAGGAACCCCCUAGGCCUUGGCUGCCCCGGCUGCAGCAUCAAGCGAAGUCGACUCCAGGGUCAACGGGGCCACGGGGGCUGACUCAUCGCCGAGGCGUCCUAGUCGGCCUCGCGAGGACGACCGGGCAGGGGAGGCGUGAGCCUCGCCCUCUUCCUCCCCAGCAGACAAAGGCGCCGCCCCGGCAGAUGGACUCGCCCCAAGCAGGGCCGCAGAAGCCCCUCUCAACCUCUUCGCCGCAGGCGCCAACCUGACAAAGAAUAUGGACGUCAAGCCUCGGCAGUAGAAACCAAUCAAAGCACGAAUCGAGCACUUAUUGGUCAUCGCUUGCGAACUCGAGCAACCUCCAGCCAAACUUGAAGCCCGAGAGCCUAUAGCUGGGGUCAGCCUCGGGAGGCUCGGAAGCAUAGGGCACGUCAGGAGGGCUGGAGCUGGCCUUAGACCGCUCAGGGACCAGAGCAGACCCUGGGGGAGCCAGCACUGACCUGCCCUUCCUUGUGACCAAGGGAGAGUCCUCCCCUCCUCGCCUGGUGCCGGCCUCGUUGUCGUCCGGCAUGGAGCGGAGGGCCUGGGACCUGCGCCGAGGGAAGGACUCCCUCGACUCCUCGCCAGUCGCCUCAGAGUCAGACUCUUCCUCCUCCGCCUCUUCUUCCCCCUCGCUCUCGCUGGAGCUGCCCGAGGACACUUUCACCAUCGCCAGCGCCGCAAGACCCUCGGGAGCUUCCGCGGGCACCAGCCCCUCACCAUUGAAGGUGGCAUGGCGUUCACCACCUGCUCCCAGUCGUCACAAAGGAACAGGGGGACGGGGGCGCCCACCGGCCUCGCCACAUCUCCCCCAACCAAGGAAUGGAGGGCCGCGACCAGAUACUCGUCGGUCAGGGCCUCAGAGCUUAGGCGCAAGGCGGCGUCCGUUUCCCCAAGCCUCCACAACGGGAGCGAGUGCUCCUAGAGUGGAGCCACCCGGUGCACCAAGAACUCCCUCAGGAGCGUGGCCCCGGUCAGCUUCACCGCCCCCAAGUUGCUUGGCCUCAGGUCCGCGUUCAUCGUCUUCAGCACCGCCCUCGCAUGGGGGUCGACGAGAUCCAUGCGGGGCCACGCAUCGACAGCCUUGGGCUGCCCCGUAGGCAACACCAGACGGGGGUGGAGGCGCCCGACGUCCACCAUGACCCACUUGCUCCGGAAGCCUUCGAUUCUCUUCCUAGGUUUCGAGAUAGCAUUGGAAUUAGAGUAUGCGAUGAAGCUAGCACAUGCGGAGAUAUGGCCAUCAGAAACCCGAAGGGAAAAAUAGUGACGCAACAAGGCCACCGAGGGCUUUACCCCGACGUGAGCCUCACAGUAGUAAGCAAAGAUCGCCAGGAGAAGAACAGAGUUGGGGUGGAGAUGCAAAGCCUGCAAGUUGUACUGGCGGAGAACAGCAAAGAAGAACUCAGAGAAAUGAGGCACCAGACCGGCGACGAUGGCGCUCACAAAGAGCGGAUAUAAAGAUACUCCCCUUGCCUUCGGGCUGGUCGGAGCCAGCCUUGAGCAUAGUCGCCCCCUUGCUGCCCUGCGCCACCGUAAUCAGGCGCAUGAGGGCGAGGUUCUUCUCCGACAGGUUCGGGGAAUCCAGAGCCGGCGAGUACCAGGCCUUGGUCGGGGACUUGCGAGGCGCCAUGAUGUGCCAGAUGAAGAGGAUUGAGACAGAUCUGGAGGAUUUCGGGAGCAAGAAGGAGGAGAGCGAGAAAGGGGAUCUAGGGCGAGGCGAACGAGAACAAAGCAAGUAAGUCUGGCCUGGGCACCUCUUUUGUCAGAUCGACAGUUGCCGAGGCAUCAUGGGGAAGCGCAGACGCCCACGUCUAAUCAACCGCCACGCGGCGCCCAAGGCUGCAGGCUGUUGGGGCCCGCUGCGCUUCGCGCUUGCCCCUUCGCUUCUCUGCCAGGCCAAGCUCGGGAGCGCCUUGAUAACCCACAAGUAUAGGGGAUCGCAACAAUUUUUGAUAAGUAAGAGUGUCGAACCCAACAAGGUGCUAAAGGUAGAACAAAUAUUCCCUGAAGUUCUAUCAACCACCGAUACAACUCUAUGCACGCUUGACGUUCGCUUUACCUAGAACAAGUAUGAAACUAGAAGUACUUUGUAGGUGUUGUUGGAUAGGUUUGCAAGAUAAUAAAGAUUACGUAAAUGAAAAGUAGGGGCUGUUUAGAUAAAAGAAACAAUAAAGUAAAUAUAGCGAGUGUGGAAAAGUGGUGGUAGGAGUUGCGAAAUUGUCCCUAAGCAAUUGACUACUUUACUAGAUCGAUAGCAAGUAUUAUGUGCGAGAGGCCACUACUGGCAUGUCAUCCCUGACUUGGAAUUCUAUGCACUUAUGAUUGGAACUAUUAGCAAGCAUCCGCAACUACUAAUGUUCAUUAAGGUAAAACCCAACAAUAGCAUUAAGGUAUAUUGGUCCCCCUUCAAUCCUGUAUGCAUCAAUUUCUAUGCUAGGUUAAAGCUUCUGUCACUCUUGCCCUCCAAUACAUUGUCCUAUCAACAUACAACUAACCCUAGGGUGUGAUCCACACGCGCAAUCAUAUGAUGGGCACCAAAGGACAACAACAUAACCACAAGCAAAUUAAAUGAAUCAUAGCAAUUCAUCAACCACCGAUAGGACAACGAAAAUCUACUCACACAUCAUAGGAUGGUAACACAUCAUUGGAUAAUAAUAUGAAGCAUAAAGCACCAUGUUCAAGUAGAGGGUACAGCGGGUUGCGGAAGAGUGGACCGCUGUACAUAGAGGGGGGAAGGUGAUGGAGAUGUUGGUGAAGAUGGCGGAGGUGUUGGUGUAGAUCGCGGUGAUGACGAUGGCCCCCGGUGGCACUCCGGUGCCACCGGAAGCAAGGGGAGAGAGCCCCCUUCUUCUUCUUCUUCUUCCAUGACCUCCUACCUAGAUGGGAGAAGGGUUUCCCCUCUGGUCCAUGGUCUCCAUGGCACAGGAGGGGCGAGAGCCCCUCCGAGAUUGGAUAUGUCUCUCUGUCUCCCUCUGUUUCUGCGUUCCCCGAUUCUUCCCUUUCACCGUUUCUUAUAUUCCUGGAGAUCCGUAACUCCGAUUGGGCUGAAAUUUUAACACGAUCUCUAUCUGGAUAUUAGCUUUCUUGCGGCGAAAGAAGGGUUCCAACCGCCUUACGGGGUGGCCACAAGGCUCAAGGGCGCGCCUGACACCCUGGGGCGCGCCCCCUACCUCGUGGGCCCCUCGAGCAUGGUCUCGCGUGGAUGCUUCUUGUCAAAAAUCAUAUAUAUUCAAACAAAAAAUCUUCGUCAGUUCUUAUUCCGUUUGAACUCCGUUUGAUAUGGAUAUUCUGCGAAACAAAAAACAUGCAACAAACAGGAACUGGCACUGGGCACUGGAUCAAUAUGUUAGUCCCAAAAAUAGUAUAAAAAGUUGCCAAAAGUAUAUGAAAGUUGAAUAAUAUUGGCAUGGAACAAUCAAAAAUUAUAGAUAUGAUGGAGACGUAUCAGCAUCCCCAAGCUUAAUUCUUGCUCGUCCUCGAGUAGGUAAAUGAUAAAAAAGAUAAUUUUUGAUGUGGAAUGCUACCUAGCAUAAUCUUGAUCAUAUGUCCAAUCAUGGCAUGAAUAUUAAGAUACGAGUGAUUCAAAGCAAUAGUCUAUCAUUUGACAUAAAAACAAUAAUACUUCAAGCCCACUAAUAAAGCAAUCAUGUCUUUUCAAAAUAACAAGGCCGAAGAAAGUUAUCCCUACAAAAUCAUAUAGUCUGGCUAUGCUCCAUCUUCACCACACAAAAUAUUCACAUCAUGCACAACCCCGAUGACAAGCCAAGAAAUUGUUUCAUACUUUUGACGUUCUCAAACCUUUUCAACUUUCACGCAAUACAUGAGCAUGAGCCAUGGACAUAGCACUAUAGGUGGAAUAGAAUAUGAUGGUGGAGAAGACAAAAAGGGGAAGAUAGUCUCACAUCAACUCGGCGUAUCAACGGGCUAUGGAAAUGCCCAUCAAUAGAUAUCAAUGUGAGUGAGUAGGGAUUACCAUGCAAUGGAUACACUAGAGCUAUAAGUGUAUGAAAGCUCCUACUGAAACUAAGUGGGUGUGCAUCCAACUUGCUUGCUCACGAAGACCUCGGGCAUUUUGAGGAAGCCCAUCAUUGGAAUAUACAAGCCGAGUUCUAUAAUGAAUAUUCCCACUAGUAUAUGAAAGUGAUAACUCAAGAGACUCUCUAUAUGAAGAACAUGGUGCUACUUUGAAGCACAAGUGUGGAAAAAGGAUAGUAGCACUGCCCUUCUCUCUUUUUCUCUCAUUUUUUUGUUUUUUUAUUUUUUUUUAUUUUUUGGUGGGCUUCUUUGGCCUCUUUUUUUUAUUUGGGAUUCUUUGGCCUCUUUUAUUUUUUUGUAAAGUCCGGAGUCUCAUCCCGACUUAUGGGGGAAUCAUAGUCUCCAUCAUCCUUUCCUCACUGGGGCAAUGCUCUAAUAAUGAUGAUCAUCACACUUUUAUUUACUUACAACUCAAUAUUACAACUCGAUACUAGAACAAAGAUAUGACUCUAUAUGAAUGCCUCCGGCAGUGUACCAGGAUGUGCAAUGAUCUAGCGUAGCAAUGACAUCAAAAAACGGACAAGCCAUGAAAACAUGAUGCUAGCUAUCUUACGAUCAUGCAAGCAAUAUGACAAUGAAUGCUCAAGUCAUGUAUAUGAUGAUGAUGGAAGUUGCAUGGCAAUAUAUCUCGGAAUGGCUAUGGAAAUGCCAUGAUAGGUAGGUAUGGUGGCUGUUUUGAGGAAGGUAUAUGGUGGGUUUAUGGUACCGGCGAAAGUUGCAUGAUACUAGAGAGGCUAGCAACGGUGGAAUGGUGAGAGUGCGUAUAAUCCAUGGACUCAACAUUAGUCAUAAAUAACUCACAUACUUAUUGCAAAAAUCUAUUAGUCAUCGAAACAAAGUACUACGCGCAUGCUCCUAGGGAAUAGAUUGGUAGGAAAAGACCAUCGCUCGUCCCCGACUGCCACUCAUAAGGAAGACAAUCAACAAAUAAAUCAUGCUCCGACUUCAUCACAUAACGGUUCACCAUACGUGCAUGCUACGGGAAUCACAAACCUCAACACAAGUAUUUCUACUAAUCCACAACUACCCACUAGCAUGACUCUAAUAUCACCAUCUUUAUAUCGCAAAACUAUUGCAAGGAAUUAAACAUAUCAUAUUCAGUGAUCUACAAGUUUUAUGUAGGAUUUUAUGACUAACCAUGUGAAUGACAAGUUCCUAUCAUCUCUCUAAAUAGAUAUAAGUGAAGCAAGAGAGUUUAAUCCUUUCUACAAAAGGUAUGCCCACGCUUUAACAAAUAUAAGUGAAGCAAAAGAGCAUUCUACAAAUGGCGGUUGUCUAUGUAAAGAGAAACGUGCAAUCCAAACUUCAAAUGAUAUAAGUGAAGCACAUGAAGCAUUCUAUAAAGCCAUACUCAAAAGAUAUAAGUGAAGUGCAAAGAGAAUUCUAUAAAUCAACCAAGGACUAUCUCAUACCAGCAUGGUGCAUAAAAUAAAAAUGAAAACUAAAUGCAAAAGACGCUCCAAGAUUGCACAUAUCGCAUGAACGAAACGAAUCUGUAAACAUACCGAUACUUGUUGAAGAAAGAGGGGAUGCCUCCCCAGCAUUCCCCAAGCUUAGAUGCUUGAGUAUCCUUGAAUAUUUACUUGGGGUGCCUCGGGAAUCCCCAAGCUCGAGCUCUUGCCUCUCUUCCUUCUUCUCACAUCGAAACCUUCUCAAUCAUCAAACACUUCAUCCACACAAAACUUCAACAGAAAACUCGGUAAGAUCCGUUAGUAUAAUGAAGCAAAUCACUACUCUAAGUACUGUUGCAAACCAAUUCAUAUUUUGUUUUUGCAUUGUGUCUACUGUAAUAUAGCUUUUUCAUGGCUUAAUCCACUAAUAUGAAUCGAUAGUUUCAUCAAAACAAGCAGACUAUGCAUCAAAAAACAGAAUCUGUCUAAAACAGAACAGUCUGUAAUAAUUUGAACAUUCACCAUACUUAUGAUACCUUAAAAAUUCUACCAAAAUUAGGAAAAAUAAACAAUUUGUAUAGGAAGACAUUGCAAAAAGAAUCAUAACCAUUUGACGUUCCAGAUAAAAAUGUAAAAUCGCGCACUACAGCCAAAGUUUCUGUCCUGCACCGUACAAACCAUCAAGCAAAUGUAAACAUCCUAAAGACAAACCUUGGCACUUUAUUUUUAUAAUAUAAUGGAAUUGUACAAGGGGAUAAUUAUUUUUAUUGAAAAUUUUCUGUAAUCAAGAUUCACAAAGUUGCUGUGAGCAUGAACAAAGUUCAAGGAGCUCUCCCACUUCAACAAUGCUUGUCUUUCUCACUUUCGCUUUCCUUUUUGAAAAAGUUUUGGGUUCCCCUCUUUAUUUUUUUGUUUUUAAACUAUAUGAAAGCACUCAACAGAAAUAAAUGACUCUCUAAAACUUCCGGGUUGUCUCCCUGGCAGCGCUUUCUUUAAAGCCAUUAAACUAGGCAUAUAAUGCUCAAGUAAUGGAUCCACCCGGAUCCCAAGGUAUACCAAAGCCAAUUUUAAUUAGCAAUGAUUUGUAAUUUAGUAGUGAGCACAAAGCAACAUAUAUCAUGUAAUGACGAAGUCUAACUCUCUUCCUAUGCAUCGGCAUGUCAUAAAAGAAGAAUUCAUGCAUACAUAGUAAAGGCCAAUGCAUAGUAUAAACAGUUUCUUGCAAUUUUAUCGUAUUGGAAACAUAGAGAGGUGGAGAUAUAGUUCCUCUCUCAUAAUAAUUGCAAGUAGGAGCAUCAAGCACAUGCAUAUUAUAUCUAUCAAAAUCAUCAUGUGCAAUGGUAAAAGGCAACCCAUCAAUAUAAUCCUUAAUAAGAGCAAACUUCUUCGAUAUAGUAUAAUCGGGAGAAUUCAAGAAGAUAAUAGGACUAUCAUGCGUGGGUGCAAUAGCAACAAUUUCAUGUUUAACAUAAGGAACUAUAGCAAGUUCAUCUCCAUAAGCAUCAUUCAUAUUGGCAUCUUGGCCACAAGCAUAGCAAGCAUCAUCAAAAAGGGAUAUUUCAAGAUAUUCAAUGGGAUCAUAAUAGUCAUCAUAGCAAUCAUCCUUCGGUAAGCACAAAGGGGAAUUAAAAAAUGUAUGAGUUGAAGAGUUACUCUCAUUAGAAGGUGGGCACGGGUAGCUAAUCCGCUCUUCCUCCUUUUGUUAUUCGCUCUCCUCCUCAUCUUUUUCAUCCAAUGAGCUCACAGUUUCAUCAAUUUCUUCUUCCAUAGAUUCCUGCAAAAAUAUUAGUCUCUUGUUGGACAGCGGAGUAUUCCUCAAUAUAUAGUUUAACAUAGGCAUUAGAAGCAUAAUUAUCAUAGCAAUAUUUAAGUAUGGCAAAAAAUUUAGAUCUGUGAAAAGUAGCAUCAUACUUUCAAUCAAAGAAGAAAUUUCAUAAGCACCCUUAAAAGCAACAAAUUCUUCAAUUUGUUGAACAUCAUAGUAAUUGUAAACACCCUUAGCAUACGAAGAUACGAUUCCAUUAUCACUAAACUCACAUUUAUAGGGAAGGUGUUUCUUAGGGUUUUCAGAACAACAAGUAAAAUCAUAUAUUUCACAUAAAUUCCAAGCAUAGCAUUGCAAACGAUGAAUUUGAUCCAGUAAAGUUUUCCCUUUUUCAGAUAUUCGGUGUCGCAAAAAACAAGCAUGCUCAUCUAAAGAUUUUCCCUCAACUAAGCUAGUUGGGGUUUCAGCACGAGCACAUAGGGAUCGAAGAUGAUCCAAGUAAUAAGCUUCAGUAGUGUGAUAGAUUUUGAGUGGUUCUUCAACCAUUGGUUUAGUAGGUGCAACUAAUUUUUUUUGGUAUUUUGCGUUUCCUACCCAUAGCUAAAGAUAGAAAACAACUAAGAACAGCAAAUAAAAAUUACAUAGUGAUAAAGCAAACAAGCACACACGAGAAUGUUCACCCCACGCUAUUCCUCCCAGGCAACGGCACCAGAAAAAGGUCUUGAUAACCCACAAGUAUAGGAGAUCGCAACAGUUUUCGGUAAGUAAGAGUGUCAAACCCAACGAGGAGCUAAAGGUAGAACAAAUAUUCCCUCAAGUUCUAUCGACCACCGAUACAACUCUACGCACGCUUGACGUUCGCUUUAUCUAGAACAAGUAUGAAACUAGAAGUACUUUGUAGGUGUUGUUGGAUAGAAUAAAGAUUACGUAAAUAAAAAGUAGGGGCUGUAUAGAUAAAAGAAAGAAUAAAGUAAAUAUAGCGAGUGUGGAAAAGUGGUUGUAGGAGUUGCGAAAUUUUCCCUAAGCAAUUGACUACUUUACUAGACCGAUAGCAAGUAUUAUGUGGGAGAGGCCACUACUAGCAUGUCAUCCCUGACUUGGAAUUAUAUGCACUUAUGAUUGGAACUAUUAGCAAGCAUCCGCAACUACUAAUGUUCAUUAAGUUAAAACCCAACCAUAGCAUUAAGGUAUAUUGGUCCCCCUUCAAUCCCAUAUGCAUCAAUUUCUAUGCUAGGUUGAAGUUUCUGUCACUCUUGCCCUCCAAUACAUAGUCCUAUCAACAUACAACUAACCCUAGGGUGUGAUCCACGCGCGCAAUCAUAUGAUGGGCACCAAAGGACAGCAACUUAAAUCAAUCAUAGCAAUUCAUCAACCACCGAUAGGACAACGAAAAUCUACUCAGACAUCAUAGGAUGGCAACACAUCAUUGGAUAAUAAUAUGAAGCAUAAAGCACCAUGUUCAAGUAGAGGGUACAGCGGGUUGCGGGAGAGUGGACCGCUGUAGAUAGAGGGGGGAAGGUGAUGGAGAUGUUGUUGAAGAUUGCGGAGGUGUUGGUGUAGAUCGCGGUGAUGAUGAUGGCCCCGGUGGCACUCCGGUGCCACUGGAAGCGAGGGGGAGAGAGCCCCCCUCCUUCUUCUUCUUCCUUGACCUCCUCCCUAGAUGGGAGAAGGGUUUCCCCUCUGGUCCAUGGCCUCCAUGGCACGGGAGGGGCGAGAGCCCCUCCGAGAUUGGAUCUGUCUCUCUGUCUUUUUGUUUCUGCAUUCCCCGAUUCUUCCCUUUCACCGUUUCUUAUAUUCCUGGAGAUCUGUAACUCCGAUUGGGCUGAAAUUUUAACACGAUCUCUAUCCGAAUAUUAGCUUUCUUGCAGCGAAAGAAAGGCUCCAACCGCCUUACAGGGUGGCCACGAGGGUCAGGGGCGCGCCUGACACCCUGGGGCGCGCCCCCUACCUCAUGGGCCCCUCGAGCAUCGUCUCGCGUGGAUUCUUCUUCCCAAAAAUCAUAUAUAUUCCAAAAUAAUCUCCGUCAGUUUUUAUUCCGUUUGAACUCCGUUUGAUAUGGAUAUUCUGCGAAACAAAAAACAUGCAACAAACAGGAACUGGCACUGGGCACUGGAUCAGUAUGUUAGUCCCAAAAAUAGUAUAAAAAGUUGCCAAAAGUAUAUGAAAGUUAAAUAAUAUUGGCAUGGAACAAUCAAAAAAUAUAGAUACGACGGAGACGUAUCACGCCUUGGGCCCGGGGGCUAUUGUUGGCGUUCUAGGAACGGGGGUCCCCAGACUUUUGCCUGCCUGCGGCCUGCGGUGUGGCUCAAGUGGGGGCCCAGCGCGGCCCAUCUUCAUCAGCCCAAGCUCAAGACCCUCGCGAGGGGCCCAGACUCGCAGGGCGGACGACAGAAAGCUUCCUCAGAGGCAGCCUCAUCAGGCAGGCUCGCGAGGAGGCGGAGAGAUCAAGGCAGAGGUACCUCGCGAGGAGCCCAUGACGCAAGCCAUGACGAUCGAGACCAGGCAGGCGCCAGGCAGGCGCCGGCCUGUGCAGUGUCCUUGUUUCCCCUUUGGUGCAAAGGGGGCAAUCACAGGCCAAGGCAUCGGGAAAAGGUUACCAUUCCAGUGCAACGAGACCAAGACCAGCAGAGAGACAGGACGGAGGUCACCGUGGAGCCCAAGACGGCGUCAUCACCAGUGCUUUUGGCAGCCGAAGACCACCUUUGGUCAAGAUAACUUGUACUAGAUGUUCCCCUUCAAAAUGGCCAAUUGUUCCUGCCCUUCCCGCUCAUUAUUUGGGGAGAGGCCCAGGGCCUCUAUAAAUAGAGCUAGCCACCACAGAGUAGAGGGGGAUCUGAAGGGAGAGAGAUCGGGAGACGGAGAGAGAUCUGAUAGAGCCCUAGCAGAGAGAGAGAGAGGCAACUGAACUCACCAAAGCAGUUCAUUGCACCAGCUCAAGAACACCUCUCGCGAGGCUGGUCUUCACUUGUACUGUUGACCACCAGCCCCUGAGGCAAUCCACCACACCACACACUGGAGAAGGGUAUUACACCACAACGGUGGCCCGAACCAGUAUAAACCUUACAUUCCUUGUGUGGUUUGUUGUUUCCAGCUUAGAUCACGCGAGGAGAUUGGACAUAGAUCGGUAGGGGAGAGAUCUCCGCACGCACCCAAGUGUUCGAACCUCAAGGGUCUGCCGAAACCCAAAAUCCGACAGACACCUACGUGAGGGGGAAGGACCUCUCGGUGGUGUACACGAAUGAGCCAGACUUGGUGGAGAGGUCCAUCCACACAAUAGAGUAGUUGCUUGUCGAGGACAAGUAUCAAGUGGUCGGCUUCGACCUCGAGUUCAACGGCGGUCAUGCUGUGCAUGAUCAGAUGUUUGUUGUCGCCCAAUUGUGUGUGCUCCAUCACAUCCUCAUCUACCACUAUUGCCGUCCACAAGGUCUUGCGAGCGUUUCGCCAGGUUUAUCAACAACCUCGACUACAAUUUCACUGCGAUGGACAUCAUCAACGAUCUAAAAGCGCUCGUGAUGUCGAGCUUGGCCUGUCGGAAGCUUGUCGACCUCUGUGGCCACUUUAGGGUCUGGGGCAGCACGAAGAACAAGCAGAACUCCUUGGUUGACCUUGCCUCAACCAUCAUCGACCCCUACUACAAGAACAUGAAGGUUGAGUGCAAGAAGGACAAAAUCGUCUGGCAUACUGCAUGGGUGCAUAGACUGGAUGAAAAACACGUCAAGUACGCGGCCAAGGAUGCGUACACAAGCUACGAGAUAUACAAGCGGAUUGUUGACAUGAGGAAGUGCCUUCGUCCUGCCCCAUGCAAUGGAUCGAGCACAGAGCAGUGGCGACGACGUCACAAUAAGUAGAUGAUUAGAUGAUUGUUUCUCCUAGUUUAGAAUGUAUGUAAUAGUUUACUUUGGUGUGUGCGAAUCUUUUGUAUAGUCACUUUUGUAAUUGGAUGUUCAAUUUUGGUUAUAUAUGUUGUUCUUCUAUAGACAGUGCAAAUCACAUCGCACAUGGACUAAACUAGGGAAACCGUCGGUGAUGAUUUCAUCAAUCACUGAUAAUUGUAUACCAACAAGUGUUUGUCCACAACACACACAACUUAUUAGCAGGAAUCAUCUGUGUUGUUAUUGGUCUACCCACACAUUUCUGAUUGCUGACCUACUUGCCUCGUAUCACACACAUCUUGAUAAGUUGAACCAUUUUUGUUGUUUUUCCUCAUCACAAAUAGUUCAUCCGAGUGAACUAUAUGCCCUAUGUUGCACACAUCUUCAUCUGGCUAAUCUUUUCUGUUGUUUUCGCUCAUCGCAAACAGUUCAGUUGACUGAAUUGUAUGCCGUCUAUCGCACACACAUUGAUCUGUCUAUCGUUUCUAUUGUAUUGCCUAAUCAAAAAUAGUUCAUCUGAGUGAACUGUAUGAAGUCUAUUGCACACACCUUGAUAUGGCUGACCGUUUCUGUUUUUUGGAUCAUCAUAAAUAGUUCGUGUGGAUCAACUAUAUGCCACGUAUGAGGUAUCGAACAUGCAACUCUAAUCUGAAUCGUGUUUGAUGACCUGGCCAUCGCAAACAAUUCGUAUUAUUGGGUCGGUUUUAUUGGGACAUCAUUUGCGAUUAAUGCAUCGCACACAGUUUUGUUGAAGGGUCUCUGAUUGCAGUGUCGCGUUAGCAGCAUCCCGAAGUAGUGAAACACACCGCAAAAUAAGAUUAUAUUGGAUAGAACUCCAAGACGAUCGAGGAAAACAUUGUAUUGAAGAUCAAAGAGAAAGAAGAAGCUAUCUAGCUACUAGCUAUGGACCCGUAGGUCUGUGAUCGAAUUCCCCCUCCGACAGAGUACCGGAAAAGGACUCCAGAUGGGAUUGGAGAAGAACAGAAGCUUGCAGCGGCAUAAAAAGUGUUUCGGUUGGCUCUCUGGAGGUUUCCCAAUACUUGACAAUUUAUACAAGUGGAAUUAGGUCACACGAAACCUCGUCGGGCUCACAAUGUAACAUGGCGUGCCCCCCUAGGUGCGCCCUGUUGCCUUGUCGUCUCCUCAUUCGUCGUCUAGACUCCUCCCAAUGCUUCUAGGGUCUCUUAUAUCUAGAAAAAAUCAUCAAAAAGUUCUGUAGUGUUUGAACUUUGUUUGGUACUGAUUUUCUGGAAAUCCAAAAACAAGCAGAAAACAUGAACUGGCACUGGGCACUGGGUUAAAAGGCUAUUUCCCGAAAGUGAUAUAAAACUGCAUAAAAUGCAUAUAAAGUAUCCAGGAAUGAUAAUAUAAUAGCAUGAAAAAAUAAAAAGAUUAUAUAUAUAUGUUGGAGACGUAUCAAAGGGCCCUAAGAAUAUCUCUCCAUCGUGGGAGGAGCAAAUCCCACUCUCGAACUAUCUAGUCCCUUGUCAAACUUUGCGAUAUGCCUGUAAGUUGUCGUUAUGAUCACCGUGUUAUAUGCGAUGUUGAGCAACCCCAAAGCCCACCGUACGGUAAUAAGUGACUAUGAUACUCUCAUGAUCUAAGGAGCAAAUUCUCAUGCUAACACUUCGUGUUAUUACAAUUGAUUAUAGAUGAUAAUACGUAAAUGCAUAACAGGCAAGAUUGAGUCGAUUGAAUAUGACCUUCCUUUCAAUGUCACAAUCUCAAUGUUGUUUUAGGACUAUGUUACACUUUACGAUUUCCUAAGAUCCGAAAAACUUGAUCACCAACAAUACUUGAGCUAGUCCUAGAGGCAAGACUAGGAACCUUUUAUUUACCGUUUAUCAUUCCACAUGUGCAUAUGAGUUUUCCACUGAAUCAAAUAUUCCAGGAUCAUAGCAGUUAUAAUAUAGAAUAUAAACUCUACAAUUAUAAAUAUGAAAAUAUAAUAAUACAAAUAUUAUUGCCUCUAGGGCAUAUUUCCAACAAAUAUCAAUGCCACUAAAUCGUAAUUUUCUAGAAAACUUCAUUGUUUUUAUUUUGUUAAAGUUUUUAUUUCAUUUUUUUCUUUAAUAGUAAUAACUAUGUCACUAAUUCAUUCCUUCUUAUGAAACUUCCUUUUCGCGCAAAUUUCACAAUUUUAUGUUUAUUCUUGUGUAGUACAAAAAGUGCAAGUUAUGUGCAAAUGUCGACAAUGGCCUUUGGCUGUUGUGCGCGUGCAUGACAGGCAUAGGUUGAUCGAAUUCUUUGGAGCUAACCUAGGUAAAAUGGAUCAUAUUGGAGCUAACCUAGGUUAAAUGUGUCAUUUUGGAGCUAACUUGACGAAUUAUGCUAUUUUUGAGUUAACUAAGCAUAAAUAUGCCGUUUUUACACAAGUAAGCCAAGUGUAUGUCAUUAUUGAGCAAACCUAGGUAACUAAGCAUAUUAGAGAUAACUAAGCAUAUUACAGCUAACUUAGGUCAUUUCGGAGGAAACAAAGCUAAGUAUAGAUCAUUUUGGAGAUCUAACAUACCUGACAUAGCUCACUCCUCCUUCUUCUCCUUCUCAUUCAUCAUCCUGAUGUGCCUAGAGCGGUGAGGCAGUGGAGGCAGUGGGAUGUAGUCUUCUACCACAAUUGGCAUGGUCAUGUCGCCCAGCUGUGGGAUCGCUGAUACCACCACCAUCCCAUGGUCAUUGUCAGGCACCACCACCAUUGUGAGGCCAUCUUCAGGCAGCACCAUCGCUGGUCAUCCUCAGCCACCACCAUCGCUUGCCCAUCGGCAGCCACCACCAUCUCUUGCCCAUCGUCAGCCAGCACCUCCUCAUCCCCACUCUUCUCCUCUUCUUCCCCACUCCAUUCUGGAUCAUCAUCACUGUUGCUUUCACUGUAGCCAGAUUCGCUGCUGCUAGUGUUGUAGCCAGAGUCACUGCCGCUGCUCUGAUUGCCGGACCAAAUGCAACAAAGUUUUUUUAACAAUCAAUGGAGAGGAAGAAGAGGCAGAGCGUACUAGCAUCAUCGUCGUCCUGGUAGUGCAUGUGGCACAUAGUCUUGUUGAACACCUUCACGAUGAGCAUGGCAUUGCCGUCGUACCUGAAGACAAGGAAGUACCCGUGCCUCAGGUCAUUGGCACGGACGAACUACUCCAAGCCACGACACAGGUACAUGUGGUCUUCCUGAUCACCACCUCCACAUCCCAAUGCCUGCGAAGCCCGCUGCCGGCCUGUCGCAGCGUCACAUUUUUUGGCCGAUGGUCGUCCAGCAUCUCCAUAAAAGUGUCAGGCAGCCUCUGCAACGUGGGUCAAGGAGUCAUGUAGCAAACAACAGAGUUAAGAUAAAGAGAUUGGUGAAGGGGAGAUCUCUCGUUUUAUAUACCUGCCUCUUGGAGGAAUUCUCAAGUAUGAUCGUGAAGAACUCGAUACCAUCCAACUCGUACUCCACUGUGGCAGAGCGUAGCCUGCGGUGGCGGCCUCCCCCAUCUCUGAUAAUCAACAAAAUCAACAACACUUAAUUAAUUUCAUAGGUUAGUUGGCAAUGGCAAUUGACACCCUUCAAAACUAGGGAUUUUUUAGACAUGAAAUAAAACUAAAAAUGUUGAAAAAAUAGAGCAUGGUAAUCUAAAACACAACCAAAAUUAAUUAAGAGUUCUGAAAUCAAUAAAACAACAACUUAUAAGAAAUAACCCCAAGUUAUUUGUCUCGCCAGCUUUCAUUUAGCUUAUGUCUGCUAGUGCCCCUGGAUUCCAUCAUCAUUCACAAUCAGCUCGUGAUGUGUUGUGUUGUUACCCUAGUGGGCGGUUCCCCCAUUAGCAUGCCACUUCUAACCAUACUUUUCUAUACAAAAUCAGAAGCGGAUUCAUCACACACAAAUCCUAUUUACAUAAUGUUACUAGUAUAAAAGGAAGAGGGAGAUCGAAUUCUUUGGACCAAAUUAUCUGGCUUGCGAGGGACUGACUCAUCACCGUAUUCUUAUAGAGCUGGGCUCAACAGUGUUUAACUACCAAAGAGUAGUUGUUCAGUUCAUUUUAUCAAAAAAAAGUAGUUCAGUUCAUGGGCGUGCUAAGUUGUGGAGGCGGCUGGCUCAUUACUAUGAUUGAUUGGUCGAUGAAGGAAGGGAUAAUAUGAAGAUGCUGGAGACAGCUAGCAGGACGAGCUCCCGAACUGACCACUCUGUCCAUGUCUACCAACUAACAAUAACACGAACAAACUAACCACUCUGUUCAUAAUACAACAAUUCAAUUCAGAUAAAUUAAGCCUACACAUUAUUAGCCCUAUCUUAUCAUGUAUCUAAACUACUAGUACCUGCUAAUUAACAACCACCAACUAAUCAAGAAACUAAGUCUCUCUCAAUCAUCAUCAUCAUCGUCCACUAAUCAACAAUGGACAGCAAAAAAUAAACCAAGGAAAAAACAUUGGCAUCACACGCGCAACACACCAUGCAGAGAAGAACAGAGCAUCCAUUAUUGCCCCUGAGGGAGUCCUGGAUUAGGGGGUGUUCGGGUAGCCGGACUAUACCUUCAGCCAAACUCCUGGACUAUGAAGACACAAGAUUGAAGACUUCGUCCCGUGCCCGGAUGGGACUUUCCUUGGUGUGGAAGGCAAGCUUGGCGAUGCGGAUAUUCAGGAUCUCCUACCAUUGUAACCGACUUUAUGUAACCCUAACCGUAUCCGGUGUCUAUAUAAACCGGAGGGUUGUAGUCCGUAGGCAAUCAACUCCAUACACAACAAUCAUACCAUAGGCUAGCUUCUAGGGUUUAGCCUCCUUGAUCUCGUGGUAGAUCUACUCUUGUACUACCCAUAUCAUCAAUAUUAAUCAAGCAGGAGUAGGGUAUUACCUCCAUCGAGAGGGCCCGAACCUGUGUAAAAAACAUCGUGUCCCUUGUCACUUGUUACCAUCCGGCCUUAACGCACAGUUCGGGACCCCCUACCCGAGAUCCGCCAGUUUGACACUGACAUUGGUGCUUUCAUUGAGAGUUCCUCUGUGUCGUCACCUUUAGGCCCGAUGGCUCCUUUGAUCAUCAACAACGAUACGGUGCAGGGUGAGACUUUUCUCCCCGGACAGAUCUUCUUCUUUGGCGGCAUCGCUCUGCGGGCCAAUACGCUCGGCCACCUGGAGCAGAUCGAAAGCUAUGCCCCUGGCCAUCAAGUCAGGUUUGGAAGCUUAAACUACACGGCUGACAUCUGCGGAGAGUUGAUCUUCGACGGGCUUGAGCCACGGCCAAGCGCGCCGCACUAUCUCGAGGGGCAUGAUCUAGCUCUGCCCCCGGACAGUGUCCUGGAGGCCGCACACGCAUCGGUUCCGACCCCUAACUCGGAGCCUAUUGCGCCAAUUGAGGAUGAGCGGUUGGACGUCACCUCAGGGGCUGCGAUCCCAAAAGCGAUCGAGCCAAACGCUAGCCCCGCACUCUGCACGACCCGUGACUCCAAGGAUCCGGACUCCUCCCCGGACUUCAAACCCCCCGCGCCCCUGCCAAUCAAAUCUGAUUGGGCGCCGAUAAUGGAGUUCACCGCCGCAGACAUCUUACAGCACUCGCCUUGUGGCGAUGUCCUGAACUCUCUCAAGUCUCUCUCCCUAUCAGGAGAGCCCUGGCCGAACUACGGUCAGCGAGGAUGGGAUACGGACGAUGAAGAAAUUCAAAGCCCACCCACCACCCACUUGGUAGCCACUGUCGACAAUUUAAACGACGUGCUCAACUUCGACUCCGGAGACAUCGACAGCAUGGAUGACGAUGCAGGAGAUACCGACGAACCAACGCCCAUAGGGCAUUGGACAGCCACCUCAUCUCACGAUGUGUACAUGGUGGAUACCACUAAAGGAAGCGACAAUGAGGAAAAAGGGGAUGGGACGGGAGAUCGACCCCCCGAAAAGCAAUCAAAGCGUCAGCGUAAACGCCGACCCAAGCCCCGCCUCAACAAAAACCCAGCCAUAGAGCAGGACGAGCCGGUAGACGACGAGCAGGCCUUAGAGCAACCGUCCAAAUAGGGCAACAUGGAUAGAGAAACCGAACAUCCCUCCUCCGGCGAAAAUGGCAUUCCGGACGACCUCACGCCAAAUAAACCUAUGGAGCAGAAGAAUCUCCACGAGAGGCUCGUUGCAACUGCACGCAGCCUAAAGAAGCAGAAGCGGAAGCUAAAAACUGUGGAAGACGCACUCCGGAUUAGAUGGAGCAAAGUAAUCAAUACCAUAGAUAAGUACGGCGAUAGUCGCCGCACUAAAAGCUAUCCGAAAAGAAAGCUACUGCCUGAAUUCAACGAAGAGGCCCUAGAUCCCUCGCAUUCAAAAAAUGAAAAAGCCACACGGUCGGAUAGACGACCCCAUAAAGCGGCAAGCGAUACCACACCUAAAUUGGCAUGCGACCCACUUAAGGAUUCGCAUCAUGGCCCAGUCAGGUCCAUUUAUGGGCCAAGAAAGCAAGCUCUCAUAAGCAACGCUAUGAAGCCAUCAUCAGAAUUCGGCACACCCAAAUACAAGGGCGCCGCACACCCCCUAUGUUUCACCGAUGAGGUCCUGGACUAUGAAUUUCCAGAGGCAUUCAAACCCGUAAACAUAGAGGCAUAUGAUGGAACAACAGACCCUGGAGUCUAGAUCGAGGAUUAUAUCCUCCACAUACACAUGGCUAGAGGAGAUGAUCUCCACGCCAUAAAAUAUCUACCCCUUAAGCUUAAAGGGCCAGCCCGGCAUUGGCUUAAAAGCCUUCCCGAGAACACAAUUGGAAGCUGGGAAGAGCUCAAGGAUGCUUUCCGAGCAAACUUUCAAGGGACCUAUGUCCGCCCUCUGGAUGCAGACGAUCUUAGUCACAUAACUCAACAACCCGGAGAAUCAGCUCGGUAGUUUUGGAAUAGAUUCCUCACUAAAAAGAAUCAGAUAGUCGACUGUCCGGACGCCGAAGCCUUAGCAGCUUUCAGGCAUAACGUCCGAGACGAAUGGCUCGCCAGACACCUCGGCCAAGAAAAGCCAAGAACAAUGGCCGCACUAACAAGCCUCAUGACCCGCUUUUGUGCAGGGGAGGACAGCUGGUUGGCAAGGUGCAGCCCCAGCGACCCAAGUACAUCCGAAACUAGGGAUGGAAACGGGAAACCGCGAUGCAACAAGGACCGUCACUAGACUAAGGACAAAAGUCCGAAGAGCACGGCAGUCAAUGCCGGAUUCAAAGGCUCACGACAAAAUCAGGAAAAAUCGCCGCACCAGGAUAACAGGGACAAUCCAUCCAACCUAAGUAAAAUCCUGGACAGGAUAUGUCAGAUACACAGUACUCCCGAGAAGCCUGCUAACCAUAUGCACAGAGAAUGUUGGGUUUUCAAACAAUCCGGCAGACUCAAUGCCAAACACAAGGGGCUCGACACACCAAGCGAAGACGAGGACGAACCCUAAAAGCAGAGCACCAGGAAACAAAAGAACGUCCCACAAGAAGUAAAAACAGUGAACUCAGUUCACAUAACAAAACGUGCGGCGCCCGUAAAGGCACGCACCACACGGCCCAAAGGGUCCUGCCACUGGUUGUCUAAACCGAUCAUCUUCGAUCAGCUAGAUUAUUCUAGGAAUAUCAAGAAUGUAGGCUGGACUGCCUUGAUACUCGAUCCAAUAAUUGGCGGACUCUAGUUUUCAAAUGUCCUUAUGGACGGCGGCAGUGGACUAAACCUGAUAUAUCAGGAUACAAUCCAGCACAUGGGGAUAAACCCAGCAAGAAUCCGCCACAGCAAAACCUGCUUUCAAGGGGUAAUACCUGGUCCGGACACCCAUUGUAUGGGUUUUCUCCGGCUCAAAGUCAUAUUCGGCUCUGCCGAUAACCUCCGCCGCAAAAAGUUGACCUUCCAUAUCGUCCCGUUCUCAAGUCGCUAUCAAGCACCACUGGGACGCGAAGCUUUCGCUCGCUUUAACGCAAUACCGCAUUAUGCAUCUCUUGCGCUUAAGAUGCCCGGUCCACGAGGCAUCAUCUCUUUGAAGGGGAAGCACUAAAGUGCGCCUCCCCAAGCGGAGGACUGUGCGGCCGCUUUGACAGCCCCACAGCAAAAUGGCCUCACCAGCCAAAAGAAACUUCGAAAUAGGUCAUUCAAGACCACGAACGCGGAUAGACGAGUUCGGUGCAAAAUCAUCAUUGAUGCAGGCCUAGAAGCCAUAUACCCCCGCACUAGGGGCUCCAAGCAUAUACAAUAAGAGACAAUAAAUCUCAAUCUUAUAUAUCUUACUUUAUACUUUGCUUAUUCUGAACUUUUUCGGCACGACCCAUUUUCAACUCAGUUCCUCCCUUUUACAGAUGAACGUCGUGCGGCGCCCAUCCAGAAUAUGGCACAAGGGAGACACAGGCGCAGACGUGCAGUAGGGACCCGUCCUAAAGGAUUCUUUUUAGAUUAAGACCCUGCGUAAACCUUUUUUACUGUCUCUUGUUGCUACACAUCCCCUGGUUUUUUCUUUCUGAUAUAACCAAGGAGGAGGCUGGCUUCUUGGCAUGUGGCCACGUCAGAAUUUUUGCACGUACCUGGAUACUAGGGGCUUUUUUAAUAAAGAGUGUUGUUUCGCCCGCACUCAUGAAGACCGAACACCUUAGGGAGUGUUCGGCGUCGUGAGUUUUGGCAUUAUAUGCAUCAGCUCCGAAUCAUGUCUUUGGUCAAAUGUUGGGUUGCCCGGCUCCUGAGUUCGGCUACCUUACGUUCCGCUCUAUCGGCUAAGGUAGCACCAGGAGAACUACUGCGAUUGUGCCCCCGGUUCGGCCGGGCGAGCACCUCAGUAGAGAAAGCCGAAAACUGACUGUCAUGAUGUAGCGUGAGACUGGUCAGCCACUCGAUGACCUAUCGGAAUCUAUCAGAUUCCUCCGCUUUAACAAAGGGCCGCUUCCCAGUCAGGCACAUACACGCCCCUAAUUCGGACGAGCGCAAUUGCCACCAAGGAGCUACCUAAAGAUUCUCAUUGUCAAACUCCUAUGGCUAAGUGAAAGUGUUAAAGCAUUAUAGUCCGGUUGCUUGGCCCGCUGCGCUAUCACCUCCUUUGUAGGACCAAGACAUUGGGUUAAGUGUGAAAAUGCAUCUUCUGCGAGCACCCCCGCACUAUGUGCGUGGGGGCUGAAGCCAACGACUGCCAUCUUUCAGAUUCCAUAUAUAUAUAUAUAUAUAUAUAUAUAUAUAUAUAUAUAUAUAUAUAUAUAUCUUAAAACGGCCGCAAAGGAGGUGUUCCCAAUACUUGGAGGCACAAGUAUAAAAAAGGCCACUACAGUUUAUCAAAAUAUUACUUUAUAAUUACAUAUGCUAUCAUAACACAACAUCUUUCGGGCACUGCGCCUCUAUUACACGAGCGCCUUCAAGGACUUCCUGAAAAUAGUGCUCGGAAGAUACUCGGCUUUUGUCCGAAUCUCGGGACGCAACAACGGUGGUAUCCAUCUCUGCCCAGUAUGUCUUGACACGGGAAAGAGCCAUCCUUGCGCCCUCUAUGCAUGCUGACCUCUUCAUUGCAUUAAUACGCAGCACCGCGUCAAGGAAUUGCUGCACCAAGCUGAAAUAACUCUUCGUCUCCGAUCUCCCCGGCCACAGAUGACCCAUGACGUACUUCAUGGCGAGUCCGGACAACCUAUUCAGUUCGGCCCAUUGAGCCAAACGAUCAUCCACUGCCAGUGGGCGCUCUGGAUUGUGAAACUGCGACCAGAAAAGCUUUUCCACUUUGCAAUCUUUCUGAUCUCGAAAGUGUUCGGUCGCAUCAGCAGCACUCGCUGCCAAGUCCAGAUAGGUGUCCUCCACACUCCACAUCCGGUCCAACGGAGCAAACUUCGGAUCACAAAACUUCCUCCGCAGCAUAAAGGGCUUUCCAGCCACAAUCUGUUCGGCCUGACGCAGCUCCUCCUUCACAGCUCUCAUCACAGAGCGAGCGUCCUUGGCAUCGGCAACGGCCUUCUCUAAGUCCGUCUGUCUCGCCCGGUCUUCUUUCUCAAGAAGUUUGCAACGGUCUGUAGUGCUCUUUAACUUCUCGGCCAUCUCGGCCAUCUCUUCUUUGUUUCGGCAGUGAGCAGCUUGUUCGGCUCUCAGCUCUUCAAGGGCCUUCUCGGCAGCCGCAUCGCUUUUUUUGGCUUGCUCCUUAGCUCGGGCAAGUUCUGCCCUAAGAUUCUCCACGGCGGCCGUACCAUCUGCGUCAAGCACACACAUUGUAAGACACUGGCAUGAAGCUCCUCUUACCUGAUGCCGCCCGAAGAAUUAUAUACCUUGAGCCUCAUCAAGCCGCUUGUUGACAAGCGCAAUGUCGGCAUCUGCCACGUCCAGUUGCCGCUUUAGUUCGGCCACAUCAUCAGUUCGGCUUGAUUCCGGACACCUCGCCACCUACAUUCAAAGGCGACAUUUUAGACCUGGGAUUAUGAUCCUCUGCGUGCCGUCAUUUCUUGACAACACGCAGAGUCUCAGGGGCUACUAUCUACACAGGGCGCAUCUUACUUAUGGGCAACUGACAAAAGUGUACAUUAUCUAACGUACCUCAAAACCCAUCAGUAAAAUUUUGACAGCCUCAUGCAAUCUGCUUUCUGCGGAUGAAAUCCUUUCAAUCACCGUGCCCAUCAAUGCACGGUGCUCCUCUGAGAUAGAAGAUCGCCCCAGCAGAAUCUUUAGCUCCUCCAGCCGAGCACCAGAUGGUGCCGGACUUGUCCUAUGGCCUCCUUCGAAGGCCGGAUGCAGAGAGCCUUGGGGGGCCACAUAGCUAUCUUCUGCCCCUGCCGGAUUCAGAGAAACCCUCCGCAACGACACCUCAGGUUCGCCCGCCUCGCUAGGCGGUACGGAAGGGGGAGGCGUCCCGCUCUCCAUCAUCUCCGGAAGAAGAUCCCCCGAGGACGAGCUCUGCUGAGAAGGGCUGAGGUCCGAGCUACAAGGUAAUAUUUCGGUUAAUCUUCUCAGAUAUAAAUCAAGGAUUUCUCUCAUCCCUCAAAAGGAAAACUUCUCUCUACUUACGGCUUGGUGGAGGGCUGAUCCCCUUGAGGGCGUAGUCCGGCUGAGGAACUCCCCGGCGUCGGACCCUCUGACGAGGAUUUUCUCCCCUGUUUCGAGGCCGUGGUUUCCGGGUCGUCAGAGGCGGCUCUCUUCUUCCCCUUAGGAGAUGAAUUGUCGGUUCCUCCCUUCGGAGCAGGCUCCUUCGAGGAGGCCAUAGCUUCCUUGUCCUUCCCCUCCAAAGGCAUUAUCUCCAGCAUCCUGACCAACACGGGAUCCGGCCUGGUUUCAGGAAGGGGAGCCAGACACCUGAUCAGCUUUGCCUUCGCUAUCCACUCCUGUUUAAAAGGACGGCUCUUUUAGGGGCAAGUUUAUGACAAUUAUACGGAUAGAAGGUCCGGGCACGAGGUUGCUUACUUGAGUAUCCGGGCGAUUGCAGCUUAGGCCUGCGUCCUCGGUUAAAUCCGGACACAUCUCUUGUGAUCCGAAGAACAGUUUAUACAUCUCCGUGGGCGUUGCGCCCAUGAAAUUCUGGAGAGCUCGCGGUCCCUCUAGGUUAAACUCCCAUAGGCGAAGGGAUCGACGUUUGCCGGGCAAUAUUCAGCGAAUCAGCAUGACCUGUGUCACCUUGACCAGGCUGAGGUCUCCUUCCAGGAGAUCCUUAAUGCGGCCCUGUAAUAAGGGCACGUCUUUGGGCAAACCCCAAUCUAACCCUCUGUUGACCCAUGACGCUAGCCGUGGUGGGGGACCCGAGCGAAAGGCAGGAGGCGCCACCCACUUGGCGCUCCGGGGAGCGGUGAUAUAAAACCACUCUCGUUGCCACAAGCCUAGCUCCUCUUGAAAAGAGCCCUCGGGCCAUGGAGCAUUAGCAUUUUUGCUUAUAACAGCGCCUCCGCACUCUGCGUGUUGUCCCUUGAUCAUCUUCAGCUCCACUUUGAAAGUCUUGAGCCAUAAUCCGAAGUGAGGGGUAACACGGAGGAACGCUUCGCAUACAACGAUAAACGAGGAGAUAUGGAGGAUGGACUCCGGAGCUAAGUCGUGGAAUUCCAGCCCGUAAUAAAACAGCAGUCCCCUCACAAAGGGAUCCAUCGGGAAGCCUAACCCCCGAAGGAAGUGAGACACGAACACUACGCUCUCACCGGGCUGGGGACUGGGGAUAGCCUGCCUUUGAGCAGGCAACCUGUGCGGAAUUUCGGCGGUCAAGAACUUAGCCUCUCUCAACUUUAGCACGUCCUCCUCCGUGACGGAGGAGGGCAUCCAUCGGCCUUGAAGGUCGGAACCGGACAUUGUCGAAGGUCUGGGGCGCCCGGAAUCUGGAGCCUAAGGUGUUGGAACUCGAGGUGACGGGCGAACUUGUUUUGGGAUUGGAGAAAAGGAGUAAGGCCCUGGUCUCUUUAUAAGAGGUUGAAUACCCGGAGCCCUCCCCGUAACCGUUUGGGACUCACCUUUAAUCGAGAAAACAUGCUAGCGGGCAUGAUUGGGUUACCCACGUCUGUAUUGAUGAGAAUCCCGUAAAAGGGGGGCACACGAUCUCUGCUUUGACAAGACAUGCCAAGGAAACCGCCUCGCAAAACACGCUGAGGUGGAAAAGUGAAAACGGUCCGAGUGAAGGACUUGGCUGUAGUGUGAUGGCGCACUGCGAAAUACAUCAGCAGAUUUGAUUUGUGUUAAUAUUAUUCUCUCUAUGGCGAUACGUGGAAACUUAUUUUGCAGAACCGGACACUACUCUUGGUGUUUACAAUCUUCUAUGAAGGACUUGGAGGAGGAACCCGCCUUGCAAUGCCGAAGCCAAUUUGCGCGCCGGACUUGUCGUCAUUGAAGCCUGGUUCAGGGGCUACUGAGGGAGUCCUGGAUUAGGGGGUGUUCGUGUAGCCGGACUAUACCUUCAGCCGGACUCCUGGACUAUGAAGAUACAAGAUUGAAGACUUCGUCCCGUGUCCGGAUGGGACUUUCCUUGGCGUGGAAGGCAAGCUUGGUGAUGCGGAUAUUCAGGAUCUCCUACCAUUGUAACCGACUUUAUGUAACCCUAACCCUAUCCGGUGUCUAUAUAAACCGGAGGGUUGUAGUCCGUAGGCAAUCAACUCCAUACACAACAAUCAUACCAUAGGCUAGCUUCUAGGGUUUAGCCUCCUUGAUCUCGUGGUAGAUCUACUCCUGUACUACCCAUAUCAUCAAUAUUAAUCAAGCAGGAGUAGGGUACUACCUCCAUCGAGAGGGCCCGAACCUGGGUAAAAAACAUCGUGUCCCUUGUCUCCUGUUACCAUCCGCCCUUGACGCACAGUUCGGGACCCCCUACCCGAGAUCCGCCGGUUUUGACACCGACGGCCCCCCUCUAUAAGAGGCAUUCCAAACCCGAGCCGGAACAUGUCGUUCUCCGUCUUGAUGACGAGGCCUGGCGGGGGAGUGCCGGCGCGCGCCAUGACCUGGUCGUAAAUGCCCGCGGUAAGCGCCAUCGGCCGGAACCCGGCCAUGCCGAACCUAAACCUAAACCUAAACAGAGAGUGAGAGAGAGAGAGAAGAGGAAGGGAAGAGGGAGGGGUGGCGCACCUCGGUGUUGGGGACGGCCUAGGUCGGGGGAGGGGCCGGACUCGAGGGUCGACGCUCGGGGUUUGGNNNNNNNNNNNNNNNNNNNNNNNNNNNNNNNNNNNNNNNNNNNNNNNNNNNNNNNNNNNNNNNNNNNNNNNNNNNNNNNNNNNNNNNNNNNNNNNNNNNNNNNNNNNNNNNNNNNNNNNNNNNNNNNNNNNNNNNNNNNNNNNNNNNNNNNNNNNNNNNNNNNNNNNNNNNNNNNNNNNNNNNNNNNNNNNNNNNNNNNNNNNNNNNNNNNNNNNNNNNNNNNNNNNNNNNNNNNNNNNNNNNNNNNNNNNNNNNNNNNNNNNNNNNNNNNNNNNNNNNNNNNNNNNNNNNNNNNNNNNNNNNNNNNNNNNNNNNNNNNNNNNNNNNNNNNNNNNNNNNNNNNNNNNNNNNNNNNNNNNNNNNNNNNNNNNNNNNNNNNNNNNNNNNNNNNNNNNNNNNNNNNNNNNNNNNNNNNNNNNNNNNNNNNNNNNNNNNNNNNNNNNNNNNNNNNNNNNNNNNNNNNNNNNNGAGGCGGUGAUGGGGCGGGGCGGAGCUCGGGGCGGCGGGGCCGGGGGGUUGGGGCGGCAGCGGGGGCAGUGGGUCGGGGUGGGGGCGGCAGCGCGGGUGAGGUGAGGGCUAGGAGAGAGAGGGGGGGAGGGUGAGGUGAGGUGGGGCACGUGGGAUGGGGCCGAGGGGAAACGGUCGUUAAAACGACCAGAUUCUUUGCCAUCCGCUGGCUGACGGAAAAGAAUCUUUGCCAUCGGCUAGCUGACGGCAAAGAAACUGGCCGUUAGAUCAUUCUUACAGUCCGCCACCCACCAUCUUUGUCGUCUGCUAGCGGACGGCAAAGAUUCUAUAUCGUUAGCUAGCUGACGGCAAAGAGAUGGCUGACGGCAAACACCUUCUUUGUUGUCCGCUCUUUCUUUGCCGUCAGCUUUACUUAAGCUGAGGGCAAAGAAUUUCUUUGUCGUCAGCUAGCCGACGGCAAAAAGAUGGCUGACGGGAAAGAUCCUGAUUCCAGUAGUGUGACAUGCCUGCUAGAUGGAAAGAUUGAUAACAGCCUUUGGAUGCUGGCAUAUCAGAGUGGACUUUGGACUCUACGUCUAGUCGUCUUGCGUUUUUUGGAAUCUCUGCCAGGCCUUUGGACACUAUGGCCUUGCCGGUUGGCGUAUGCGCCAAUAAGUUCUCGCUGGUCGUGAUGAAUGGUCUGGUAGGUUCACUUGUCUUCCUUCAGCUCAUGUGGUUUUUGGUGGGGUGCAGGGUUUGUCUAUCAUUAGUAAAUAAACAAGGCAAUUACAAAUGCAAUAUGAAUAUAAUUACUUCGAGGCAAUUCACCAGAAACUUUCUUCAAAUGGUUCACCUAAUUUCUUAAUUGUUGUUGUCCCGUAAUUACGGAUGAGGAAUAGUCGGAGCAUAAAAAGAAAUCUUGGAGUCCAUUCACAUGCUCAAGCAAACGAUCUAUCUGUCACCAAAGAAGUCUAUAUAUGGGCCAUGAUCAUCAUCAAGGCAAAUAGAAACGCAAUGCGACCAUAUUCGUUCCCAGAGAGUUGAGCAAAAAACCUUCAAAUAGUUUGCUUAGCUUCCAGUUGGCCUCUACGACAAUGACGUAACGGGGCAUCUAAUAAAAACUAUAGCUAAAUAGUAAAUCUGGAUAUCUAUGUAGUGCACCCACUAGAUUAAUUACACAUGUAAUCGGGCAACACUAAAUGCAAAUAUGCAAUAAACUUAUCUCUAUAUAAAAUGAGGGCAUAUCCUAGCAUGAUAUGGUUAGUCUUAUUAAUGCUUUAAUAAAUAUACCAAUCUUAGAAAAUCAAUUUUAGCACUUUUUUUGGACUGGGAGCAUUCAAUAUGGUUAUCAAAUAUCGCAAGGCCAUCCAUAAGAUUUAAGAUCUUAUCCAACAAAUGAAAUCUACAUGUAGAUUUUUUUGGUUGGAGAGAUCUUGUAUUUAAGUGUGCUCACCACCACAGCCCAUAUAAAAAACCAUGUGGUGUAGAAGUUUUGCAUAACCAAAGAUUGAUCAACACACCUACCUAGUGUUUACAUCUUCCACAAGAAAGAUGGCUAUUUCUAAAGUAAUGUGGGUGUUCUGCCUCCUAGCUUUACUGGCCUUCACUUCUUGUUCCUAUCAUGUACGAGCAGACGAUCAUGCCACCAAAGAGAAAAAUGAGGUGAUGGAGUAUUGCAAGAGGUACAUAUUCAAAAAUUACGGUGAUCAGCAUCCUGACCCCCAUAGGAAAUGUUGCCAAAUAGUAAGAGAAUCGAGAAACAUCCAUGCUAUAUGCCAGAAAUUCAUGCACGCGGAUUUGCAUAAGAUCAGUCUAGCCAAGUGGGCUCAUGUUACAUAUUGGUGCGGCAACGGAUUGCACCCAGGGACUAAUUGCGCAGGUGUGUUAAUAUGAUUAAAUAUAUUACUAGCAUUUUGAUAUAGUUUCCUCGCUUAUAUAAAUGAAAUUAAUUACUUACGAGGAACUCAAUCUCAUAUGUAGGUUUCAUCGUUCCAGAUUAUAGUGCGCCACCACCUCCAGAACACUCAGCGUAAGGCUGGUCUGGUCAAAUAAGGAAAGGAGUGUUAUGAUAUGGAGCACUUAGUCUAAGGCAGUCUUAAUCCCCAAAAGAAAAUAAGGCAGUCUUAAUGAACAAAGGAAGAGUAUGGUAUUGAUCCUUUAUCAUGGGACCUCUGCAAUAAUGUAUCUUACUUUUAAUGUUGUGAUUAAUAAAAGGACUGCCUGCAUGUUUCUUUGUGUUUAGCAUGAUAUUUAGUUGUCCAUCGACAUACAUGGCCUCAAUAGAUGACUUUCACUUCUCAUUAAAUGGAAUGCUGAAUUAAAUCAAAAGUCUUGAAAGCAAACAUAUAUAGCUUGUUCUAUUCCUAAUA
rnacentral:lncRNA from 1 species